rnacentral:lncRNA from 1 species
CUGGUGGAGGUGCCGGAUCGGGAGGGGCGUGGGCAGGUGGCUCCCGCCCCUACCUCUCCCUUUGCGGAUGUGCUGCGCCCCAGAGGAGGUGCCUGAUCGGGAGGCGGCGUGGGCAGGUGGCCUUCGCCCCUACCUCUCCCUUGCCGUCCCUGGAGGGGGCAGCUCCUGCUCGGGCCCCGGGCGGCAGUCUUGGACCGAGAUCGUCGCGUGUGCCGAGCCCUGUGGCGGUGAUGGCUGGGGGAGCUUCGCCGGUUCUGCCGACGAUGUAGGGCAGCCCUCCGGCUGGUUCAGCUCAGUUGAGCCCUGUUGGGGGUCGGGCAGGAGGCCCUACCCCGAACGGGGUCACGUGGGACGACAUCGUCGCUUUUGGAGGGAUUUCGGAUCCUGUAUCCGAAAGUCGACGGAUGAGUUGUCGCCUCCAGGAUCAGCCGGAUGUUGAUGACAUGCAGCUACGGUGCGCCACACGGACGACCAACCUUCGUGAUAUUGAGGUCACUAUUGGUAUGUCAGUCAACACUUCCAAAUCUAUCUUGCAUUUUUCUAGUAAUGAGGUUAUUCAUAAUGCAAAUCAGUUGGGAGUAUCUCUGGGUAGCAAUGAUAUUGAAGUUUCUAAGUCCGUUAACGACAUCUUGGAUCUUGAAGCGGAGCGCGCUUUAGAUAUGAUUAGAAACCUAGCGGCUGUCAAACCUAUGAACUAUUCAGAUUUAGAUGCUUUGGGGGUCAAUGUGCUUGAUAGCUUUUGUGCGGAUCUGGCACCCUCUCUUCCUGAGACUGAGGAGGAUGAACUUUCUACUUCCCCAAGGGAUUCCAUUAUUGCAGAUUCUCAGGUGGCUACGUCCACUGAGCUCGGUUGUGAGGACCGGAUAGAGGACGAAAACAAGCCUAAACGCAAGUGGAAUCAAAUAAUUUAUCCGGCUUCGGCCGUGCGUAGAAGUGCUAGGAUCCGAACUACUAAAAAUUUCAUGAUGAAUAUGAAAGAAUUUUUUGGAAUAGCAGAGGUCUUAAGGACUUGGCUAAAAGAAGGUUUCUAGCAGACGCGUCUAUAUAACACAAAUUGGAUUUUAUUGUCCGAAACUGGAAGGGACAAAUUCACCCCCACCCCCCAGUUUCUUAGUACUCUUCGGGAGGGGUUGAUUUUGAUUGGCAUUGCCUACCUCCAAGAGGAAGGUCCGGUGGGAUUUUACUUGGGGUUAAAUGUGAUUCGUUGGAAGUUCAGAAUGUUGUAAUGGGAGAUUUUGCGGUUAAGUUUCAGGUUUGGUCGAAGGCCGAUGGGUUUAAUUGGGCUUUGGUGGCGGUGUAUGGUGUCACGCAGCCUGAACUCAAACCAGACCUUUUGGCGCAUUUAGUUCGUAUUUGCGGCAACGAGCAGCUCCCAAUCCCGAUUGGGGGUGAUUUUAACAUUAUCCAUAGAUGGUAGGAAAAAAACAAUGACAAAUUAGACGACAGAUGGUCGUUUAUGUUUAAUACAAUUAUUUAAAGUUUAGACCUUUGAGAGAUUGAGCUUUCUGGUAGAAAGUUCACAUGGGCCAAUACAUUACCAAUACCGACGUUUGAGAAGCUGGACCGGGUCCUAGCGAGCGUCGAAUGGGAGCAGAAGUUUCCCCUAGUGACGGUCCAUGCGCUCUCUCGCGCGAUCUCUGAUCAUACCCCAUUGUUGGUGGACUCAGAGAGGCAAUGCAUGUGGGGAACAGGAGUACGUUUUCUUUCGAAUCAACGUGGUUUGAAAGAGAAGGGUUCCUGGAUCUAAAAGCAAGAGAAUGGGCUAAAGAUUCAGGAGGGAGAAUGAAUGUUGAGAGAUGGUAGAAUCAGAUUAGGCAUUUAAGGCAGUUCUUACGGGGUUGGCCAAACACCUGAGUGGGAUAUAUAAGGCUGAGAAGGAAAGGCUCCUUUUACUUAUUCAAUCCCUAGAUUUAAAAGCUGAGUCCUCCAUUUUAGAUACCAGAGAGCUGGAAACUAAAGUGGAGGCGGAAUUAAGACUGAAAGAACUGCUUCGUGAGGAGGAAUUGAAGUGGGCACUGAGGGAGUCCUGGAUUAGGGGGUAUCCGGACAGCUGGACUGUAUACAUCGUCCGGACUAUUGAAGCGUGAAGAUAAAAGAAUCAAGACUUCGGCCCAUGUCCGGAUGGGACUCUCCUUUGCGUGGAAGGCAAGCUUGGCGAUCCGGAUAUUGUGUUUCCUUCCUUGUAACCGACUCCGUGUAAACCCUAGCCCUCUCCGGUGUCUAUAUAAACCGGAGAGGUUGGUCCUUAGAAGGACGAUCACAAUUACAACCAUACCAUCAUAGGCUAGCUCUUAGGGUUUAGCCUCUACGAUCUCGUGGUAGAUCUACUCUUGUACUACCCAUAUCUUCAAUAUUAAUCAAGCAGGAAGUAGGGUUUUACCUCCAUCGAGAGGGCCCGAACCUAGGUAAAUGUUGUGUCCCUCGCUUCCUGUUACCAUCAGCCUAGACGCACAGAUCGGGACACCCUACCCGAGAUCCUCCGGUUUUAACACCGACAUUGGUGCUUUCAUUGAGAGUUCCUCUGUGUCGUCGCUGCAGAGUCCCACCUCUGUGGAGGCCUGUAACCCCGGCCCCCCGGACUCGUAUCCGGUUGUUGGUUCCGGUCCGCACACCCUCGAGCCAGCCGAGCUAGGUUGGGCUCCGGUAAUGGAGUUUACCGCUGCGGACAUCUUCUAGCACUCGCCCUUUGGCGACAUGCUGAACUCAUUAAAGUCUCUAUCUUUGUCAGGAGGCUCUGGGCCGAAUUAUGUCUAGCUUGAGUGGGAAGCAGGCGACGAAGGAAUUCGCUGCCCACCCACCACCCACUUCAUUGCCACGGUCGAUGAUUUAACCGACGUGCUUGACUUCGAGUCCGAAGACAUCGACGGUAUGGACGACGAUGCAGGAGAAGUACAGGAGCCACCGCUCGCAGGGCGAUGGAAGGCCACCUCGUCACACGAUAUAUACAUGGUGGAUACGCCCAAGGAGGACGAGGGCGGCAAUCCGGAAGAUAAAACCCCCGGGCAAAAGCCAAAACGGCGGCGCAGACGCCGCUCAAAGUCCAGCAAUAGUAAAAAUAGCGACAAGAGCGCAAGAAGGAUCGACAUACCAGCAAACUCCGAAGGCAAUAACGACCACAUGGAACCAGCGAUGGAGUAGGAUGAGCCAUGUCACGCCGAACUGAGUUCGGAGCAGACGUCCGAUCACAAUGAUCCAGAGGGACGAGUCCAUCAAACCGCCCCAGGACAAGAACACAGUCCGGACGAUGAUGCAUUCAUCAUUCUGGAAAUACGCAUGGAACGAGAUAGCCUCCACAGAAAGCUUAUGGCCACAGCGAGAAGUCUAAAGAAUAAGAAGCAACGGCUCAAAGCCGCACAGGAAACGCUCAAUCGCAGAUGGAAUAAAGUGCUAGACACCAAAGAAAGAUAUGGCAAUGAUCGCCAUACAAAGAGCUAUCCCAAACGCAAGCUACUGCCAGAAUUCGACGACGAGGCCGUUCCACCAAAGAAUAAUACGACCAGGAGACCAGACGUACCACUUCACAACCGCAACAAAACGGCUACUAACGCCGCACACGAUCUAUGUGAGCAUCUGGAUAAGCAAGCCGGUGCGGCCAGGUCCAUCUAUGGAUCUAAAGGACACACCCCGGCGAGGGACUAUGGUCACCAGAACGAUCAUACAAACCAAAUACCAGUUCAGAAUAAGCUCCGGACACAGCAACAGCCAACUGCAUGCCACAGCGCGUCCAGAUACAGAGGAGCUACUCACUCCCUGUGCUUCACCGAAGAAGUACUGGACCAUGAAUUCCCACAAGGUUUCAAACCUAUGAACAUAGAGGCAUACGACGAAACGACAGACCCAGGGGUCUGGAUCGAGGAUUUUAUCCUGCAUAUUCACAUGGCUCGUGAGGAUGACCUCCACGCCAUCAAAUACCUUCCCCUCAAGUUGAAGGGACCAGCUCGACACUGGUUGAAAAGCCUCCCUGAAAAUUCAAUUGGGAGUUGGGAGGAACUCGAGGAUGCUUUUAGGGCCAAUUUUCAAGGGACUUAUGUCCGGCCUCCGGAUGCAGACGAUCUAAGUCACAUAAUCCAACAGCCCGAAGAGUCCGCCCGCAAGCUUUGGAACAGAUUCCUCACUAAGAAGAAUCAAAUUAUCGAUUGUCCGGACACCGAAGCCUUAGCGGCAUUCAAACACAGCAUCCGAGACGAAUGGCUCGCCAGACACCUCGGCCAAGAAAAGCCAAGGACAAUGGCAGCCCUAACAAGCCUUAUGACCUGCUUUUGCGCGGGUGAAGAUAGCUGGCUAGCCCGUAAAGGCACCAGCGACCCCAGCACAUCCGAACUAAGGGAUGGCAAUGGGAAGCGACGGCGUAAUAAACAGAGACGCCAAAACAAGGAAGAGAGCCCGGACAACACAAUGGUCAAUGCCGGAUUCAGGGGCUCUCGACCUAAUCAGCAAAAGAAGCCAUUUAAAGGCAGUAAAGAGGGACCGUCCGGUCUGAACAGAGUCCUGGACAGACUGUGCCAAAUUCAUGGCACCCCGAAGAAACCUGCGAACCACACGCAUAGAGAAUGCUGGGUCUUCAAGCAGGCCGGCAAAUUAAAAGCCGAACACAAGGGGAGGGAAACUCCAAGUGAAGACGAGGAUGAACCUCGCCAGCCGAACACUGGGGGACAAAAAAAAUUCCCGCCAGAGGUUAAAACAGUAAAUAUGAUCGACGCGACUCACACAUCCUGACAGGGCACGAACGAACGCUCAGAGACGAGCACGACAUAGAGCUCAUCGUACCCACAUCUAACUACUGGACGUCUUAUCCGAUCACCUUCGAUCACACGGACGGCCGAACUAGUAUUCGGCGCGGAGGAUCAGAGGCCUUGGUGCUUGACCCAAUAAUCAACGGAUACCGUCUCACCCGUGUCCUCAUGGACGGCGGCAGUAGUCUCAAUCUAAUAUACGAGGACACUGUCCGUAGGAUGAGGAUAAACCCAUCCAGAAUUAGCCAAAGCAACACCACCUUUGAAGGGGUGAUACCAGGCAUUGAAGCCUAUGGCAGGGGCUCCGUCGUACUGGAGGUAACAUUUGGGUCCCCAGGCAACUCCAGAAGCGAAGAACUACUCUUCACCAUUGCACCCUUCCAAAGCGGCUAUCAUGCACUGCUUGGAAGAACGGCCUUCGCCCGCUUCAACGCAUUGCCGCACUAUGGCUACCUGAUGUCUACUACACAACCUUCUUCUUGUAGACGUUGUUAGGCCUGCAAGUGCACAACUUUGUAGGACAGUAGAAAAUUUCCCUCAAGUGGAUGACCUAAGGUUUAUCAAUCCGUAGGAGGCGUAGGAUGAAGAUGGUCUCUCUCAAAUAACCCUGCAACCAAAUAACAAAGAGUCUCUUGUGUCCCCAACACACCCAAUACAAUGGUAAUUUGUAUGGGUGCAGUAGUUCUAUGAAGAGAUGAAGAUACAAGUGCAAAAUAGAUAGUAGAUAUAGGUUUUUGUAAUCUGAAAUAAUAAAAACAGCAAGGUAACUAAUGAUAAAAGUGAGCGUAAACGGUAUUGCAAUGAUAGGAAACCAGGCCUAGGGUUCAUACUUUCACUAGUGCAAGUUCUCUCAACAAUAAUAACAUAGAUAGAUCAUAUAACAAUCCCUCAACAUGCAACAAAGAGUCACUCCAAAGACACUAAUAGCGGAGAACGAACGAAGAGAUUAUGGUAGGGCACGAAACCACCUCAAAGUUAUUCUUUCGGAUCAAUCUAUUCAAGAGUUCGUACUAGAAUAACACCUUAAGACACAAAUCAACCAAAACCCUAAUGUCACCUAGAUACUCCAUUGUCACCUCAAGUAUCCGUGGGCAUGAUUAUACGAUAUGCAUCACACAAUCUCAGAUUUAUCUAUUCAACCAACAGAAAGUACUUCAAAGAGUGCCCCAAAGUUUCUACCGGAGAGUCAAGAACGUGUGCCAACCCCUAUGCAUAGGUUCAUGGACGGAACCCGCAAGUUGGUCACCAAAACAUACAUCAAGAGGCACAUGAUAUCCCAUUGUCAUCACAGAUAAGCACGGCAAGACAUACAUCGUGUUCUCAUAAAAGACUCAAUCCGAUAAGAUAACUUCAAAGGGGAAAACUCAAUUCAUCACAAGGGAGUAGAGGGGGAGAAACAUCAUAAGACCCAACUAUAAUAGCAAAGCUCGGAAUACAACAAGAUCGUGCCAUAGAGGGAACACGAGAGAGAACACGAGAGAGAGAGAGAGAGAGAGAGAGAGAUCAAACACAUAGCUACUGGUACAUACCCUCAGCCUCGAGGGUGAACUACUCCCUCCUCGUCAUGGAGAGCGCCGGGAUGACGAAGAUGGCCACCGUUGAAGGAUCCCCCCUCCGGCAGGGUGCCGGUAAGGCCUCCCAAGAGGUUUUUGGUGGCUACAGAGGCUUGCGGCGGCGGAACUCCCGAUCUAUCUUCCCCGUGGAUGUUUUUAGGGUACGUGGGACUAUAUAGGCGAAAGAAGUCGGUCGGGAGAUGCUCGAGGGGUCCACGAGACAGGGGGCGCGCCCAGUAGGGGGGCGCCCUCCUAUCUCGUGGCGUCCUCGAGGCUCUUAUGACGUGAACUCCAAGUCUCCUGGGUGAUAUUCUUCCAAAAAAUCACGUUGCCGAAGGUUUCAUUCCAUUUGGACUCCGUUUGAUAUUCCUUUUCUUCGAAAUACUGAAACAGGGAAUAAAACAGCAAUAUGGGCUGGGCCUCCGGUUAAUAGGUUAGUCCCAAAAGUAAUAUAAAACUGUGUAAUAAAGCCCAUAAUCAUUCAAAACAGAUAAUAUAAUAGCAUGGAACAAUAAAAAAUUAUAGAUACGUUGGAGACGUAUCAAGCAUCCCCAAGCCUAAUUCCUGCUCGUCCUCGAGUAGGUAAAUGAUAAAAACAGAAACUUUGAUGUGGAAUGCUACCUAGCAGGAUUCUCAAUAUAAUUUUCUUUAUUGUGGCAUGAAUGUUCAGAACCAAAUAAUACAAAAUAAAAGUUCAUAUUGACAUAAGAAAUAGUAAUACUUCAAGCAUACUAAGCAAAGUAAUCAUGUCUUCUCAAAAUAACAUGGCCAAAGAAAGUUAUCCCUACAAAAUCAUAUAGUCUGGCUGUUGCUCUAUCUUCAUCACACAAAGUAUUUAAUCAUGCACAACCUCGAUGACGAGCCAAGCAAUUGUUUCAUACUUUAAUAAUCUCAAACUCUUUCAACUUUCACGCAAUACAUGAGCAUGAGCCAUGGACAUAGCACUAUAUGUGGAAUAGAAUGGUGGUUGUGGAGAAGACAAAAAAGGAGAAGAUAGUCUCACAUCAACUAGGCGUAUCAACGGGCUAUGGAGAUGCCCAUUAAUAGAUAUCAAUGUGAGUGAGUAGGGAUUGUCAUGCAACGGAUGCACUAGAGCUAUAAAUAUAUGAAAGCUCAACAAAAGAAAACUAGUGGGUGUGCAUCCAACUUGCUUGCUCAUGAAGACCUAGGGCAUUUUGAGGAAGCCCAUCAUUGGAAUAUACAAGCCAAGUUCUAUAAUGAAAAAUUCCCACUAGUAUAUGAAAGUGACAACAUAUGAGACUCUCUAUCAUGAAGAUCAUGGUGCUAUUUUGAAGCACAAGUGUGGAAAAAGAGAUAGUAGCAUUGUCCCUUCUCUCUUUUUCUCAUUCUCUUUUUUUCUUUUUUUUUCUUUGGCCUUCCUUUUUUUUCUUUUUUGGCCUUCUCUUUUUUUUCUUUUUGGCCUUUCUCUUUUUUUUCUUUUUUUUUCUUUUUGUAAAGUCCGAAGUCUCAUCCCGACUUGUGGGGGAAUCAUAGUCUUCAUCAUUCUUUCCUCACUCAGACAAUGCUCUAAUAAUGAAGAUCAUCACACUUUUAUGGAUUUACAAAUCAAAGCUAGAACAAGAUAUGACUCUAUGUGAAUGCCUCCGGCGGUAUACCGGGAUAUGCAGUGAAUCAAGAGCGACAUGUAUGAAGAUUAAUAUGGUGGCUUUGCCACAAAUACGAUGUCAACUACAUGAUCAUGCAAAGAGCAAUAUGACAAUGAUGGAACGUGUCAUAAUAAACGGAACGGUGGAAAGUUGCAUGGCAAUAUAUCUCGGAAUGGCUAUGGAAAUGCCAUAAUAGGUAGGUAUGGUGGCUGUUUUGAGGGAGGUAUAUGGUGGUUUAUGUGUGAUAGAGCGUAUCGUAUCACGGGGUUUGGAUGCACCGGCGAAGUUUGCACCAACUCUCAAGGUGAGAAAGGGCAAUGCACGGUACCGAAGAGGCUAGCAAUGGUGGAAAGAUAAAAGUGCGUAUAAUCCAUGGACUCAACAUUAGUCAAAAUAACUCAUAUACUUAUUGCAAAAAUUUAGAAGUCAUCAAAAAUCAAGCACUACGCGCAUGCUCCUAGGGGGAUAGAUUGGUAGGAAAAGACCAUCGCUCGUCCCCGACUGCCACUCAUAAGGAAGACAUUCAAUAAAUAAAAUUGUGCUCCAACUUCAUCACAAAGCGGUUCACCAUACGUGCAUGCUACGGUAAUCACAAACUUCAACACAAGCAUUCUUUAGAUCCAUAAUUACCCAACUAGCAUGACUUUAAUAUUACUACCUCCAUAUCUCAAAACAAUUAUCAAGCAUCAAAUUGAUCAUAGCAUCCAAUUCACUUUCUAUCAUAGUUUUCAUUCAAAUUACCAAGCUGUUUAAGACUCUCAAAAUAAUAUAAGUGAAGCAUGAGAGUUCAUUAAUUUCUACAAAAUAAAACCACCGCCGUGCUCUAAAAAGAUAUAAGUGAAGUAUUAGAGCAAACGACAAACUACUCCGAAAGAUAUAAGUGAAGAUCAAAGAGUAGCUAAAUAAUUAUGCAUCUAUGCAAAGACUCUCUCUCAUUACAGAUUUUCAGAUCUUGGUAUCUUAUUCAAACAGCAAGCAAAGCAAAACAAAAUGACAUUGCAAGGAUAGCACAAUUCAUCUGAAUAAGCAAAAACUUAGGCUCAACCGAUACUAACCGAUAGUUGUCGAAGAAGAAAGGUGGGAUUCCUACCGGGGCAUCCCCAAGCUUAGAUGCUUGAGACUUCUUGAAAUAUUAUCUUGGGGUGCCUUGGGCAUCCCCAAGCUUGAGCUUUUGUGUCUCCUUAAUUCCUCUCAUAUCAUGGUUUCUCUUUUUAUCAAAAGCUUCAUCCACAACAAACUCAACAAGAACUCGUGAGAUAGGUUAGUAUAAACCAAUGCAAAACCAUAUCAUCUUCUACUGUAACAAAUCACUAACAUUAUUAUUCAACAUUUAAUACUAAAUGUCUCUGCAUAUUUAAUACUCCUAUCCUAAAAUAGAAUCAUUAAACAAGCAAGCAUAUGCAAACAAUGCAAACAUAACAGCAAUCUGCCAAAACAGUAUAGUCUGUAAAGAAUGCAAGAGUAUCAAUACUUCCCUGACUCCAAAAAUUAUGAACUAAAUUUCCCACUGUAAUAAAUUUAUCAGAGCUUAAUAUGCAAAAAUAUUCAACGUUAUACCAUUCUCUGACUUUUCUAGGGAAUUUUUGCAACAGCGGUAAGUUUUCAAACAGCAACAUGUAUACUAGCAAAAUAAGCAUGGCAAAGGUUAUCCUUAACAUUUUUAUUGAAAAUAAAGAUGAAAAACAUUAUUCCAACUAACAGCAAGCAAAUACUAACAAAAGAAAAUGACGCUCCAAGCAAAACACAUAUCAUGUGGCGAAUAAAAAUAUAGCUCCAAGUAAAGUUACCGAUGAACGAAGACGAAAGAGGGGAUUCCUUCCGGGGCAUCCCCAAGCUUAGUUGCUUUGGUUGUCCUUGAAUAUUACCUUGGGGUGCCUUGGGCAUCCCCAAGCUUAGUUGCUUGGUUGUCCUUGAAUAUUACCUUGGGGUGCAUUGGGCAUCCCGAAGAUUAGGCUCUUGCGACUCCUUAUUCCAUAGUCCAUCGAAUCUUUUACCCAAAACUUGAAAACUUCAACCACGCAAAACUCAAAACAAAACUCGUAAGCUCCGUUAGUAUAAGAAAAUAAAACCACCACUAAGUUACUGUAAUUAACUCAUUCUAAAUUCAUAUUGGUGUAAUAUCUACUGUAUUCUAACUUCUCUAUGGUUCAUACCACUUAAUACUAGCCAUAGAUGCAUCAAAAUAAGCAAACAACACAAUGAAAACAGAAUCUGUCUAAAACAGAACAGUCUGUAGUAAUCUGUAUCAAACGUAUAUCUCUGGAACCCCAAAAAUUAUGAAAUAAAUUUCUGGACCUGAGUAAUUUGUCUAUUAAUCAUAUGAAAAAAGAAUCAACCUAAAAGCACUCUCCAGUAAAAAGUGGCAGCUAUUCUCGUGAGCGCUAAAGUUUCUGUUUUUCACAGCAAGAUCAUAUAAACUUCACCCAAGUCUUCCCAAAGGUUCUACUUGGCACUUCAUUGAAAUAAAAGCUAUAAAACAUGAUUACUACAGUAGAAUAAUCAUGUGGACACACAGAAACAGUAAGGGUAAAUAUUGGGUUGUCUCCCAACAAGCGCUUUUCUUUAAUGCCUUUCUAGCUAGGCAUGAUGAUGGUCAUGAUGCUCACGUAAAAGAUAAGAAUUGAAACAUAACGGGAGCAUCAUGAAGCAUAUGACUAACACAUUUAAGCCUAACCCUCUUCCUAUGCAUAGGGACUUUAUUAGCAAACAACUUAGGGGAACAAUAAUCAACAAGCAUAGGAAGGUAAAACAAGCAUAACUUCAAGAUUUUCAACACAUAGAGAGGAAACUUGACAUUAUUGUAAUUCCUACAAGCAUAAGUUCCUCCCUCAUAAUAAUUUUCAGUAGUAUCAUGAAUGAAUUCAACAAUAUAACCAGGACCUAAAACAUUCUUUUCAUGAUCUACUAGCAUAGAAAAUUUACUACUCUCCACAUAAGCAAAAUUCUUCUCAUGAAUAAUAGUGGGAGCAAACUCAACAAGAUAAUUAUCAUGUGAGGCAUAAUCCAAUUGAAAACUAAAAUCAUGAUGACAAGUUUCAUGGUUAUCAUUAUUCCUAAUAGCAUAUAGGCCAUCACAAUAAUCAUCGUAGAUAGCAACUUUAUUCUCAUAAUCAAUUGCAACCUCUUCCGAAAUAGUGGAAUCAUCACUAAAUAAAGUUGACACUCUUCCAAAUCCACUUUCAUAUUCAUCACAAUAAGAUUCAACAUCCUCCAAAAUAGUGGGAUCACUACUUCCUAAAGUUGACACUCUUCCAAACCCACUUUCAUCAAUAUAAUCAUCACAAAAAGGAGGCAUGCUUUCAUCAUAAUAAAUAUUCUCAUCAAAACUUGGGGGACAAAAAAUAUCAUAUUCAUCAAACAUAGCUUCCCCAAGCUUGUGGAUUUGCAUAUCAUUAGCAUCAUGGAUAUUCAAGAGAUUCAUACUAACAACAUUGCAAUCAUGCUCAUCAUUCAAAGAUAUAGUACCAAACAUUCUAAUGCAUUCUUUUUCUAGCACUUGAGCACAAUUUUCCUUUCCAUCAUUCUCACGAAAGAUAUUAAAAAGACGAAGCGUAUGAGACAAACUUAACUCCAUUUUUUUGUAGUUUUUUUAUAAACUAAACAAGUGAUAAAAACAAGAAACAAAAAGACACGAUUGCAAGAUCUAAAGAUAUACCUUCAAGCACUCACCUCCUCAGCAACGGCGCCAGAAAAGAGCUUAGUUGACGGGGUGUGAGUGAGUGCCCUUUACCUAGCCUCCCCGGCAACGGCGCCAGAAAAGAGCUUGAUGUCUACUACACAGCCUUCUUCUUGUAGACAUUGUUGGGCCUGCAAGUGCACAGGUUUGUAGGACAGUAGCAAAUUUCCCUCAAGUGGAUGACCUAUGGUUUAUCAAUCCGUAGGAGGCGUAGGAUGAAGAUGGUCUCUCUCAAACAACCCUGCAACCAAAUAACAAAGAGUCUCUUGUGUCCCCAACACACCCAAUACAAUGGUAAUUUGUAUGGGUGCACUAGUUCGGCGAAGAGAUGAAGAUACAAGUGCAAAAUAUAUAGUAGAUAUAGGUUUUUUUAAUCUGAAAUAAUAAAAACAGCAAGGUAACUAAUGAUAAAAGUGAGCGUAAACGGUAUUGCAAUGAUAGGAAACAAGGCCUUGGGUUCAUACUUUCACUAGUGCAAGUUCUCUCAACAAUAAUAACAUAGAUAGAUCAUAUAACAAUCCCUCAACAUGCAACAAAGAGUCACUCCAAAGACACUAAUAGUGGAGAACGAACGAAGAGAUUAUGGUAGGGUGCGAAACCACCUCAAAGUUAUUUUUUUGGAUCAAUCUAUUCAAGAGUUCGUACUAGAAUAAUACCUUAAGACACAAAUCAACCAAAACCCUAAUGUCACCUAGAUACUCCAUUGUCACCUCAAGUAUCAGUGGGCAUGAUUAUAUGAUAUGCAUCACACAAUCUCAGAUUCAUCUAUUCAACCAACACAAAGUACUUCAAAGAGUGCCCCAAAGUUUCUACCGGAGAGUCAAGAACGUGUGCCAACCCCUAUGCAUAGGUUCAUGGGCGGAACCCGCAAGUUGGUCACCAAAACAUACAUCAAGAGGCACAUGAUAUCCCAUUGUCACCACAGAUAAGUGAUAUCUACUACACAACCUUCUUCUUGUAGACGUUGUUGGGCCUGCAAGUGCACGGGUUUGUAGGACAGUAGCAAAUUUCCCUCAAGUGGAUGACCUAAGGUUUAUCAAUCCGUAGGAGGCGUAGGAUGAAGAUGGUCUCUCUCAAACAACCCUGCAACCAAAUAACAAAGAGUCUCUUGUGUCCCCAACACACCCAAUACAAUGGUAAAUUGUAUAGGUGCACUAGUUCGGUGAAGAGAUGAAGAUGCAAGUGCAAAAUAGAUGGUAGAUAAAGGUAUUUGUAAUCUGAAAUAAUAAAAACAGCGAGGUAGCGAGCGAUAAAAGUGAGCGUAAACGGUAUUGCAAUGAUAGAAAACAAGGCCUAGGGUUCAUACUUUCACUAGUGCAAGUUCUCUCAACAAUAAUAACAUAGAUAGAUCGUAUAACAAUCCCUCAACAUGCAACAAAGAGUCACUCCGAAGUCACUAAUAGCGGAGAACAAACAUAGAGAUUAUGGUAGAGUACGAAACCACCUCAAAUUUAUUCUUUCGGAUCGAUCUAUAAAAGAGUUCGUACUAGAAUAACACCUUAAGACACAAAUCAACCAAAACCCUAAUUUCACCUAGAUACUCCAUUGUCACCUCAAGUAUCCGUGGGCAUGAUUAUACGAUAUGCGUCACACAAUCUCAGAUUCAUCCAACCAACAUGAAAGUACUUCAAAGAGUGCCCCAAAGCUACUACCGGAUGAUACGUCUCCAACGUAUCUAUAAUUUUUGAUUGCUCCAUGCUACUUUAUCUAUUGUUUUGGACUAUAAUGGGCUUUAUUUUAUACUCUUAUAUUAUUUUUGGUACUAACCUAUUAACCGGAGGCCCAGCCCAGAAUUGCUGCUUUUUUGCCUAUUUCAGUGUUUCGAAGAAACGGAAUAUCAAACGGAGUCCAAACGGAAUGAAACCUUCGGGAACGUGAUCUUCUCACCGAACGUGAUCCAGGAGACUUGGACCCUACUCCAAGGAGUGCCAGAGGCGGUCACGAGGGUGGGGGGCACGCCCUUACCCCCUGGGCGCGCCCCCCUACCUCGUGGGCCCCCUGACGCUCCACCGACGUACUCCUUCCUCCUAUAUAUACCUACUUACCCCCAACAGAUCGGGGACGGACCCAAAAUCCUAAUUCCACCGCCGUAACUUCCUGUAUCCACGAGAUCCCAUCUUGGGGCCUGUUCCGGAGCUCCGCCGAAGGGGGCAUCUACCACAGAGGGCUUCUACAUCAUCACCAUAGCCCCUCCGAUGAAGUGUGAGUAGUUUACUUCAGACCUUCGGGUCCAUAGUUAGUAGCUAGAUGGUUUCUUCUCUCUUUUUGGAUCUCAAUACAAUGUUCUCCCCCUCUCUCGUGGAGAUCUAUUCGAUGUAACCUUCUUUUUGCGGUGUGUUUGUUGAGACCGAUGAAUUGUGGGUUUAUGAUCCAACUUACCUAUGGAAAAUAUUUGAUUCUUCUCUGAAUUCUUUUAUGUAUGAUUGAUUUAUCUUUGCAAGUCUCUUAGAAUUAUCCGUUUGGUUUGGCCAACUAGAUUGGUAGUUCUUGCAAUGGGAGAAGUGCUUAGCUUUGGGUUCAAUCUUGCGGUGACCUUACCCAGUGACAGAAAGGGUUGCAAGGCACGUAUUGUAUUGUUGCCAUCGAGGAUAACAAGAUGGGGUAUUUAUCAUAUUGCAUCAAUUUAUUCCUCUACAUCAUGUCAUUUUGCUUAAGGCGUUACUCUGUUUUUAACUUAAUACUCUAGAUGCAUGCUGGAUAGCGGUCGAUGAGUGGAGUAAUAGUAGUAGAUGCAGAAUCGUUUCGGUCUACUUGUCACGGACGUGAUGCCUAUAUACAUGAGCAUUGCCUGGAUAACCUCAUAACUAUGCUCAAUUCUGUCAAUUGCUCAACGGUAAUUUGUUCACCCACCGUAGAAUACUUAUGCUCUUGAGAGAAGCCGCUAGUGAAACCUAUGGCCCCCGGGUCUAUUCUCAUCAUAUCAAUCUCUAUCACUUUAUUUACUUGCUUUUCUUUUACUUUUUACUUUGCAUCUUUAUAGCAAAAAUACCAAAAAUAUUAUCUGUAUCAGAUCUCACCCUCGUAAGUGACUGUGAAGGGAUUGACAACCCCUAAGCGUUGGUUGCGAGUAGCUAUCAUUUUGUGCAGGUACGAGGGACUUGCGCGUGGUCUCCUACUAGAUUGAUACCUUGGUUCUCAAAAACUGAGGGAAAUACUUACGCUACUUUGCUGCAUCAUCCUCUCCUCUUCGGGGAAAUCCAACUCAAGCUCGAGACGUAGCACCGGAGAGUCAAGAACGUGUGCCAACCCCUAUGCAUAGGUUCAUGGGCGGAACCCGCAAGUUGGUCACCAAAACAUACAUCAAGAGGCACAUGAUAUCCCAUUGUCACCACAGAUAAGUGAUAUCUACUACACAACCUUCUUCUUGUAGACGUUGUUGGGCCUGCAAGUGCACGGGUUUGUAGGACAGUAGCAAAUUUCCCUCAAGUGGAUGACCUAAGGUUUAUCAAUCCGUAGGAGGCGUAGGAUGAAGAUGGUCUCUCUCAAACAACCCUGCAACCAAAUAACAAAGAGUCUCUUGUGUCCCCAACACACCCAAUACAAUGGUAAAUUGUAUAGGUGCACUAGUUCGGUGAAGAGAUGAAGAUGCAAGUGCAAAAUAGAUGGUAGAUAAAGGUAUUUGUAAUCUGAAAUAAUAAAAACAGCGAGGUAGCGAGCGAUAAAAGUGAGCGUAAACGGUAUUGCAAUGAUAGAAAACAAGGCCUAGGGUUCAUACUUUCACUAGUGCAAGUUCUCUCAACAAUAAUAACAUAGAUAGAUCGUAUAACAAUCCCUCAACAUGCAACAAAGAGUCACUCCGAAGUCACUAAUAGCGGAGAACAAACAUAGAGAUUAUGGUAGAGUACGAAACCACCUCAAAUUUAUUCUUUCGGAUCGAUCUAUAAAAGAGUUCAUACUAGAAUAACACCUUAAGACACAAAUCAACCAAAACCCUAAUUUCACCUAGAUACUCCAUUGUCACCUCAAGUAUCCGUGGGCAUGAUUAUACGAUAUGCGUCACACAAUCUCAGAUUCAUCCAACCAACAUGAAAGUACUUCAAAGAGUGCCCCAAAGCUACUACCGGAUGAUACGUCUCCAACGUAUCUAUAAUUUUUUAUUGCUCCAUGCUACUUUAUCUAUUGUUUUGGACUAUAAUGGGCUUUAUUUUAUACUCUUAUAUUAUUUUUGGUACUAACCUAUUAACCGGAGGCCCAGCCCAGAAUUGCUGCUUUUUUGCCUAUUUCAGUGUUUCGAAGAAACGGAAUAUCAAACGGAGUCCAAACGGAAUGAAACCUUCGGGAACGUGAUCUUCUCACCGAACGUGAUCCAGGAGACUUGGACCCUACUCCAAGGAGUGCCAGAGGCGGUCACGAGGGUGGGGGGCACGCCCUUACCCCCUGGGCGCGCCCCCCUACCUCGUGGGCCCCCUGACGCUCCACCGACGUACUCCUUCCUCCUAUAUAUACCUACUUACCCCCAACAGAUCGGGGACGGACCCAAAAUCCUAAUUCCACCGCCGUAACUUCCUGUAUCCACGAGAUCCCAUCUUGGGGCCUGUUCCGGAGCUCCGCCGAAGGGGGCAUCUACCACAGAGGGCUUCUACAUCAUCACCAUAGCCCCUCCGAUGAAGUGUGAGUAGUUUACUUCAGACCUUCGGGUCCAUAGUUAGUAGCUAGAUGGUUUCUUCUCUCUUUUUGGAUCUCAAUACAAUGUUCUCCCCCUCUCUCGUGGAGAUCUAUUCGAUGUAACCUUCUUUUUGCGGUGUGUUUGUUGAGACCGAUGAAUUGUGGGUUUAUGAUCCAACUUACCUAUGGAAAAUAUUUGAUUCUUCUCUGAAUUCUUUUAUGUAUGAUUGAUUUAUCUUUGCAAGUCUCUUAGAAUUAUCCGUUUGGUUUGGCCAACUAGAUUGGUAGUUCUUGCAAUGGGAGAAGUGCUUAGCUUUGGGUUCAAUCUUGCGGUGACCUUACCCAGUGACAGAAAGGGUUGCAAGGAACGUAUUGUAUUGUUGCCAUCGAGGAUAACAAGAUGGGGUAUUUAUCAUAUUGCAUCAAUUUAUUCCUCUACAUCAUGUCAUUUUGCUUAAGGCGUUACUCUGUUUUUAACUUAAUACUCUAGAUGCAUGCUGGAUAGCGGUCGAUGAGUGGAGUAAUAGUAGUAGAUGCAGAAUCGUUUCGGUCUACUUGUCACGGACGUGAUGCCUAUAUACAUGAGCAUUGCCUGGAUAACCUCAUAACUAUGCUCAAUUCUGUCAAUUGCUCAACGGUAAUUUGUUCACCCACCGUAUAAUACUUAUGCUCUUGAGAGAAGCCGCUAGUGAAACCUAUGGCCCCCGGGUCUAUUCUCAUCAUAUCAAUCUCUAUCACUUUAUUUACUUGCUUUUCUUUUACUUUUUACUUUGCAUCUUUAUAGCAAAAAUACCAAAAAUAUUAUCUGUAUCAGAUCUCACCCUCGUAAGUGACUGUGAAGGGAUUGACAACCCCUAAGCGUUGGUUGCGAGUAGCUAUCAUUUUGUGCAGGUACGAGGGACUUGCGCGUGGUCUCCUACUAGAUUGAUACCUUGGUUCUCAAAAACUGAGGGAAAUACUUACGCUACUUUGCUGCAUCAUCCUCUCCUCUUCGGGGAAAUCCAACUCAAGCUCGAGACGUAGCACCGGAGAGUCAAGAACGUGUGCCAACCCCUAUGCAUAGGUUCAUGGGCGGAACCCGCAAGUUGGUCACCAAAACAUACAUCAAGAGGCACAUGAUAUCCCAUUGUCACCACAGAUAAGUGAUAUCUACUACACAACCUUCUUCUUGUAGACGUUGUUGGGCCUGCAAGUGCACGGGUUUGUAGGACAGUAGCAAAUUUCCCUCAAGUGGAUGACCUAAGGUUUAUCAAUCCGUAGGAGGCGUAGGAUGAAGAUGGUCUCUCUCAAACAACCCUGCAACCAAAUAACAAAGAGUCUCUUGUGUCCCCAACACACCCAAUACAAUGGUAAAUUGUAUAGGUGCACUAGUUCGGUGAAGAGAUGAAGAUGCAAGUGCAAAAUAGAUGGUAGAUAAAGGUAUUUGUAAUCUGAAAUAAUAAAAACAGCGAGGUAGCGAGCGAUAAAAGUGAGCGUAAACGGUAUUGCAAUGAUAGAAAACAAGGCCUAGGGUUCAUACUUUCACUAGUGCAAGUUCUCUCAACAAUAAUAACAUAGAUAGAUCGUAUAACAAUCCCUCAACAUGCAACAAAGAGUCACUCCGAAGUCACUAAUAACGGAGAACAAACAUAGAGAUUAUGGUAGAGUACGAAACCACCUCAAAUUUAUUCUUUCGGAUCGAUCUAUAAAAGAGUUCGUACUAGAAUAACACCUUAAGACACAAAUCAACCAAAACCCUAAUUUCACCUAGAUACUCCAUUGUCACCUCAAGUAUCCGUGGGCAUGAUUAUACGAUAUGCGUCACACCAUCUCAGAUUCAUCCAACCAACAUGAAAGUACUUCAAAGAGUGCCCCAAAGCUACUACCGGAUGAUACGUCUCCAACGUAUCUAUAAUUUUUGAUUGCUCCAUGCUACUUUAUCUAUUGUUUUGGACUAUAAUGGGCUUUAUUUUAUACUCUUAUAUUAUUUUAGGUACUAACCUAUUAACCGGAGGCCCAGCCCAGAAUUGCUGCUUUUUUGCCUAUUUCAGUGUUUCGAAGAAACGGAAUAUCAAACGGAGUCCAAACGGAAUGAAACCUUCGGGAACGUGAUCUUCUCACCGAACGUGAUCCAGGAGACUUGGACCCUACUCCAAGGAGUGCCAGAGGCGGUCACGAGGGUGGGGGGCACGCCCUUACCCCCUGGGCGCGCCCCCCUACCUCGUGGGCCCCCUGACGCUCCACCGAUGUACUCCUUCCUCCUAUAUAUACCUACUUACCCCCAACAGAUCGGGGACGGACCCAAAAUCCUAAUUCCACCGCCGUAACUUCCUGUAUCCACGAGAUCCCAUCUUGGGGCCUGUUCCGGAGCUCCGCCGAAGGGGGCAUCUACCACAGAGGGCUUCUACAUCAUCACCAUAGCCCCUCCGAUGAAGUGUGAGUAGUUUACUUCAGACCUUCGGGUCCAUAGUUAGUAGCUAGAUGGUUUCUUCUCUCUUUUUGGAUCUCAAUACAAUGUUCUCCCCCUCUCUCGUGGAGAUCUAUUCGAUGUAACCUUCUUUUUGCGGUGUGUUUGUUGAGACCGAUGAAUUGUGGGUUUAUGAUCCAACUUACCUAUGGAAAAUAUUUGAUUCUUCUCUGAAUUCUUUUAUGUAUGAUUGAUUUAUCUUUGCAAGUCUCUUAGAAUUAUCCGUUUGGUUUGGCCAACUAGAUUGGUAGUUCUUGCAAUGGGAGAAGUGCUUAGCUUUGGGUUCAAUCUUGCGGUGACCUUACCCAGUGACAGAAAGGGUUGCAAGGCACGUAUUGUAUUGUUGCCAUCGAGGAUAACAAGAUGGGGUAUUUAUCAUAUUGCAUCAAUUUAUUCCUCUACAUCAUGUCAUUUUGCUUAAGGCGUUACUCUAUUUUUAACUUAAUACUCUAGAUGCAUGCUGGAUAGCGGUCGAUGAGUGGAGUAAUAGUAGUAGAUGCAGAAUCGUUUCGGUCUACUUGUCACGGACGUGAUGCCUAUAUACAUGAGCAUUGCCUGGAUAACCUCAUAACUAUGCUCAAUUCUGUCAAUUGCUCAAUGGUAAUUUGUUCACCCACCGUAGAAUACUUAUGCUCUUGAGAGAAGCCGCUAGUGAAACCUAUGGCCCCCGGGUCUAUUCUCAUCAUAUCAAUCUCUAUCACUUUAUUUACUUGCUUUUCUUUUACUUUUUACUUUGCAUCUUUAUAGCAAAAAUACCAAAAAUAUUAUCUGUAUCAGAUCUCACCCUCGUAAGUGACUGUGAAGGGAUUGACAACCCCUAAGCGUUGGUUGCGAGUAGCUAUCAUUUUGUGCAGGUACGAGGGACUUGCGCGUGGUCUCCUACUAGAUUGAUACCUUGGUUCUCAAAAACUGAGGGAAAUACUUACGCUACUUUGCUGCAUCAUCCUCUCCUCUUCGGGGAAAUCCAACUCAAGCUCGAGACGUAGCACCGGAGAGUCAAGAACGUGUGCCAACCCCUAUGCAUAGGUUCAUGGGCGGAACCCGCAAGUUGGUCACCAAAACAUACAUCAAGAGGCACAUGAUAUCCCAUUGUCACCACAGAUAAGUGAUAUCUACUACACAACCUUCUUCUUGUAGACGUUGUUGGGCCUGCAAGUGCACGGGUUUGUAGGACAGUAGCAAAUUUCCCUCAAGUGGAUGACCUAAGGUUUAUCAAUCCGUAGGAGGCGUAGGAUGAAGAUGGUCUCUCUCAAACAACCCUGCAACCAAAUAACAAAGAGUCUCUUGUGUCCCCAACACACCCAAUACAAUGGUAAAUUGUAUAGGUGCACUAGUUCGGUGAAGAGAUGAAGAUGCAAGUGCAAAAUAGAUGGUAGAUAAAGGUAUUUGUAAUCUGAAAUAAUAAAAACAGCGAGGUAGCGAGCGAUAAAAGUGAGCGUAAACGGUAUUGCAAUGAUAGAAAACAAGGCCUAGGGUUCAUACUUUCACUAGUGCAAGUUCUCUCAACAAUAAUAACAUAGAUAGAUCGUAUAACAAUCCCUCAACAUGCAACAAAGAGUCACUCCGAAGUCACUAAUAGCGGAGAACAAACAUAUAGAUUAUGGUAGAGUACGAAACCACCUCAAAUUUAUUCUUUCGGAUCGAUCUAUAAAAGAGUUCGUACUAGAAUAACACCUUAAGACACAAAUCAUCCAAAACCCUAAUUUCACCUAGAUACUCCAUUGUCACCUCAAGUAUCCGUGGGCAUGAUUAUACGAUAUGCGUCACACAAUCUCAGAUUCAUCCAACCAACAUGAAAGUACUUCAAAGAGUGCCCCAAAGCUACUACCGGAUGAUACGUCUCCAACGUAUCUAUAAUUUUUGAUUGCUCCAUGCUACUUUAUCUAUUGUUUUGGACUAUAAUGGGCUUUAUUUUAUACUCUUAUAUUAUUUUUGGUACUAACCUAUUAACCGGAGGCCCAGCCCAGAAUUGCUGCUUUUUUGCCUAUUUCAGUGUUUCGAAGAAACGGAAUAUCAAACGGAGUCCAAACGGAAUGAAACCUUCGGGAACGUGAUCUUCUCACCGAACGUGAUCCAGGAGACUUGGACCCUACUCCAAGGAGUGCCAGAGGCGGUCACGAGGGUGGGGGGCACGCCCUUACCCCCUGGGCGCGCCCCCCUACCUCGUGGGCCCCCUGACGCUCCACCGACGUACUCCUUCCUCCUAUAUAUACCUACUUACCCCCAACAGAUCGGGGACGGACCCAAAAUCCUAAUUCCACCGCCGUAACUUCCUGUAUCCACGAGAUCCCAUCUUGGGGCCUGUUCCGGAGCUCCGCCGAAGGGGGCAUCUACCACAGAGGGCUUCUACAUCAUCACCAUAGCCCCUCCGAUGAAGUGUGAGUAGUUUACUUCAGACCUUCGGGUCCAUAGUUAGUAGCUAGAUGGUUUCUUCUCUCUUUUUGGAUCUCAAUACAAUGUUCUCCCCCUCUCUCGUGGAGAUCUAUUCGAUGUAACCUUCUUUUUGCGGUGUGUUUGUUGAGACCGAUGAAUUGUGGGUUUAUGAUCCAACUUACCUAUGGAAAAUAUUUGAUUCUUCUCUGAAUUCUUUUAUGUAUGAUUGAUUUAUCUUUGCAAGUCUCUUAGAAUUAUCCGUUUGGUUUGGCCAACUAGAUUGGUAGUUCUUGCAAUGGGAGAAGUGCUUAGCUUUGGGUUCAAUCUUGCGGUGACCUUACCCAGUGACAGAAAGGGUUGCAAGGCACGUAUUGUAUUGUUGCCAUCGAGGAUAACAAGAUGGGGUAUUUAUCAUAUUGCAUCAAUUUAUUCCUCUACAUCAUGUCAUUUUGCUUAAGGCGUUACUCUGUUUUUAACUUAAUACUCUAGAUGCAUGCUGGAUAGCGGUCGAUGAGUGGAGUAAUAGUAGUAGAUGCAGAAUCGUUUCGGUCUACUUGUCACGGACGUGAUGCCUAUAUACAUGAGCAUUGCCUGGAUAACCUCAUAACUAUGCUCAAUUCUGUCAAUUGCUCAACGGUAAUUUGUUCACCCACCGUAGAAUACUUAUGCUCUUGAGAGAAGCCGCUAGUGAAACCUAUGGCCCCCGGGUCUAUUCUCAUCAUAUCAAUCUCUAUCACUUUAUUUACUUGCUUUUCUUUUACUUUUUACUUUGCAUCUUUAUAGCAAAAAUACCAAAAAUAUUAUCUGUAUCAGAUCUCACCCUCGUAAGUGACUGUGAAGGGAUUGACAACCCCUAAGCGUUGGUUGCGAGUAGCUAUCAUUUUGUGCAGGUACGAGGGACUUGCGCGUGGUCUCCUACUAGAUUGAUACCUUGGUUCUCAAAAACUGAGGGAAAUACUUACGCUACUUUGCUGCAUCAUCCUCUCCUCUUCGGGGAAAUCCAACUCAAGCUCGAGACGUAGCACCGGAGAGUCAAGAACGUGUGCCAACCCCUAUGCAUAGGUUCCCAAUGUCACAAAACCCGCAAGUUGAUCACCAAAACAUACAUCAAGUGGAUCGCAAGACAUACAUCAAGUGUUCUCAUAAAAGACUCAAUCCGAUAAAAUAACUUCAAAGGGGAAACUCAACUCAUCACAAGAGAGUAGAGGGGAAGAAACAUCAUAAGAUCCAACUACAAUAGCAAAGCUCGGGAUACAUCAAGAUCGUGCCAUAGUGGGAACCCGAGAGAGAACACGAGAGAGAUAUCAAACACAUAGCUACUGGUACAUACCCUCAGCCCCGAGGGUGAACUACUCCCUCCUCGUCAUGGAUAGCGCCGGGAUGAUGAAGAUGGCCACCGGUGAAGGAUCCCCCCUCAGGCAGGGUGCCGGGAAGGGCUCCCGAGAGGUUUUUGGUGGCUACAGAGGCUUGCGGCGGCGGAAAUCCUGAUCUAUCUUCUGUUCUGGAUGUUUUACGAUACGUAAGUAUAUAUGGGUGCAAGGGAUACGUCAGUGGACCGAAGGGGGGCCACGAGGCAGGGGGUGCGCCUAGGGGGGUGGGCCUGGGGCGCGCCCCCCACCCUCGUGAGCACCUCCCUUCUUUCCUGACGUCCACUCCAAGUCCAUUGGGUGGCUUUCCUUCCAGAAAUAACUUCUCCAGUUGAUUUCGUUCCGUUUUGACUCCGUCUGAUAUUCAUUUUCCUCGAAACACUGAAAUAGGCAUAAAACAACAAAUCUGGGUUGGGCCUCCGGUUAAUAGGUUAGUCCCAAAAAUAAUAUAAAAGUGGAUAAUAAAGCCCAAUGUUGCCUAAAACAGUAGAUAAAAUAGCAUGGAGCAAUCAAAAAUUAUAGAUACGUUGGAGACGUAUCAAGCAUCCCCAAGCUUAAUUCCUGCUCGUCCUCGAGUAGGUAAAUGAUAAAAGAGAAUUUAUGAUGCGGAGUGAUACUUUGGCAUAAUUUCAAUGUAAAUCUUCUUAAUUGUGGUAUGAAUAUUCAGAUCCGAAAGAUUCAAGACAAAAGUUCAUAUUGACAUAAAAAUAAUAAUACUUCAAGCAUACUAACUAAGCAAUUAUGUCUUCUCAAAAUAACAUGGCCAAAGAAAGUUAUCCAUACAAAAUCAUAUAGUCUGGCUAAGCUCUAUCUUCAUCACACAAAGUAUUUAAUCAUGCACAACCAAGUUGACGAGCCAAGCAAUUGUUUCAUACUUUAAUAAUGUCAAACUUUUUCAACUUUCACGCAAUACAUGAGCGUGAGCCAUGGACAUAGCACUAUAGGUGGAAUAGAAUGGUGGUUGUGGAGAAGACAAAAAGGAGGAGAUAGUCUCACAUCAACUAGGCGUAUCAACGGGCUAUGGAGAUGCCCAUUAAUAGAUAUCAAUGUGAGUGAGUAGGGAUUGCCAUGCAACGGAUGCACUAGAGCUAUAAGUAUAUGAAAGCUCAACAAAAGAAACUAAGUGGGUGUGCAUCCAACUUGCUUGCUCACGAAGACCUAGGGCACUUUUGAGGAAGCCCAUCAUUGGAAUAUAGAAGCCAAGUUCUAUAAUGAAAAAUUCCCACUAGUAUAUGAAAGUGACAACAUAUGAGACUCUCUAUCAUGAAGAUCACGGUGCUACUUUGAAGCACAAGUGUGGUAAAAGGAUAGUAGCAUUGUCCCUUCUCUCUUUUUCUCUCAUUUUUUUAUUGGGCCUUUUCUCUCUCUUUUUUAUGGCCACUCUUUUUUUCGUCCGGAGUCUCAUCCCGACUUAUGGGGGAAUCAUAGUCUCCAUCAUCCUUUCCUCACUGAGACAAUGCUCUAAUAAUGAUGAUCAUCACACUUUUAUUUUUCUUACAACUCAACAAUUACAACUCGAUACUUAGAACAAAAUAUGACUCUAUAUGAAUGCCUCCGGCGGUGUACCGGGAUAUGCAAUGAAUCAAGAGCGACAUGUAUGAAAAUUAUGAAGGUGGCCUUGCCACAAAUACAAUGUCAACUACAUGUUCAUGCAAAAAGCAAUAUGACAAAAGUAAUGUGUGUCAUAUGAAUGAAACGAUGGAAAGUUGCAUGGCAAUAUAUCUCGGAAUGGCUAUGGUAAUGCCAUAAUAGGUAGGUAUGGUGGCUGUUUUGAGGAAGGUAUAUGGUGGGUGUAUGGUACCGGCGAAUGUUGCGCGGCACAAGAGAGGCUAGCAAUAAUGGAAGGGUGAAAGGGUGCGUAUAAUCCAUGGACUCAACAUUAAUCAAAAGAACUCAUGCACUUGUUGCAAAAAUUUAGAGGUCAUCAAAAACCAAAGCACUACGCGCAUGCUCCUAGGGGGAUAGAUUGGUAGGAAAAGACCAUCGCUCAUCCCCGACCGCCACACAUAAGGAAGACAAUCAAUAAAUAAAAUUGUGCUCCAACUUCAUCACAAAGCGGUUCACCAUAUGUGCAUGCUACGGGAAUCACAAACUUCAACACAAGCAUUCUUUAAAUUCAUAAUCACCCAACUAGCAUCACUUUGAUAUUAUCACCUCCAUAUCUCAAAACAUUUAUCAAGCAUCAAACUUAUCUUAGUAUUCAACGCACUCAAAAGAAAGUUUCACAUAUCUUGAAUGCCAAGUAUCUUAAUGUUAAGUAAGUUACCAUGCUAUUAAAGACUCUGAAAAAAAUAUAAGUGAAGCAUGAGAGUUCAUCUGUUUCUUCAAAAUAAAACCACCAUUGUGCUCUAAAAGAUAUAAGUGAAAUACUAGAGCAAACGACAAACUACUCUGAAAGAUAUAAGUGAAGAUCAAUGAGUAGCUAAAUAAUUAUGCAACUAUGCAAAGACUCUCUCUCAUUAAAGAACUUCAGAUCUUGGUAUCUUAUUCAAACAGCAAGCAAAGCAAAAUAAAAUGACAAUGCAAGGAUAGCACAACUCAUGUGAAGAAGCAAAAACUUAGGCUCAACCGAUACUAACCGAUAGUGAUUGAAGAAGAAAGGUGGGAUGCCUACCGGGGCAUCCCCAAGCUUAGAUGCUUGAGACUUCUUGAAAUAUUAUCUUGGGGUGCCUUGGGCAUCCCCAAGCUUGAGCUUUUAUGUCUCCUUAAUUCCUCUCAUAUCAUGGUUUCUCUUCCUUUAUCAAAAGCUUCAUUCACAACAAACUCAACAAGAACUCGUGAGAUAGGUUAGUAUAAACCAAUGCAAAACCAUAGCAUCUUCUACUGUAACAAACCACUAACAUUAUUAUUCAACAUUGCAUACUAAAUGCCUCUGUAUAUUUAAUACUCCUAUCCUCAAAUAGAAUCAUUAAACAAGCAAACAUACGCAAACAAUGCAAACAUAACACCAAUCUGCCAAAAUAGUACAGUCUGUAAAGAAUGCAAGAGUAACAAUACUUCCCUGACUCCAAAAAUUAUGAACUAAAAUUCGCACUGUAAAAAUUUAUCAGAUCUUAAUAUGCAAAAAUAUUCAACAUUAUACCAUUCUCUGACUUUUCUAGGGAAUUUUUGCAACAGCGGUAAACUUUCUGUUUUCAAACAGCAACAUGUAUACUAGCAAAAUAAGCAUGGCAAAGGCUAUCCUUGACUUUUUUAUUGAAACUAAAGAUACAAAACAUUAUUCUAAUUAACAGCAAGCAAAAACUAGCAAAAUAAUAUGACGCUCCAAGCAAAACACAUAUCAUGUGGCGAAUAAAAAUAUAGCUCCAAGUAAAGUUACCGAUGAACGAAGACGAAAGAGAGGAUGCCAUCCGGGGCAUCCCCAAGCUUAGUUGCUUGAUUGUCCUUGAAUAUUACCUUGGGGUGCCUUGGGAAUCCCCAAUCUUAGGCUCUUUCCACUCCUUAUUCCAUAAUCCAUCGAAUCUUUACCCAAAACUUGAAAACCUCAACCACACAAAACUCAAAACAAAACUCGUAAGCUCCGUUAGUAUAAGAAAAUAAAUCACCACUUAGGUACUGUAAUGAACUCAUUCUAAAUUAAUAUUGGUGUAAUAUCUACUGUAUUAUAACUUCUCUAUGGUUCAUACCACUUAAUACUAGCCAUAGAUGCACCAAAAUAAGCAAACAACACAAUGAAAACAGAAUCUGUCAAAAACAGAAUAGUCUGUAGUAAUCUGUAUCAAAUGUAUACCUCUGGAACACCACAAAUUAUGAAAUAAAUUUCUGGACCUGAAUAAUUUGUCUAUUAAUCAUCUGAAAAAAGAAUCAACCUAAAAUCACUUUUCAGUAAAAAAUGGCAGCCAUUCUCGUGAGCGCAAAAGUUUCUGUUUUCUACAGCAAGAUCAUUUAAACUUCACCCAAGUCUUCCCAAAGGUUCUACUUGGCACUUCAUUGAAAUAAAAUCUAUAAAACAUGAUUACUACAGUAGAAUAAUAAUGUGGACACACAAAAACAGUAAGGUUAAAUAUUGGGUUGUCUCCCAACAAGCGCUUUUCUUUAAUGCCUUUCUAGCUAGGCAUGAUGAUGACAAUGAUGCUCACAUAAAAGAUAAGAAUUGAAACAUAACGGGAGCAUCAUGAAGCAUAUGACUAGCACAUUUAGGCCUAACCCUCUUCCUAUGCAUAGGGACUUUGUGAGCAAACAACUUAGGGGAACAAUAAUCAACAAGGAUAGGAAGGUAAAACAAGCAUAACUUCAAGAUUUUCCACACAUAGAGAGGAAACUUGACAUUAUUUUAAUUCCUACAAGCAUAAGUUCCUCCCUCAUAAUAAUUUUCAGUAGUAUCAUGAAUGAAUUCAACAAUAUAACCAGGACCUAAAGCAUUCUUUUCAUGAUCUACUAGCAUAGAAAAUUUACUACUCUCCACAUAAGCAAAAUUCUUCUCAUGAAUAAUAGUGGGAGCAAACUCAACAAAAUAACUAUCACAUGAUUGAAAAUUAAGAUCAAGAUGACAAGUUUCAUGGUUAUCAUUAUUCUUUAAAGCAUACGCGUCAUCACAAUAAUCAUCAUAGAUAGGAGGCAUGCUUUCAUCAUAGUAAAUUUGCUCAUCAAAGCUUGGGGGACAAAAAAUAUCAUCUCCAUCAAACAUAGCUUCCCCAAGCUUGUGGCUUUGCAUAUCAUUAGCAUCAUGGAUAUUCAGGGAAUUCAUACUAACAACAUUGCAAUCAUGCUCAUCAUUCACAUAUUUCAUGCCAAGCAUUCUAUGUAAUUCUUCUUCUAGCACUUGAGCACAAUUUUCCUUUCCAUCAUACUCACGAAAGAUAUUAAAAAGACAAAGCGUAUGAGACAAACUUAACUCAAUUUUUUGUAGUUUUCUUUUAUAAACUAAACUAGUGAUAAAACAAGAAACGAAAAGAUUCGAUUGCAAGAUCUAAAGAUAUACCUUCAAGCACUCACCUCCCCAAAAAAGAGCUUAGUUGACGGAGUGUGAGUACCCUUUACCUAGCUUCCCCGGCAACGGCGCCAGAAAAGAGCUUGAUGUCUACUACACAACCUUCUUCUUGUAGACGUUGUUGGGCCUGCAAGUGCACAGGUUUGUAGGAUACUAGCAAAUUUCCCUCAAGUGGAUGACCUAAGGUUUAGCAAUCCCUAGGAGGCAUAGGAUGAAGAUGGUCUCUCUCAAACAACCCUGCAACCAAAUAACAAAGAGUCUCUUGUGUCCCCAACACACCCAAUACAAUGGUAAAUUGUAUAGGUGCACUAGUCCGGCGAAGAGAUGAAGAUGCAAGUGCAAAAUAGAUGGUAGAUAAAGGUAUUUGUAAUCUGAAAUAAUAAAAACAGCAAAGUAGCGAGCGAUAAAAGUGAGCGUAAACGGUAUUGCAAUGAUAGGAAGCAAGGCCUAGGGUUCAUACUUUCACUAGUGCAAGUUCUCUCAACAAUAAUAACAUAGAUAGAUCGUAUAACAAUCCCUCAACAUGCAACAAAGAGUCACUCCGAAGCCACUAAUAGCGGAGAACAAACGUAGAGAUUAUGGUAGGGUACGAAACCACCUCAAAGUUAUUCUUUCGGAUCGAUCUAUUCAAGAGUUUUUACUAGAAUAACACCUUAAGGCACAAAUCAACCAAAACCCUAAUGUCACCUAGAUACUCCAUUGUCACCUCAAGUAUCCGUGGGCAUGAUUAUAUGAUAUGCGUCACACAAUCUCAGAUUCAUCCAACCAACAUGAAAGUACUUCAAAGAGUGCCCCAAAGCUACUACCGGAGAGUCAAGAACGUGUGCCAACCCCUAUGCAUAGGUUCCCAAUGUCACGAAACCCGCAGGUUGAUCACCAAAACUCAUCAAGUGGAUCGCAAGACAUACAUCAAGUGUUCUCAUAAAAGACUCUAUCCGAUAAAAUAACUUCAAAGGGCAAACUCAAUUCAUCACAAGAGAGUAGAGGGGGAGAAACAUCAUAAGAUCCAACUACAAUAGCAAAGCUCGGGAUACAUCAAGAUCGUGCCAUAGUGGGAACACGAGAGAGAACUUGAGAGAGAGAGAUCAAACACAUAGCUACUGGUACAUACCCUCAGCCCCGAGGGUGAACUACUCCCUCCUCGUCAUGGAUAGCGUCGGGAUGAUGAAGAUGGCCACCGGUGAAGGAUCCCCCCUCCGGCAGGGUGCCGGGAAGGGCUCCCGAGAGGUUUUUGGUGGCUACAGAGGCUUGCGGCAGCGGAACUCCCGAUCUAUCUUCUGUUCUGGAAGUUUUACGAUACGUAGGUACAUAUGGGUGCAAGGGGUACGUCGAUGGACCGAAGGAGGGGGGCCACGAGGCAGGGGCGCGCCCCCCACCCUCGUGAGCACCUCCCUUCUUUCCUGACGUGCACUCCAAGUCCAUCGGGUGGAUUUCCUUCCAAAAAUAACUUCUCCAGUUGAUUUCGUUCCGUUUUGACUCCGUCUGAUAUUCCUUUUCCUCGAAACAGAGAAAUAGGCAUAAAACAUCAAAUCUGGGCUGGGCCUCCGGUUAAUAGGUUAGUCCCAAAAAUAAUAUGAAAGUGGAUAAUAAAGCCCAAUAUUGCCUAAACAGUAGAUAAAAUAGCAUGGAGCAAUCAAAAAUUAUAGAUACGUUGGAGACGUAUCAAUAAGCAUGGCAAGACAUACAUCAAGUGUUCUCAUAAAAAACUCAAUCCGAUAAGAUAACUUCAAAGGGGAAAACUCAAUUCAUCACAAGAGAGUAGAGGGGGAGAAACAUCAUAAGAUCCAACUACAAUAGCAAAGCUCGGGAUACAUCAAGAUCGUGCCAUAGAGGGAACACGAGAGAGAGAGAGAGAUCAAACACAUAGCUCCUGGUACAUACCCUCAACCUCGAGGGUGAAGUACUCCCUCCUCGUCAUGGAGAGCGCCGGGAUGAUGAAGAUGGCCACCGGUGAAGGAUCCCCCCUCCGGCAGGGUGCCGGGAAGGGCUCCCGAGAGGUUUUUGGUGGCUACAGAGGCUUGCGGGGGCGGAACUCCCGAUCUAUCUUCUUCGUGGAUGUUUUUAGGGUACGUGGGACUAUAUAGGCAAAAUAAGUCGGUCGGAAGGUGCUCGAGGGGUCCACGAGACAGGGGGCACGCCCUCCUAUCUUGUGGCCUCCUCGAGGCUCUUCUGAUGUGAACUCCAAGUCUCCUGGGUGAUAUUCUUCCAAAAAAUCACGUUGCCGAAGGUUUCAUUCCGUUUGGACUCCGUUCGAUAUUCCUUUUCUUCGAAAUACUGAAACAGGCAAUAAAACAGCAAUAUGGGCUGGGCCUCCUAUUAAUAGGUUAGUCCCAAAAGUAAUAUAAAAGUGUAUAAUAAAGCCCAUAAUCAUUCAAAACAGAUAAUAUAAUAGCAUGGAACAAUCAAAAAUUAUAGAUACGUUGGAGACGUAUCACUACCCUACACUCAAGAAGCCCGGUCCACGUGGCGUCAUCACCAUUAGCGGAAUCACAGAGCGCUCUUCACGCGCAGAGGAACACGUGACGGCCCUGGCAGCCGGACUAUAAGCGGCCUCCAAUAUUAGAAAACAUGACUGGUCAUUAAGACCACAGACAGGUUAGACGAGUCCGGUAGCCCGGAUAAAAUUAAACCAGGGCACCGUAUAUGUAAUCCCGUAGCGGACACCAGGGGCUAUAAAUAUUUAAUACAGCCCCACACUUGGCUCAACCUUAUUGCCAGGCCAACAUCUUACACUUUUACUAUCCAUGGCAUACUUACGUUGUACUCUCCUACGAGUUUUCCUUUUUCCACAGACAACGUUCGUGUGAUACCCUUCCAGGAUAUGACACAUCGGAGACAAAGGCGCAGACGUGCAGCAGGGCCCCGUUCAAUAGGUUUCUUUUUAGAUUAAGCCCCUGUGUAAACCUUUUCUAUUGCCUCUUGUUGUUUAACCAUCCCAUGGGUUCCAUACCCACAGAGGAUACUGUCAUUAUUGGCAUUUCGCCACAAUAGAUUACCGCACGUACCUGGAAACACACGGUUUAUGAUGAAUGGGCAUUCUUUAGCCCAUCUUCUGUUACAAAGCCCGAAUACCUUCGGGAGUGUUCGGUGUCACGAGUUUGGCCUUAUAUGCAUUAGCUCUGAAUCAUGUCUUUGGUCAAAUGUUGGGUUUGCCCGGCUCCUGGGUUUGCUGUCUUACAUUCCGUUAUUAUCGGCUAAGGCGGCCAAAGGAGAACUACUGCGAUUGUACCCUGGUUAUUCCGGAUAGGCACCUCAGUAGAGAAAGCCGAAAACUGACUGUCAUGAUGCAGCAAGAGACUGUUCAACCACUCGAAGACUCACCGGAAUCUUUAGGAUUCCUCCGCAUUAACGAAGGGCCGUUUCCCGGCCAUGUACAUACGCGCCCGUAUUCGGAUGCACGCGAAGGUACCAGGGGAUACAUAGUAGCCCCACCUUUAGACUCCCAUGGCUAAGCAAAAGUGUUACAGCUAUAUAGUCCGGUUGCCUAGUUCGACGUGCGAUCACCUCCUUAAUGGACCAAGACGUUGGAUCAAGUGUGAUUAAGCAUAUUUUUCGCGAAUACCCUCGCAUUGUAUGCGUGGGGGCUGAAGCCAACGACUGCUAACCUUUGGAUUACUUAUAUACAUAUAUAAAAACGGCCGCACAGGGGACACAAUAUUCUUUUCAGGCAAAAAGUAUAAAUAUAGCCUCAUAAUCAAAAUAAACAUGUUUUACAAUGAUUCGAUUUAUCACUCGAACAAGACAUUCUUCGAGCACUGCGCCUCUAUUAGCCGGGCACCUUCUGUGACCUGCGCCAAGUAGUGCUCGGUCGGAUAUUGGCCUCCCGCCGGAUCCUGGGUUGCUACAAUGGUGGCCUCCAUAUCCGACCAAUAAGCUUUAACGUUGGCAAGAGCCAUUCGUGCACCCUCUAUGCACACCGACCUCCUCAUGGCAUCGAUCCGAGGCACGGCCCCAAGGAAUUGUUGCACCAAACCAAAGUAGCUAUCCGGCUUAGGCCCCUUCGGCCAAAGAUGGUCUAUUACAGACCGCAUUGCAAGCCCAGACAGCCCGUGAAGCUCCACCACAGCAGCCAUCUUCUCAUUUAACGGCAGCGGGCGGGUGGGAGCAUUGAAUUGCGACCAGAAAAGCUUCUCCACUUCCUUAUCACCUUGAUCCUCGAAGAACUUGGCAGCGUCAGCCGUACUAUUCGCCAAGUCCGCAUAUGCGUCGGCCGGACUCCGGCGUCCAUCUAGGGGAGCAUAGUUCGGAUCCAAAAACUUCAUCCGCAGUAAGUAGGAGCCCCCAGCCACGAUUUGGUCGGCCUGUUGGAGCUCCUCCCGCAUACCCCGGAUCUCGGUCCGCAUCUCCUUGGUGGCAUUAAGUGCCUUGUCCAGCUCGGCCGAGCUAGCCUUAUUCUCCUUUUCAAGCAGUACAUACCGGUUGGCGGCAUUUUUUAGCUCCACAGCCAUUUUGGAUAUCUUUUCCUCGCUUCGGCGAUGAGCAUCCUAUUCGGCUCUCAAUUCUUCGGCCCCCUUUAGGGCAGCCGCAUUGCUAGCCCGAGCUUGUUCCUUGGCUUGAGCAUGUUCCACCCUCAGGGCCUCCACAGCAGCAGCACCAUCUGCAGUACAAACACAUUGCAUUAAUAUUAUGCCCCUCUCACAUUUUCCUAUACAACAUAAUAAGGGAAGCAGAGCACAUACCCGGUGACUCUUCCAGCCAUUUGUUCACCAGCGUGAUAUCGGCAUCGAUCGAUCCGAUCUGCCUCCUUAGUUCGGCAACUUCAACAGACUGGUCGGCUGUCGGAUCCUUAGAUACCUGCGCACAUGUACAACACAGCCAUUACUAUAUGAUCCCCCGUUUGCCGCCUAUGGCGGGCAACCAGAGUCUCAGGGGCUACUAUCCAUAUGGAGCACACCUAGCGCAUGCCUCACAGCCAAAAAAUAGUGCAUUUUUUACUACAUACCUCAAAGCCUCUGAGCAGGCUCGUAAAUGCCUCAUUCAAACCGCUUGUAGCGGAUGAAAUCUUCUUAAGCACCGCACUCAUUAAUGAGCGGUGCUCCGCUGAGAGCGCAACUCACUCCAGAAGACCUGUCAGUAAGUCCGGCCGGGCAUCGAACUGUGCCAGACCCUUCUCAUGACCCCCCAUGGGAGCCAAACGCUCCGGGCUCAGGGCGACUGACGUAUUGGCCUCUGGCUUCGGCAGAUCCGGACUCCUCCAUGACGACACCUCAGUGUUGCCCGCUUCAUGAGGCGGAGAGGUGGGUGGGGUGUCGCUCUCCAUCAUCUCCGAAGGAAGAUCCCCCGAAGAUGAACUCUGUUGAGGAGAGCUGCUAGCCGGACUGCAAAAGAUGAAUCCUGGUUAUUGAUCUCGGAGAAACGCAGUACCCUCGGAAUAGUGAUUAACUUACAGCUUGUUCGAGGGCUGGCCCGUUGGUGGGCCUGACGUGGUGAGAACGCCCGUCGAGACAGAGCCCCCCGGGGACACUUUCUUCCCCUGUUUGGGCAUCUCCGUCUCCAAGUCUUCGGAGGCGGCCCUUUUCUUUCCGCGCAGGGAGGUGGCCUCAGAUUCCCCUCCCCGACUAUCCUCCUUUGGGGAGAAAUCAAUUCCCCCGGUCUGGAUGUGUAGUGUCUGAAGUCCGGCUUCGCUGCCCUUUCCUUCGCCUUUCCCUGAGGGCAUUUUGCUAAGCACCCGGCCAAGCAUCUUGGCAACGGUUGGACCCGGUGAGCCUUCAGGAAGUGGCGCCGGACACCUGAUUCUCUCCGCCUUGUUGAACCAUUCCUGGCCACGGAGGGUUUUUCAGAACAAUGGUUAUGGCAAAUAUAAACAGAGUGUCCGUCUUUAAGGUUACUUACUUGGGUAUCUAGGCGAUUGCAGCUUAGGCCUGCAUCCUCAGUGGUGUCCGGGCACUUUACUUGUGGUCCGAAGAAUAAUUUACACAUCGCUUCGAGCUUCAGGCCGAAGAAGUGCUUAAUAGUCCACAGACCCUCCGGAUUGAACUCCCACAUCCGGAGAGGCCGACGUUUGCACGGCAACAUCCGUCGGAUUAGCAUUACUUGAAUUAUGCUGACAAGAUUUAUGCCCCUCUCGAUAAGCUCCCAGAUACGGCUCUGCAGUAUUGGAACAUCACUGGCAGGCCCCCAAUUCCGUCCUGCGUCGGUCCAUGACGCCAACUGUAUACAUCGUCCGGACUAUUGAAGCGUGAAGAUACAAGACUCAAGACUUCGGCCUGUGUCCGGAUGGGACUCUCCUUUGCGUGGAAGGCAAGCUUGGCGAUCCGGAUAUUGUGUUUCCUUCCUUGUAACCGACUUCGUGUAAACCUUAGCCCUCUCCGGUGUCUAUAUAAACUGGAGAGGUUGGUCCUUAGAAGGACGAUCACAAUUACAAUCAUACCAUCAUAGGCUAUCUCUUAGGGUUUAGCCUCUACGAUCUCGUGGUAGAUCUACUCUUGUACUACCCAUUUCUUCAAUAUUAAUCAAGCAUGAAGUAGGGUUUUACCUCCAUCGAGAGGGCCCGAACCUGGGUAAACGUUGUGUCCCUCGCUUCCUGUUACCAUCAGCCUAGACGCACAGAUCGAGACCCCCUACCCGAGAUCCGCCGGUUUUGACACCGACAGGCACUGCGAGCUAAAGCUCGCAAAAUCAUCCAAGGGGAUGAUAACACACCAUUCUUCCACAUGAUUGCGAAUGGCAAGCAUUGAAAGAAGAGAAUAUUUCACCUUGAGCAAGAUGAUGGGACGAUUUUAGGGCAGGAGAACCCAAAGGUAUAUAUCACCAAUUACUAUAAGCAGCUGUUUGGGCCUCUCGAGGAUAAUUUCGUAUCCUUGGAUGAGUCAAGGGUUGAGGAUGUUCCUCAGCUUGCAGCAGAUGAGAAUGAUAUUUUGACAGCCCCACUUUCGGAGAAAGAGGUGUUUGAGGCAAUUUCCCAAAUGAAAAAUAAUAAAGCUCCAGUACCAGAUGGUUUUACGGUAGAGUUUUAUAAAAAGUGUUGGCAGAUCAUUAAGGGGGACUUGCUCCCGAUGUUCCAUGAUCUAUUUUUGGGACAGUUACAACUGUUUCACUUGAACUUCGGUACAAUUACUUUGCUUCCUAAGAAAACAUAGGCUGUGAGGAUUGAGCAAUUUAGGCCAAUCUGUCUUCUUAAUGUUAGCUUUAAAAUCUUCACCAAAGUUGGGACUAAUAGGCUUACGCAGAUUGCGCAUUCUGUGGUGCAGCCGUGUCAAACGGCUUUCAUGCCGGACAGAAACAUCCUAUAAGGGGUUGUGGUUCUGCAUUAAAUGCUCCAUGAAAUCCACACGAAAAAACUAGAUGGGGUGGUUUUCAAAGUGGAUUUUGAGAAAGCGUAUGACAAGGUAAAAUGGCCAUUUUUUCAGCAGGCUUUGCGUAUGAAAGGAUUCGAUCAGGCCUGGAGAGACCAGGUAGAUUCUUUCACGCAAAAAGGGAGUGUUGGAAUGGUAAAUGAUGACAUAGGUCAUUAUUUUCAGACACACAAGGGUCUGACACAAGGAGAUCCGAUGUCUCUGAUUCUGUUCAACAAAGUCGUUGACAUGUUGAUAGUCCUAAUAGGAAGGGCUCAGGAUGAUGGCCAGGUAGGUGGCCUCGUUCCGCAUUUAGUUGACGUAGGAGUGUCUAUCCUACAGUACGCGGAUGAUACUAUCGUCUUUAUGGAGCAUGAUUUGGCUAAAGCUAGAAACAUGAAGCUGGUAUUGUGCUUGUUCGAAUAAUUAUCGGGGUUAAAGAUUAACUUCCACAAAAGUGAAUUGUUCUGCUUUCGAAGAGCUAAAGAAGAACAACAAGAUUACAAGGAAUUGUUCAGGUGCGAAUUGGGGUCUUUACCCUUCAGUAUUUGGGUAUACCAAUGCACCAUCGCAAGCUUUCAAACAAGGAGUGGAAGAGCAUUGAAGAUCGAUUUGAAAGAAAACUGAGCUGCUGGAAGGGCAAGCUUAUGUCAUACGGAGGAUGAUUGAUUCUGAUUAAUUCGGUUCACACAAGUAUGCCGAUGUUUCUCUUAUCCUUUUUCGAAGUACCAGUUGGUGUACGAAAAAGGCUAGAUUUCUAUCGAUCGCGGUUCUUCUGGCAGAGCGAUGAAUUAAAAAGAAAAUACAGACUCGCUAAGUGGGAUAUCAUUUGUAGGCCGAAAGAUCAAGGGGGUCUAGGCAUUGAAAAUUUAGAGGUGAAGAACAGAUGUCUUCUCAGCAAGUGGUUGUAUAAGUUAUUUGUAGAGACGGAUGCAACAUGGGCCCAGAUUCUUCGUAAUAAGUACCUUCAGUCCAAAACCUUGUCCCAGGUAACGGUAAGACCGACUGAUUCGCCUUUUUGGAAGGGACUGGUGAGAGUGAAAUCAGUCUUCUUUAACAGGACAAAAUUUAUAGUUGCAAAUGGUACUUUCACAAGAUUCUGGGAGGAUACCUGGCUAGGGGAGACACCCCUUACAAUCCAAUAUCCUUCUCUCUAUAAUAUUGUUCAGCGGAGAGACACUUACGCUGCAACAGUACUACAGUCCAAUCCUCUUAAUAUUCAAUUCAGGAGGACGCUAGUGGUAAACCGUUGGGAAGCUUGGCUCCAUCUUGUGAGAAGAUUGAUGGAUGUCCAACUUUCUCAACAGCCAGAUCAGUUGCGCUGGAAACUAGCUAAGAAUGGUGAGUUUUCGGUUAAAUUCAUGUAUUUGGAUAUUAUCAACACUAGCGUUAUUCCUAGUUUGAAACAUGUUUGGAAAGUCAAAGUGCCUUUAAAAAUCAAAGUGUUUAUGUGGUUUGUCCACAAACAAGUCAUCCUAACUAAGGACAAUUUGGCGAAGCACGACUCGAUCUAAAAGAUGUAGUUUUUGUGAUAGUGAUGAAUCAAUCAAACACCUCUUUCUUGACUGCCCUUUGGCAACAAUUUUGUGGAGGUCGGUCUACAUAGCUUUUAAUAUUACUCCUCCCAAUUCCAUCAACACGUUAUUUGGGACAUGGCUAGAUGGGAUUGAUGCAGCAACAGCGAGGCACAUCCGUGUAGGAGUAUCCGCUUUAUUAUCGGCAGUUUGGAACUGUAGAAAACGACUUGGUUUUUAACAGAACAACAAAUAUUCAUUUCUUGCAUGUUGUUUUCAGGGCCACUACACUCAUCCGUAUGUGGUCGCUACUCACUUCGACGGAGGCCAGGGAGCAUUUGGUUACUGGAUCUAUCCGAUGGGAGACGGUAGCUCGGGCUAUCUUCAACCAGUUUGGAUGGCGGUCAUGUAAUAGGAUAGGUAUUUAGUUUCCUAUCUUUUGUUUUGCCUGCCGGUUGUGGCUGCCCUGUUUUUGCUUUAGUGCUCUUUAUGAGCAUUUUUUUUCAUUUUGUUUGAGACCUCGAGACUUAUGUUGGACCUUUUGUUUAUCAAUAAUAUGGCCGUAUGCAUCAUUCUGAUGCAGAAGGCCGGGGCAAACCUCCUUUUCAAAAAAAGAAAAAAAUACAGAAAAUCACCCUGCUGGAAACAUAAUAUGUGUAAGGAGGAGCGGAACAUACUUCUCUUGCCGUCCCAAAGUCUGACAAUUUAUACAAUACCAUUCGUUAGUCGACACCAACAGAUUUUCUGAAAGAAAAUAACUCUAUGUAAAUUUCGUCAUAUUAUAGGCAUUAAUUGGGGCAUGAGAUAAUCACCAAAUUACCAGGUUUCAUGUCGCGACGAAAAUAUCCAUAAUUAUGUGAGUACAUAUAGAACCCCAUCUGGUACUGAUGACUAUAUAAACUACAGUCGGAGCAUCUUACCUGCAACUUUUUACUUCUGUUAAUUCAGAACAAAGCUUCAAUAUGGGCAAUGACAAUGGUUAAUCUACAACAAUAACAAAAUUGAUUCAUACUUGUAUGCUUAAACAAAGUGAUACUGCAUAUGUGAAUUUGGGAUAGCAAUAUAUAAGCUGAGAUGGCGUAUGUGCAGUACAUAAUGUCUAUACCCGAACACGCUGGAGCAUCAAAGGGGUUUGAUCGUCCUACAACUGCACGACUUUAGCCGCGAACAGUCAGAUUCAUUUGAUCUUGUGGGUCCUAUCCACGGCCGUGGAAUCGACAUGAACAAAAGCACGUAGCCUUACGGGAGGAUAGGUAAGGGAGAUGGGACGGCUUUGGCGGAAUCGACAUGAGCCAAAACAGCUGGCCAUACUAUGGUGCGAUCCGGAUCUUGGUGGUGUGGUGACCUGACGUCUUUCAUUGGAGGUCACGGGCAGCAGCGAGACGGAGGGAGGGAGAGCAAGACUGCAGCAGGCGUCACCACUAUAGACACAGGUUGACCUAGUCGGGGCAAUCGGAGGCAGCUGGACCAGCGAUCAUGCCGGAGGAGCUCCUUGAUGCAGAGAUCAGUUCCCCGUCGCUGCACCCUGUUGUAGACAGGGGAAACGACAAGUAGUCUCAACAACCAUAUCUAUAUAGAUGCCUCUAGGACUUCAAAUCAGAGAUCUAGCUUGUGCUCCAUAGAUCUCAACAAAAGAGUUAUCUACAUUUUGAGGCUUAAGUGGAAAGAUUUGUAUAAUUACACUAGCUAGCUAGUGUUUCCUUUUUUUUCUAUUCCCUCCUUGUACAUAUGUAUCACAAAGAAAAUAAAAAUAAAUUAACAUAUGUAGUACAAGACUAUUGUCGCUCGUAGAAAACUUCCCUUUGUAAUUCAACCACGCUAAGUACCACUAAGAUUUCCCCUCUCUUUAUAUAAUUAUGAUUUCCCCUCUCUUUUUGUAAUAAUGAAAAUCUAGUUCUGGUGGAUUCUUUGUAUUUUGAAAGUGACAACCGCAAAACAAUUAGUGAUUUCUACCAGUCAUUGAGCGCCGCAAAAUCACCCGUUAGUGAUAGCAAACCUCCAUUUGAUGAGUAUUAAGACGGGUUGACGAUGUGUUACCUACCCGUUCGUCAUGGAUGGAGUGUCGGUUACACAGGCCACUCUCUAGUAGUGCAUGAUAUUAUGACAUCCAGUCUAAGCCAGGUUUAUAAUAAGUGUGAUAUGAGUUUAAUAUUUGAAGUGUUUUUAUAUGUUGGCACCCUGGGUGUAUGUCUUCUUAAGUACGAUGUGCAUCUAGUCUAAACAUUAUCUCUCCAAGCUUGGUGUUAUGUUGAAUAUGAAGGUCAUGUUGCAUCAUAAAAAUUAAUACUUGAUCAUUAAAAUUGUGACAUGUGAAAGUCCGAGAUUAGGUGUUUCUUUUUUAUGUUCUUAGCCAUAUACAUGUUGUUUUAACUAAUGACAAUAUAUCUUGUCACCAUUACUAUUCUUAGAUUAGUUAUUUACCAAAGCUCAUGCAUACCAUCCACCAAAAAGAAUUGUGUUUAUGGUAAGUUAUAUGUGAGUUCUAGAUUUAGGUUGUUCUUCUACAAAAGUGGCUACAUGUGUUGAUUAACUGAUGUCUUCUAUGAGAUGGUCGUUAUGUCCUUGUAAGUUUGUUGUAUUGCGAUGAUUAAUGGCAUACUUUAAAAUUAAGCCAAUUUACAAUAUCUUCAUGGAGAGCUCUAGAUCCACGGUACUUUUCAAUGUUGUUAAUGGGGCAUAUGUGGUAUCAAUGGAUCACAUGUGGCCACCAUCUCUUCACAUGUCUAAUAUGGCUCUAAUUUCUUGAUAAGGCAUAUUCAUGUCUAUUAAGAAAACCUUGAUUUCUCAUAUUCAUUUAUUCAUAUAUGAGACACAGUUGUUGUUCUUGGUAGUGUUAUGCAACCAGAAAAAGUAAUGGAUUCUAGUCUCUUCAGUUGAAGUUUGGACUUGUGCUAUCUUUUAAUUUAAUUGUUUAAUGAGCAUGGCUUCUAUUUUUAGUUGACAAGCUAAUGUUUGCCUCACAAUAUUCUAAGAGGUGCAUUGUGGUAAAUACAUGUUCCACUUCCAUCAUUCCUCAGAUGACAAUGAUCUACAACAACAAAAUUGUAGGUACUGAUGAAAAAACAUCAUGGACCAAGACCUGGAACACUGAGCAUGCAAAUUUUUCCCAAACAUCCUAAUUAAGAUAGUAGUCCAAAGGAUAAUGAAUUUGGAACUAAAUAUAUUUUAUUUCAAUAUAGCUCUUACAUGGAAGCGCUAACUAGCAUCUACAAAAGCUCUCCAUAGUCUGUAAGAAUAUCAAUAUCAUGUCCAGUGGAAGAGGGCGGCACAUCAACCCAUCCACCAUUUACCAUGGAAGACUGUCCUAGAUCCGUACCGCUAGAGCCUAAGUAAGCAUCCAUCCUUAGGAAACUAUUGUAGUACGACUGAUCUGAUAGAGGAAAACCCCAUUGUUCAGUGUUAAAUGGGUCAUCAAUAGAAAAGGCAUUGCCACUCGAGUACCCCAAUAGUGGAGAGGCCUCCAAAUUCUGCCCGGAUGUUGAGUCAUGGUUUGCGUCAUUUUGUUGUGGUUGAACUACGUUGCAAGUACUUUCAUAGUUCUGAACAUGCAACUCCUCUGGUGGAGUUUGCUCAUGUACCUGAUUUGUUAUGGGUUGGACAUGGGAAGCCAAGGGUGGAGCUAAAGAUGGUGGUGCAGAAUGGAACAUUGGUACCUGCAUAGGAAAAAGUGGUCCCGAAGUUUGUUCUGGUUGUGAUGGUGGUGGAUCUAAAGGCAGCUGGAGUUGUGAGAGAUUGUGAGGCCAUGGUGACUGCAUAAGUGAAUGAGUAGUACUCAAAUGAUCCGCCGGCAGAACACUUGGUAGUUGCAGAUCUUGUGCCACACAUGUGCCACCGGUCUUGUCUUCAUGACCAUGCAACGGAGGUAGCCGGAAUCUAAUAUCUUUUUGGACCCGAGAGAGCUCACUGAAGAGCUUGUUCAGAUCUUCAAGACUGAGAUCUUUUUCCUUCGUGAAGAUAAGAUUUGCCACCAUACCUGGAUUCUCUUUUUGUAUAUUUUUCAUACGAAGGAUGGAAAGUUGGUUUUUGUCUUCCUCGGUCAUGUUCUCCAUGUCCAACCGAGCCACCUCGUUCUGUAGGCUUCCAAUCCUAGCAGUGGUUGCCUCGUCGGCAGAGGGAACUACUGGUGGAGCUCCAAAUAGGAAAUCAUCAACAAUGGGAUCGGCCAAUGGCGUCCCAAAUGAGUGCAUCUUUCCAUUGUUUGUUUCUAGGACGACCGCAACCCUAGCCCUAGUGAGGGCAGAGAUGUCAGUCGCCCUCUUGAACAAACCGGAACGUCGCUUGUAGAAGGUGAGAUCACGGUCUUUGUCAUUGUGGAUGUAUGCCACACCUGACCGCCGCUCUUUCCUCGGCAUACUAAUGUGGACAAAGAGGAAGAAACUAACUACUACAAAUAGGAAGCACAAGGAUCUACAGAAAACUAGAGAUUUAGGGGUAUUGUUGGCUAACCACAUAUUGGUGUAGGAUAUGAGAAGAUGUACUCCCUUAUAUAGAAUUAAAAGGGUUGUAUGGUAGUGCUAUUUGACUAUACAAAGACCAUGUAAAUCUUUAGUAAAAAUUAACAUACAUAACUCAUAAAAGGUGCUAUUUAUGGAUACUAUUAACUAUCAUCCAAAUAUACAUAUGUGAGUGCAUCCACAUCUUUCUUUGCAACCACUGAUAUGUAUUUCUUCUGAUGUAAGUAUUAACACUUCUAAAAAUAGAAAUAAUAAAUUAUUGCCAUUUGACCAUAUCCAUAUCCUUAUCUAGAAGUAUUAAUGGGAGUUAAACCCAACUAAGUUUUACUCUAAUAUACAAAAAUAAUUGUGGUCAAAUUUAUUUGGUUGUUAAUUGCGUCCAAAUCCUUUGUUGAUCACAUUGAUUACAUCCUAAUGUAUCAGUGAUCAUAUUGAUUACAUCCAUAUCCUGUACUAGGAACUACCUAAUCUAGAAGUGGUCGUCCUUUAAUCCAUAAUAUCCAAGUAUAACAUGGUCCUUGCUUUGGGGCUUAACUUAAAAAUUGAGAUUCCAACUAGGAAAGAUACACUAAGAGCAACUAGAAAAUACUAGGACAUUUGUUAAGUCAUGGUAUAACACAUAAGUUACUCGGAGCAUCGACCUGCCUCCUUGGUAAGCCCAGUUCCCGCGGAAGAUGUGUGUUUAUCGGUUACACAUGUAUAUCUUGGGCCCUAACUUUUUAUGGCCCAUAAAAUAAUAUGUGUAAGGCUUUUUCUGGAAGGAUCCAACACAACCUAAUCUAUUCUGUAUUAAAAGUAAUUGACGGGCUCACCAGAAAAAGAUAAAAAUGCUAGAAAAUAACUCAAAAUAGAAACAACUAACUAUCUAUCUAUUAUAUAUUAAAAGAAAUUGCUAGGCUCACCAGAAAAAGGAUAAAAAUGCUAGAAGAUCUCUCAAAAAUCAAAAACAUCCGACUGUCUAUUUAAUAGACUAAUAUUGUAUAACCAUUAGACUAGUUUUAAGUGAAAUAAUUACCCACCAUUGCCAUUAUAACAAAAAGGUAUUUCGUCUAACUUAUUAGGACGUGGGCUGAUGCCAUAUUAUAAUGAAAAAAAUGUUAUGUUCCCAUAGUACAAAAAGGACUUCUCACACAUGAACACAGUGGCAUCAAUGUUCAUGUAAAUAAUCUUUAAUUGUGAUUAAUUCCCCCUUGGUAGAGUACCUGAAAAAGCCUCCAGAUUGGAUCUCCCCGGAGCAGAGAGGUGGGCGGCGCAAAAAUCAUCUGUUAAUAUUUCUGAGGUUUUUGGGAGUAUAUAAAGCCAGCGGAAGAAAGAUGCGAUGGAGGCAACCUCCUGUGGCAUGUGGCCUAGGGGGGACCAGGUGGGUCUAGGUCCCUCCGGCUUCAUUUCUCCAAAAAACUUAGUUUUUUUCUAGUUUUUUGGUCCCUAAAAGUUGAUUUUUUUAGAAAAUUCAAAAAAACAACAACUGGCACUUUGCACCAAAUUAAUAGGUUAAAAAUGGUGACAGAAGCGAGGUUCUUCCUACCAAUUAGUAAUGGGCGGCUCCCAUUACGUAGAGCUAAAAUGGUGACAAGCACGAAUAAAUCGUUAUAUUUCUCCAAGGCUCAUUAAUAAUGCAUGGUACUAUUCGGUUGGAUAGCCACACAGAAGUCAUGUACUCCUUUUCAAUUUUGAGGGGAUGACUCUUGUCCUGUAUCCAUCUGUCUGGUGACUAGCACGAAUAAAUUGGUGUCUCUCUCUACAACAAAUGAUUGAUAGUACUAUUCGGCCAGACCAGCAGACAUAAGCAAGGUACCCCCUAGUUCCCUGCCGAUUCAAGGCGGAUGGCUGCUGGUAAUAUGUGCAUUAAUCCAAACUGAAAUGGUGACUAGCAUGAAUAAAUCGAUGUCUUUAUUUUUGGCUCUUCAAUACUUCCACUUUUCGAGUAGGUUGUCCGAAAACAUGAGGUGGCCAGCUCCUGAUAUGGAGCCGCAUGCACAUUAAUCCAUGCUAAAAUGGUGACUUGCACAAAUAUAUCGAUCUUUUUCUCUAGGGCUCAUUAACACUUGAUGGUGUAGUUUGGUUGGACAACUAGAUAGAAAGCAAGGUGUUCCACGAUUUCUUGUCCAUAUAGGGUGGAUGGCUCCAUGCACGACCUAUCACACACUAAUCCGGGCUCGUCUAACACGAAUAAAUGGAUGUCUUUCUAUAUGGAUCAUUAAUACUUGAUGGCGCUCUUUGGUUAGGCGGUGUACAAAAGCGAGGUACCCCCUUCUGAUUUCGGGUGGUUGUGGGGCCACUAGACGGGCACAAGCAAGAUACUCCCUGUCAUUGGGAGGUAUAUUUUAAAUAUUAUUUUUAUUACAUAAAUUACAAAAAUAUAACCCUAAAAUAUAAUAUUUCACCAGUAGUACUCCGACAUGUCGGUGCCAACAAUGACAGAUAUCGUUGGCACUACCAAUGAUACAUCUGUCACAUGGGCCAUCAUCGGUGCAUCUUGCAUCAGCCCUCCCACAUGACACACUCAUACAGAGCUAGCUAUGUUAGAGCAUGUACAAUGGUGCUAUCUUCACAAUGUCACCUAAGAUCACUGCUGAGUUAGAAAAGGGCGAAUGGAGGAAAAAAACGCUUGCCAUCUCUUACCUAAGAGACGGUCUCUCAGUAAAGAAGAUAAGACAAUUCCAUCCAUUGUACUAGAUGUCAUCUCUUAGCUACAUAUUUUCAGUUUAGUUUUAACCUUCGCAUUAAUUUAAGAGCAUGUAAACCUUGCUUGUUAGGCUAAGAGCUAAUCCAUUGUAUACUAUGUUUUUAAGCUUCUCCAAAUGACAUACAUAGCAUACGAGAAUAUUGUAACGAAUAACUAUUUGUGUACAAGGUGCUCGGGGUAUUAUGAAGAUAUAAAGCAUGUGCUAUUUGAAUGUAAUAUUGCAAGGGAGGUUUGGAACAAUCUUGGUCUAUUGGAACUCACCGAAGAGGCAUGCAUGCUGGACCAUUCAGGUAGUGUUUAUUUCAAAAAUUCAUGAACGUUUUUUAAUUUGCUAAUAUUACUUUUUGAAAGCAUGAUUUUUUUAGUUUGAGAAAAUGUAAAAUUUCAUGAAUUAUUUUUAAUAGGGGAAUAUUUAUAACUUGAUGAGCAUUUUAAAAUAUCCUAAACAUUUAUUUUAAAUACAGAAUAUUUUUUAUAAAGUUGCAAACAUAUUUAAAAUCCAUGAAUUAUUUUUGAAACUUGGAAGCAUUUAUUAAAAUUCUUGAAAAUAUGGUGAAAAUGAGUAAAGUUUGUCAGCAUUUGUAGGUGAACUUUUAGGUAGCUUUCUACUCCCUCCGUCAAAUAAUAUAUAAUCACCGUGUUUUUGACAAAAAUGUCCUAUGCUAUGGGACAGAGGAAAAAGUAAACAGCUCAAAAAUAGAUCCGUACAACCGAAAAAAGCCCAGCGAGAUAUAACCCAAGCUCGCCUCUGAGCCCACCUUAGUGGGUGGACCCAAUGGUCUAGAUUUGGAAAGGUUGUACUAAGUGGCACAGACUUGUUUUAGAACCAAUUUCUCAAAAACAAACUUGUUAUACAAGCUUCCGAGUGAUUUUUUCCUUUUUUUGGUGUUUUUUUGUAUACUUCAUUUUUACUUCCUGCAUGUUUUCUCUAUUGGUUUUCAUCACUCUAUUUAUUGAAUUUUAUGUUUUUCAUUCCUUUCCUUUUUUUGCAUUUUUUAAAUACAUGUUGACAAAUUUCAUAUACAUGUUGAACAUAUUUGGAUACAUGUUAAACAUUUUCCAAAUACAAUUUGAAUAUUUUUUUAAAUAUACAUUGAACGCUUGACAAAUGUACAUUAAACAUCUUCAGAAUACAAUGUGAAAUUUUCUUAAACACACAAUGACCAUUUUUCAUAAAUGCCAUGAAUAUCAUUUUUAGUCGUGCAAACAGUUUUAAAGUGAUAUUGAAAUUUCUUCAAAUUCAUGAACCUUUUUGAAUGGUAUGAAACAUUUUCUAAAUAUUACACAAACAAAUUUUAACAUUAUAUGAAUUGUUUUUUAAAAUGCUGCGAACUUAUGUUUAAACACAUGAACAUCUUUUAAAUAUGAUAAUCAUUUUUUGAAUAAUAUGAGUGUUUUCUACAAACUAUGCCAAUAAUCUUUUACAUUACAUGAACAUCUGUUAACGCUGAUCAAUUUAGGGAUGACUAUUCGUCACCCUGGAUNNNNNNNNNNNNNNNNNNNNNNNNNNNNNNNNNNNNNNNNNNNNNNNNNNNNNNNNNNNNNNNNNNNNNNNNNNNNNNNNNNNNNNNNNNNNNNNNUUAACAUCAAUAGACCAUACUUUUACGUUCCAUAAAUUUUGUUUUAUUACAUAUGUAAAAGGAGAAAGUAAGAAAAUAUAAUCACUGUAAAAAAUAUUUUAUGUUACGUAAAAUUACAAAAGCUAAAACACAUUUUAAAAUAUACAUAAAAUGCAAAUUUUCUUGUCUUAUAACCUAUAUUUUUGUUUACUUAUACCAAAUUUAAUGUAGUGAAUUAAUAUGAAUAUAACUAUUUGUAUUUCAAAUGCAAUUUAUUUAUAAAACGAUUGUAAGAUUACCUCAGAUAAAUAGUAACUUAUUUGUGUGAUCAAACACAAAAUAAUGAAAAAGAAGACUCCCUACUGGCAGAGCCAUUAUGUGAUCCCUUGAGGCAAGGCGAGCUACUAUCUCACUAAAAGCUAGACAUAGUGACACCCGUAAUGCAUCACAAUCACAUUGGAUAAGAACCAGGCAAAGUGGGCCGGCUCACUAUGUGCGUGAGGGUUUGCUCAACUACAGCAGGCAGCGGGCUGGUCCACGUUGUUGUCCCCCUAAAAAAGUACAUGAUGCUGACUAAAUAAAAUACUUUUUGUGGCCUUAAAAAACAAAUGGCGAACCGGGAGUCCAAUUGAUGAAAUAUUGAACCAACAACUUCACUGGUUCAGUCACUGGUCCGGUUUAUAAAACUAGAGAAAAGUAUACUUUUCGUCACUUAAUUUUUGGUGGAGUCUAGAUUUGAUCCCUCAGCUUCAAAACCGAACAACUUGCACCCCCAACUAUAGAAACCGGACAAGGUUCGUCCCUGGUCUUGGUUUUGACCGGUUUGGUGCUGACUCACCCUGGUUUUGACCGAUCUCACUCAAAUUCGCGUAAUUUUUUUAUAUCCGUGUACUUUUUGAAAUUCGAAUACACUUUCCAAAUCCGCAUAGUUUUUUCAAGGUCGCAUAUUGUUUUUGAGAAAUAAACAUACUUUUUUCAAAUCAGUGCACAAUGUUGAAAUUUUCGUACCUUUUCCAAAUCCGUGAUUUUUUAACAUUUGUGUAGUUUUUUCAAAUCCACGUAUUUUUCCCAAGUUUGUGUAAUUUUAUCAAAUCCCUGAACUGUUUUUGAAGUUCACGUACUUAUUUCAAAUCCGCAUACUUUUGAAAGUCCGCGUUUUUUUUCAAACUGUGUUCCUUUUCUAGUCCAUGAACUUUGUUUGAAAUUCAUGUAUUGUUUCAAGUUGACAUAAUUUUUCAAAUCCACAUAUUUUUGUGUAAAAAAUCCUAAGCCGCUUACUUUUUCUCAAGUUCGCAUAAAUUUUUGAGAUUCAUGAACUCUUUCCAAAAUAUGUACACGAAUAUCAACAAGUACGUAAAUUUUACAGGAAUUUGAAAAAACUACGUGGACUUUAAAAAAGUUCACAGAUUUGAAAAAGUACACGGAUUUGAAAGCAUUACUCGGACUUGGAAAAAGUACGCGAGUUUGAGUCGGCAUGGUCAAAACCGGGGUGGGACAGCAUCAAACCGAUCAAAACCGUGACCAGGGAUGAAUCUUGUUUGGUUUUAGAAGUUAAGGGGGCAAGUUAUCCGGUUUUAAAAUUCAGAGACCAAAUCUAGACUCCGUCAAAAAUUGAGGAAGAAAAAGUAUACUUUUCUCUUAAAACUAUGGUAGAAAUGGCUGACAAGCCCUACGGACACCAACAAACUAUGUGGUAUCAGUUUAUAUCUGGCUGGAUGGAAACAAAUCAUCUUAUUUCCAGUUCCUUUGGAAAGGUGCCAAACGGUAAAAAUUCCCAACGUAAACACCGCUGCCCAACGGUCGACCAAGCUCCGUCCCAUUCCGUUAUAGUAGGCGGUAGCAGUACUAUCAUCUCCUUCCUCCUGUGACUCCAUCCCCAUCAAUCCCCUUCCCCUCCUGCCGCUGCAUCGGAGGUCCCGACAGAAGUGCCAUGGCGGUCGUCGACGAGCCCAUGAAAGCAUGUCCCCUCUUUUUUUUACAGGUUAAACAGGAGAGCUUCAUUCAUAUGAAAGCAAAUUUGGGGCAGUCACCAAUAGACUGGUCACCAAAAAGCUAGGAGUCUCCUCAAGCCAGCUAUCGAUCACAUUCAAAGUGCAAGCACACUUUGCACAAAGAUGCGCCGUAAUGUUCGCUGACCUGUUUACAUGCUGAAUAUCGAACAAAGUAAAAUUAUUACAUAGCUCUCCUAUCUCUAACAAUAAAGGAGCCACAAUUGAACAAGAAUUGUGGCGAGUGUUCCAUAGCGUCACCAUCUCCAAGCAAUCAGUUUUCAUUACCAUGUGCGAGAAUCCUCAAAGAGAAGCGAAACGAACUCCAUUUCGUAGUGAUAAACCCUCCAUAAUCAAGGGAUCAGAGAUACCCAAGUAUGGUUUACACCAUGCUCCCAGGAGCGCUGAAGAGGAUCGAGCCACCCCUCCUGCACCGCCCCUGCCAUCUGCUAAGUUUAAAGCACCGUCCGUAGUAAUCUUGACAACACCCUCAUCAGGUGGUCUUCAGCCAAGUCCAGGCAGAAUCAUUGCAUGUCGUUGUGGUAGAUGAAGGAGGGCGAUCGCCUCCUUGGUGGCCCUGAUCGUAGUCGUAGGAUUCCUCCCCUCUUCGCCGUGCUUGAUCCGAUUCCGGGAGUGCCAUAUAGACCACAUUAUCGUGGUGAUCUUGGCGCGGUCAUCGUCUGUAAACCGAGGAUCGCAUGUGAUAUCCCGCGCCCAUGAGUCUGGAUGAACACGAGGCAAUCUGAGGCCAAACCAAGCACAUGCUUCUUCCCAGAAGCAUUUUGCAUGUGAACAAUGUAUGAGUGUAUGCUCCAGAUUUUCGUCCAUAGCCAAACAAACUUUGCAUCGACGAAUCUCUGCAAUAUGUUGAUAGUUGAGAGUGACUUCAUCUGGGAGAAUUCCACGAAGAACCCUCCACCAGAACACACUAACCUUUGGAAUGACAUUCAAUUUUCAUAGGGAUUUCCACAACUGUGUAUCAUCCUCUGAGGUUCCGGUAGCCGUCCCUUCCUCUAGAUCAACACGCUCUUUCUGAGUCACGAGAGCACGGUACGCCGUCUUCACAGUAUAGUUCCCCGAUCUUUCGAAUGCCCAUGCAAGAAAAUCAUCUCCUCCUCCUUGCCGAAUAGGGAUGUUCAAUAUUGCUUCAGCAUCAGGAGCAAUGAAAGUAUGCCGAACAAGCUCUUGUCUCCACGACCAGUUAGAUGGAUCUAUUAGCUCGGACACACGCUCAAUGGUCGUAUAUUGUGGCCGAAAAAUAGGAUACAUAGAUAUGGUACCCCGCCAAGUGGCCGACACCGACUUGGGUAUGGUAGCGUGCAUGAAGUCAGUGUCGGGGAAGUAGCGGCCCUUCAAAGCAUGUCCCCUCUCCAACUCUUUUCAUUCAUUCGUUUAUUUAUGCAUACGUAUCUGUACAUCUACUCCUAUUGAUGUACAUGCGCCGGUCCGUGUGGUUGUUUUCAAUUUUCUGAUUGAUGGAUCGAACAUCACCUUAUGGUAGGUUUCUUGAGAACAUCUCUGUAACUGUAUGUGUGUACGAUCGUUGCCUGAACCAUUGGUUUAUUGGACUCGUUUUUACUUGUCCUGUUGGCAACGCGUUCCAUGUACUGACUAGGAACUACCACCUUAUCGCUAAGAGCAUCUUUAGCAGACCCCGCAUCCCGCCGACCCGCAUUUUCCGUUUGCAGUUCACAAAAAAGCUGUUUUGCAGUCAGCAGCAAAAAGCUGCAGAGGCAGACCCCGCAAAGCCGACCCACAUCCUGUUUUAUGGGUUGGAUUUGUGGGGUCUGUCUCUGCGGCCGUCCUCCACCCAGCCCGCAAAAUAUAAAUUUGCACCUCAAUUUGCAUUUCUUUGCAUUUUCAACCACAUUGGAUACAUAGAACAUCACCAAAUCUUUGCUAGAAAAGCAAGACCAAAAAAAUAAGAACCACAAGUAUGCAUUUUAGAAGAUUUCCAACUUCCAUAACUGCUCCUACUAGUUGUAGCAAUAUCUUCUCCAUGAUCUGCGAAUCCUUGAUCUUGCAUUCUUCGUUAUUCUUCUUUGGUUCUAAAGAAGUAGAUGUUGCGUCCUCUCUAGUUGCACAUGCAUGCGCUUCAUUACCUUCGAUUGUACUAAGGAGUGCACGAACGUCUAUCAGUUUUCUUUAAUGUAUUCGCCUUCCCAAAACCAAAAGGAGCAUCCAUAUUCCUACACGCAUGAUGAUGUUCGAAAUGAGCAAACAUAAUUAGCUAUCAAAAUGAGCCGAAUGUAAAACAACACGUACCCCGUCGUUUUCGCAUUUGAAGAACACGUAUCCGGGGUGCUUCGGCGUGCCCGAAGUCAGCCUCGGCACUGUCCGCGGACAGUUGUCGCACUGUAUGAGCGGCAUCAGCGAGUCACAGAUCCUCUGCGCGAGGGCUGAGCCCGGCGGCCGGCCGGCCGAAUCCAUGCGGGCAAACUGUCGGCGGCGGCGAGCGGACGAACCCGCACCUGCAUGCGGCGAUGAGCCUUUGCCGGGGCUGCGCGAGGUGAUCCCCGACCAUUCCAUAGCUUGGCGCGCGAUGAAGCGCCGCAGAUCCGCAAGGUCCCAGCCCGCCGACGCAGGAUGAGAGGGAGGGGCGGCGGAGGGCAACCUCGUUCGUGUGGAGGCCUUUCGGCGUGCUCCGGCCGGCCACUUUCGCCGGAAUCUUGGGCGGCAGCGGGGCAAGGAGGAGAGGGGAGGUGGUUUGGUGGGGAAAAGCGCGGGCUGAAAUGUCCCCCCCCCCCACCAACCGCUCCCGCUAUAUGCAGGGCACCGAUGGGCCGGGGGGACCCACAAAUACGUGGGUUGAGGCCGAGUUUUUGCCGCGCCCCUCAAAUUUUUUUGCGGGCCGGCCGCGUUUGCGGUGUCUGUUCAGGCGGAAUUUUCAUCGCCGGCCCGCAUUUUUGCGGUUAUUUUAUGGGUCGGGACCUUUUGCAGGGUCUGCUAGAGUUGCUCUAAUACAUGAGAUUCGGUGACAAUAUGAAUUGUUGAUCUGAUUGAUCUUUACUCGUGUGCUGCUAGAGUUGCUCUUAUACAUGAGAUUCGGUGACAAUAUGAAUUGUUGAUCUGUUGAUCUUUACUCGUGUGACGAUUACUCUGUCGCAUUAUUUCCAGAGAGAAGGAGGUGAUUCUCCGCAGCCUGUCAAGACCGAGAUCGGGGAGAAGACGUCAUCGACGCUUCAACAUAAAAAAAGUCUCGCUUUGCUCGGAAACAAUGAUAAUGAUUUUGAACCACUGGUGAGAAACUUCAUGGAAUCUCUCAUUGCUGCAUUUUAGGCACUUCAUUCUGCCUUUUCCAAGCUAGCUUCAGUGUUCAGAGUACCUUGUCGAACUGCCUGACAAAUUACAGACAGUUUGCUUACGUUUCUUUUUUGUCCUAGUGCUCAUUGGUAUUGUAGCGUCAACUAAAUAUUAUUGCAAUUUAUUAUGCAAGGAUUUCUUGAGGUUUUUUCAUGCUAUUUUGUUUUUCCAGUUAACUUUGGUCGAUUUUAUUUAUUUAUGAGAGUAACUUUUAGCGAGAAGUGAUUCCUGCACACAGAAAAAGAGAAGGAGAUUGUCGAUUCUACAGAAGAAUAACAAAGAACAAAAUAUCAAUACCGUUUUUUCUGAUUGCUAGCGCUGAUGUCUGUUCGUCUGGUUGUUUCCUAAGAUAUUCAUUUGUGUUGUUCUCUCUUUUUGGAUAGUAUAAAGUUUGCUGAAACUCCCUGUUGUGCUUUUUAAAUUAAGCGAGUAGACGCAGGACGUGUGUACUGCAUGCCAGAUUGUCUAUUUUUGUCUGAGUCAGCAUUGCGCGAUCCGUCUUUGGCAUGUCGUUGCGAGAGGUUUUGUUUCUGUCAUUGUCGAACUGACUAGUAACUACUAGUGCUACUUAUUUCUACAUCACUAGUUAAAAUUUAGUAAUAAAAAUUAUUGUGCAAUUGAGGUUUAUGGUCAUAACAAUGAGUACUCUGACUUUGUUUCCUAACUAAUUUUCCAGAGGAAGGGAUGGACACCAGUGAGUUCCCUCGAGUCUGCCAAGAUCAAGAUGGGGGAGAAGACGGCGUUUUGGCAUCCAAAGCUCACUUUGGUCAACAACGGCGGUUUGGAGAAUGAGCAAGUAAAGCCUCCAGGCUCUCGGUAUGAAGUGGUAGUCCAAAGGACUAUCACUAUUACCUUUAAAGUAAGGAAAUUUUUGGUCAUUCUCAUAAAAGGACGUUCAAUACCUCAGAUUAUCUGUAAUCUCUUGCAGCAUAUGCAAACAGAUAUUGAAUUUGUUGCUUUGUUUUGGUUGAUUACAAUAUUGUCAGAGGAAGAGACGGGGUCCAGCCAAGAGUAAGAUUCAUGACCCAAUGUUUUUUUUUGAAAGAAAAUAUGUACUUUAUUAAUUGGAAAUAAUGAUUACAUCGUCUAUAAGAAGAGGUACAAUAUUCUCCAUAGGCUCCUCAAAUCAAUCUCUAGUUACAGAAACUUUCGCUAGCCUUGCAAGUUCAUGAGCAACCUUAGUAGCUACCCUAUUAUAAUGUUCAAAUCUAGUCAACGGAAAAUCACAUGCCAUGAAGUAGCAAUCCUCGAAGACUGCCGCCGCAACUCCCGUUGAUUGUCCUCCAUUUCUCAUUAUGUCAAUGACUUCCAUAUUAUCAGAGUUAAUAAUAAGACGAUUGCAUCCCGCCUUUUGUGCAAGAAUUAAACUAAACCUCAGAGCCAUCGCUUCUGCUGUUAGUACAUCAGCACACCAAUCGAUCUUCCAAUUUCCACCAACAAUGAAUUUUCCUUUCUCAUCUCUGAGUGCAGCUAAAUCUUCCUCAGGGAAAUAUUUAGCUCUCAAGAUGGUUGCACAUAAAGAUUCAGGAUUAUCAAGAAGACGCCACGCUUGUUUAGCUAAUAGCACCAGGUUGAAAUAGUGUAUAUCUCGGAAGCCCAUACCUCCUUGAUCUUUUGGAACACGCAUUUUCUACCAUGCAAUCCAAUGCAUCCUCUUCUGAUUGUCCUCGUCACCCCACCAAAAUUGCGACAUCGCGUCAAUAAUUCCUUUGCAAAAAAAUUAGGAAUUUUAAAGACGGACAUGGCAUAGGUGGGGAUGGCUUGUACAACAGAUUUGGGCAAAAUUUCCUUCCUAGAGGGUAACAAUUUUUCCUUCCAUCCACUAAUUUUCAUAAUAAUUCGGUCGAUUAGGAACUGGAAACAAUCACUUUUGUCCAUGCCCACAUUUGCCGGCAAACCCAGGUAUUUGUCAUUGAGGGCUUCAGUCAUAAUAUUUAGAAUUGUACAUAUUUGUGCUUUGUCUUCCAUUUUAGUAUUGGGACUAAAGAAUAUACUGGAUUUUUCAACACUAACCAUUUGCCCUGAGGCGGCACAAUACGAAUCCAAGAGUGAUUUCAACGCCUCCACACUCAUGGGAUUGGCUCACAUAAGGAUCAAAGAGUCAUCAGCAAAGAGGAGAUUAGAAAUUGAUGGGGCAUCUCUGCAAACCUUUAUACCUAAAAUGUUUCCAUUCUCCUCCGCAGUAGCUAAAAGGGCGGUCAUCUAAGAAAACCUUGAUUUUUCACAUUCAUUAAUUCAUAUAUGAGAUGCAGUUGUUGUUCUUGGUAGUGUUAUGCAACCAGAAAAAGUAAUGGAUUCUAGUCUCUUGAGUUGAAGUUUGGACUUGUGCUAUCUUUUAAUUUAAUUAUUUAAUGAGCAUGGCUUCUAUUUUUAGUUGACACGCUAAUGUUUGCCUCACAAUAUUCUAAGAGGUGCAUUGUUGUAAAUACAUGUUCCACUUCCUUCAUUCUUAAGAUGACAAUGAUCUAAACAACAACGACAAAAUUGUAGGUACUAAUGAAAAAACAUCAUGGAGACAUGGACCAAGACCUGGAACACUGAGCAUACAUAUUUUUCCCAAAGAUCCUAAUUAAGAUAGUAGUCCAAAGGAUAAUGAAUUUGGAAAUAAAUAUAUUUUUAUUUCAGUAUAGCUCUUACAUGGAAGCGCUAACUAGCAUCUACAACAGAUCUCCAUAGUCUGUAAGAAUAUCAAUAUCUUGUCCAGUGGAAGAGGGCGGCACAUCAACCCAUCCACCAUUUACCAUGGAAGACUGCCCUAGAUCCGUACCGCUAGAGCCUGAGGAAGCAUCCAUCCAUAGGAAACUAUUGUAGCAUGACUGAUCUGAUAGAGCAUAACCCCAUUGUUCAGUGUUAAAUGGGUCAUCAAUAGAAAAAGCAUUGCCAGUCGAGUACCCCAAUAGUGGAGAGUCCUCCAAAUUCUGCCUAGAUGUUGAGUCAUGAUUUGCAUCAUUUUGUUGCGGUUGCACUAUGUUGCAAGGACUUUCAUAGUUCUGAACAUGCAACUCUUCUGGUGGAGUUUGCUCAUGUAUCUGAUUUGGUAUGGGUUGGACAUGGGAAGCCAAGUGUGGAGCUAAAGACGGUAGUGCGGAAUGGAACAUUUGUGGUACCUGCAUAGGAAAAAGUGGUGCCGAAGUUUGUUCUGGUUGUGAUGGUAGUGGAUCGGAAGGUAGCUGGAGUUGUGAGAGAUUGUGAGCCCACGAUGACUGCAUAAGUAAAUGAGUAGUACCCAAAUGAUCUGCCGGCAGAACACUUGGUAGUUGCAGAUCUUGUGCCACACAUGUGCCACCGGUGUUGUCUUCACGACCAUGUAGUGGGGGUAGCCGGAAUCUAAUGUCUUUUUGGACCCGAGAGAGCUCACUGAAGAGCUUGUUCAGAUCUUCAAGACUGAGAUCUUGUUCCUUCGUGAAGAUGAGAUUUGCCACCAUACCUGGAUUCUCUUCUUGGAUAUUUUUCAUACGAAGGAUGGAAAGGUUGUUUUUGUCUUCCUCGGUCAUGUUCUCCAUGUCCAACUGAGCCACCUUGUUUUGUAGGCUUCCAAUCCUAGCAGUGGUUGCCUCGUCGGCAGAGGGAACUGCUGGUGGAGUUCCAAAUAGGAAAGCAUCAACAAUGGGAUCGGCCAAUGGCGUCCCAAAUGAGUGCAUCUUUCCAAUGUUUGUUUCUAGGACGACCGCAACCCUAGCCCUAGUGAGGGCAGAAAUGUCAGUCACCCUCUUGAACAAACCGGAACGUCGCUUGUAGAAGGUGAGAUCACGUUCUUUGUCAUUAUGGAUGUAUGCCAAACCUGACCGCCGCUCUUUCCUCGGCAUACUAAUGUGGACAAAGAGGAAGAAACUAACUACUACAAAUAGGAAGCACAAGGAUCUACAGAAAACUAGAGAUUUAGGAGCACUAUUGGCUAACCACAUAUUGGUGUAGGAUAUGAGAAGAUGUACUCCCCUUACAUAGAUUUAAAAGGGUUGUAUGGCAGUGAUAUUUGACUAUAAAAAGACCAUGUAAAUCUUUAGUAAAAAUUAACAUACAUAACUCACAAAAAGUGCUAUUUUAUGGAUACUAUUAACUAUCGUCCAAAUAUACAUAUGUGAGUGCAUCCACAUCCUUCUUUGCAACCACUGAUAUGUAUUUCUUCUGAUGUAAGUAUUCACAUCCAUAUAUAGAACUAUUAACACUUUUAAAAAUAGAAAUAUUAAAUGAUUCCCAUUUGACCACAUUCAUAUCCUUAUCUAGAAGUAUUAAUGGGAGUUAAACCCAACUAAGUUUUACUCUAAUAUACAAAAUAAUUGUGGUCAAAUUUAUUUGGUUGUUAAUUGCAUCCAAAUCCUUUGUUGAUCACAUUGAUUACAUACUAAUGUAUCCGUGAUCAUAUUGAUUACAUCCAUAUCCUGUACUAGGAACUACCUAAUCUAGAAGUGGUCGUCCUUUAAUCCAUAAUAUCCAAGUAUAACAUGGACCUUGCUUUGGUGCUUAACUUAGAAAUUGAGAUACCAACUAGGAAAGAUAUACUAAGAGCAACUAUAAAAUACUAGGACAUUUGGUAAGUCAUGGUAUAACACAUAUGUUACUCGGAGCAUCGACCUGCUUCCUUGGUAAGCCCAGUUCCCGCUCAAGAUGUGUUUUUAUUGGUUACACAUGUAUAUCUUGGGCCCUAGUUUUUUAUGGCCCAUAAAAUAAUAUGUGUAAGGCUUUUUCUGGAAGGAUCCAACACAACCUAAUCUAUUAUGUAUUAAAAGAAUUGACGGGCUCACCAGAAAAACAUAAAAAUGCUAGAAAAUAACUCAAAAAUAAAAACAACUAAUUGUCUAUCUAUUAUAUAUUAAAAGCAAUUGACGGGCUCACCAGAAAAAAGAUAUAGAUGCUAGAAGAUCUCUCAAAAAUCAAAAACAUCUGACUGUCUAUUUAAUAGGCUAAUAUUUUAUAACCAUUAGAUUAGGUUUAAGUGAAAUAAUUACCCACCAUUGCCAUUAUAAGAAAAAAGUGUUCCAUCUAACUUGUUAGGAUGUGGGCUGAUGCCAUCUUAUUAGGACGUGGGCUGAUGACAUAAUAUAAUGGAAAAAACAUUAUGUUCCCAUAGUACCAAAAGGACUGCUCACACAUGAACACAGUGGCAGCAAUGUUCAUGUAAAUGAUCUUUGUGAUUAAUUCCCCCUUGGUAGAGUACCUGAAAAAGCCUCCAGGUUGGAUCUCCCCGGAGCAGAGAGGUGGGCGGCGCAAAAAUCAUCUGUUAAUAUUUCUAACGUUUUCGGGAGUAUAUAAAGGCAGCGGAAGAAAGAUGAGAUGGAGGCAACCUCUAUGGCGGCCAUGCUCCCCCUUGGAUGCUCUGGCCGACCUGUGGCAUGUGUCCUAGGAGGGGUGGGGGGUGGGUCUAGGUCCCUCCGGCUUCCUUUCUUCAUGAAAGUUAGUGUUUUUUUCUAGUUUUUUGGUCCCUAAAAAGUUGAUUUUUUUCUUCUGAAAAUUCAAAAACACAACAACUAGCACUUUGCACUGAAUUAAUAGGUUAAUCAAGAAAAACUAUAAAAGUUGAUGCCAAUACUAUGCCAUUAUGAUAUAAGUAUAACAUGAAACAAUAAAAAUUUCUUGAUACAUAUAGUACAUAUCAACUGGCAUGAAUAAAUUGAUGUUUUUCUAGGGCUUGUUAAUACUCGACAAUAUUGUUCUCCUAGAUAACCAGACACAAGGUACUCCUUGGUCCCUAUUGGUUCGAUGUCCAGGCUAAGAUUGUGACUAGCAUGAAUAAAUUGAUGGCUUUCUCUAUCGCUCACUAUUACUUGAUGGAACUUCAGCUGGGUAGCUGGACAGAAGCGAGGUUAUUCCUACCAAUUAGAAAUGGGCGACUCCCAUUCCGUAGCCAUCUGCACGUUACUACAAGCUAAAAUGGUGCCAAGCACGAAUAAAUCGUUAUAUUUCUCCAAGGCUCAUUAACAAUGCAUGGUACUAUUCGGUUGGAUAGCCACACAGAAGUAAUGUACUCCUUUUCAAUUUGAGGGGAUGACUCUUGGCCUUUAUCCAUCUGUCUAGUCACUAGCACGAAUAAAUUGGUGUCUUUCUCUACAACAAAUAAUUGAUGGUACUAUUCAGCCAGACAACCAGUAAGAAGCAAGGUACUCCCUGGUCCCCUGCCGACUCAAGGUGGAUGGCUGCUGGUAAUAUAUGCAUUAAUCCAAACUGAAACGGUGACUAGCACGAAUAAAUCGAUGUCCUUCUUUUUGGCUCUUUAAUACUUCCACUUUUCGACUAGGUUGUCCGAAAACAUGAGGUGGGCACCUCCUGAUACGGAGACGCAUGCACAUUAAUCCAUGCUAAAAUGGUGACUUGCACAAAUAUAUCGAUGUCUUUCUCUAGGGCUCAUUAACACUUGAUGGUAUGGUUUGGUUGGACAACAGGACAAAAAGCAAGGUAUUCCAGGAUUUCUUGUCCAUAUAGGGUGGAUGGCUCCAGGCACGGCCAGUUACACAUUAAUCCGGGCUCGUCUAACACGAAUAAAUGGAUGUCUUUCUCUAUGGCUCAUUAAUACUUGAUGGCACUCUUUGGUUAGGCGGUGUACAAAAGCGAGGUACUCCCUUCUGAUUUCGGGUGGUUGUGGGGCCACUAGACGGACACAAGCAAGGUAUUGCCUGUCACUUGGGGGGAUAUUUUAAAUAUUGUUUUUGUUACAUAAAUUUCAAAAAUAUAACACUAAAAUAUAAUAUUGUACCAGUAGUACUCCGACAUGUCGGUGCCAACAAUGAUAGGUAUCAUUGGCACUACCAAUGAUACAUCUGUUAUGUUGUCAUUUUGAGUCACAUGGGCCAUCAUCAGUGCAUCCUGCAUCAGCCCUCCUGCAUGACACACUCGUACAGAGCUAGCUGUGUUAGAGCAUGUACAAUGGUGCUAUCUUCCAAUGUCACCUAAGAUCACUGCUGAGUUAGAAGAGAGCGAAUGGAGGGAAAAAAGGCUUGCCAUCUCUUACCUAAGAGAUGGUUUGUCAGUAAAGAAGAUAAGACAAUUCUAUCCAUUUUACUAGAUGUCAUCUCUUAGCUACAUAUUUUCUAGUUUAAUUUUAACCAUCGCAUUAAUUUAAGAGCAUGUAAACUUUGCUUGUUAGGCUAAGAGCUAAUUCAUUGUAUCAUAUGUUUUUAAGCUUCUCCAAAUGACAUACAUUGCAUCAGCCCUCCCACAUGACACACUCGUACAGAGCUAGCUACCUUAGGUCGUCGUGUACAAUGAUGCUAUCUUCGCAAUGUCACCUAAGAUCAUUGAUGAGUUAAACGAGAGUGAUUGGAGGAAAAAAGGCUUGCCACCUCUUACCUAAGAGAAGGUCUCUCAGGAAAAGAAGAUAAGACAAUUCUACCCAAUGUACUAGAUGUCAUCUCUUAUAUUUUCUAGUUUAAUUUUAACCAUCGCAUUAAUUUAAGAGCAUGUAAUCUUUGCUUGUUAGGCUAAGAGAUAAUUCAUUGUGUGAUAUGUUUUUAAGCUUCUCCAAAUGACAUACAUAGCAUACGAGAAUAUUGUAACAAAUAACUAUUUGUGUACAGUGUGCUCGGUCUAUUAUGAAGAUAUAAAGCAUGUGCUAUUUGAAUGUAAUGUUGCAAGGGAGGUUUGGGACAAUCUUGGUCUACUGGAACUCACCGAAGAGGCAUGCAUGCUGGACAAUUGAGGUAGUGUUUUUUUUCACAAAUUCACGAAUGUUUUUUAAAUUUGCUAAUGUUAUUUUUAGAAAGCAUGAUUUUUUAGUUUGAGAACAUUUUAAAACUUUCAGAAAUUAUUUUAAUUAGGGAAUAUUUAUAAUUUGAUGAGCAUUUUAAACAUCCUAAACAUUUUUUUAAUUACAGAAUAUAUUUUUUAUAAAGUUGCAAACGUUCUUAAAAUCCAUGGAUUGUUUUUCAAACUUGGAAGCAUUUAUUAAAAUUCUUGAAAAGAUGUUAAAAAUGAACAAAAAUUGUCAGCAUUUGUUAAAAUUUUCACAGCAGGCUUCCCACAAAAAAAAUUCACAGCAGGCACCUUUUAAUUUGUUUUCUAGUAAACAACUCAAAAAUAGAUCUGUACAACGGAGAAACAGCUAUAUCUCGCUGUACAGCAAGAUAUAACCUGAGCUCGCCUCUGAGCCCACCUUAGUGGGUGGGCCCAAUGGUCCAGAUUUGGAAAGGUAGUACUGACUGGUACAGACUUGUUUUAGAACCAGUUUCUAAAAAAACAUGUUUUAGAACCUUUCAAGUUAUUUUUUUCCUUUUUGUUACAGUGUUUUCUUGGUAUACUUCAUUGUUAUUGCGUUUUAUGUUUUUCAUUCCUUUCCUUUUUUUUGCAUUUUUCAAAUAUACGUUGACUUUAUUUAAAUACACAUUGAAAAAGGCAUAUGCAUGUUGAACCUAUUUGGAUACACGUUGAACAUUUUCCAAAUACAAUUUGAAUACUUUUUAAAUACACCUUGAACAUUUGUCAAAUUUACAUUAAACAUCUUCAAAAUACAAUGUGGAAUUUUCUUAAACACACAAUGACCAUUUUUCAUAAAUGCCAUGAAUAUUAUUUUUAGUUGUGCAAACAGUUUUUAAGUUCUACGGAAAUUUCUUCAAACUCAUGAACCUUUUUUGAAUGGUACGAAACAUUUUCUGAAGAUUGCACAAUCAAAUUUUAACAUUAGCAAGGUAACUAAUGAUAAAAGUGAGCGUAAACGGUAUUGCAAUGAUAGGAAACAAGGCCUAGGGUUCAUACUUUCACUAGUGCAAGUUCUCUCAACAAUAAUAACAUAGAUAGAUCAUAUAACAAUCCCUCAACAUGCAACAAAGAGUCACUCCAAAGACACUAAUAGCGGAGAACGAACGAAGAGAUUAUGGUAGGGUGUGAAACCACCUCAAAGUUAUUUUUUUGGAUCAAUCUAUUCAAGAGUUCGUACUAGAAUAAUACCUUAAGACACAAAUCAACCAAAACCCUAAUGUCACCUAGAUACUCCAUUGUCACCUCAAGUAUCAGUGGGCAUGAUUAUACGAUAUGCAUCACACAAUCUCAGAUUCAUCUAUUCAACCAACACAAAGUACUUCAAAGAGUGCCCCAAAGUUUCUACCGGAGAGUCAAGAACGUGUGCCAACCCCUAUGCAUAGGUUCAUGGGCGGAACCCGCAAGUUGGUCACCAAAACAUACAUCAAGAGGCACAUGAUAUCCCAUUGUCACCACAGAUAAGUGAUAUCUACCACACAACCUUCUUCUUGUAGACGUUGUUGGGCCUGCAAGUGCACGGGUUUGUAGGACAGUAGCAAAUUUCCCUCAAGUGGAUGACCUAAGGUUUAUCAAUCCGUAGGAGGCGUAGGAUGAAGAUGGUCUCUCUCAAACAACCCUGCAACCAAAUAACAAAGAGUCUCUUGUGUCCCCAACACACCCAAUACAAUGGUAAAUUGUAUAGGUGCACUAGUUCGGUGAAGAGAUGAAGAUGCAAGUGCAAAAUAGAUGGUAGAUAAAGGUAUUUGUAAUCUGAAAUAAUAAAAACAGCGAGGUAGCGAGCGAUAAAAGUGAGCGUAAACGGUAUUGCAAUGAUAGAAAACAAGGCCUAGGGUUCAUACUUUCACUAGUGCAAGUUCUCUCAACAAUAAUAACAUAGAUAGAUCGUAUAACAAUCCCUCAACAUGCAACAAAGAGUCACUCCGAAGUCACUAAUAGCGGAGAACAAACAUAGAGAUUAUGGUAAAGUACGAAACCACCUCAAAUUUAUUCUUUCGGAUCGAUCUAUAAAAGAGUUCGUACUAGAAUAACACCUUAAGACACAAAUCAACCAAAACCCUAAUUUCACCUAGAUACUCCAUUGUCACCUCAAGUAUCCGUGGGCAUGAUUAUACGAUAUGCGUCACACAAUCUCAGAUUCAUCCAACCAACAUGAAAGUACUUCAAAGAGUGCCCCAAAGCUACUACCGGAUGAUACGUCUCCAACGUAUCUAUAAUUUUUGAUUGCUCCAUGCUACUUUAUCUAUUGUUUUGGACUAUAAUGGGCUUUAUUUUCCACUCUUAUAUUAUUUUUGGUACUAACCUAUUAACCGGAGGCCCAGCCCAGAAUUGCUGCUUUUUUGCCUAUUUCAGUGUUUCGAAGAAACGGAAUAUCAAACGGAGUCCAAACGGAAUGAAACCUUCGGGAACGUGAUCUUCUCACCGAACGUGAUCCAGGAGACUUGGACCCUACUCCAAGGAGUGCCACAGGCGGUCACGAGGGUGGGGGCACGCCCUUACCCCCUGGGCGCGCCCCCCUACCUUGUGGGCCCCCUGAUGCUCCACCGACGUACUCCUUCCUCCUAUAUAUACCUACUUACCCCCAACAGAUCGGGGACGGACCCAAAAUCCUAAUUCCACCGCCGUAACUUCCUGUAUCCACGAGAUCCCAUCUUGGGGCCUGUUCCGGAGCUUCGCCGAAGGGGGCAUCUACCACAGAGGGCUUCUACAUCAUCACCAUAGCCCCUCCGAUGAAGUGUGAGUAGUUUACUUCAGACCUUCGGGUCCAUAGUUAGUAGCUAGAUGGCUUCUUCUCUCUUUUUGGAUCUCAAUACAAUGUUCUCGCCCUCUCUGGUGGAGAUCUACUGGAUGUAACCUUCUUUUUGCGGUGUGUUUGUUGAGACCGAUGAAUUGUGUGUUUAUGAUCACGUUGCCGAAGGUUUCAUUCCGUUUGGACUCCGUUCGAUAUUCCUUUUCUUCGAAAUACUCAUACAGGCAAUAAAACAGCAAUAUGGGCUGGGCCUCCUAUUAAUAGGUUAGUCCCAAAAGUAAUAUAAAAGUGUAUAAUAAAGCCCAUAAUCAUUCAAAACAGAUAAUAUAAUAGCAUGGAACAAUCAAAAAUUAUAGAUACGUUGGAGACGUAUCACUACCCUACACUCAAGAAGCCCGGUCCACGUGGCGUCAUCACCAUUAGCGGAAUCACAGAGCGCUCUUCACGCGCAGAGGAACACGUGACGGCCCUGGCAGCCGGACUAUAAGCGGCCUCCAAUAUUAGAAAACAUGACUGGUCAUUAAGACCACAGACAGGUUAGACGAGUCCGGUAGCCCGGAUAAAAUUAUACCAGGGCACCGUAUAUGUAAUCCCGUAGCGGACACCAGGGGCUAUAAAUAUUUAAUACAGCCCCACACUUGGCUCAACCUUAUUGCCAGGCCAACAUCUUACACUUUUACUAUCCAUGGCAUACAUACGUUGUACUCUCCUACGAGUUUUCCUUUUUCCACAGACAACGUUCGUGUGAUACCCUUCCAGGAUACAGCACAACGGAGACAAAGGCGCAGACGUGCAGCAAGGCCCCGUUCAAUAGGUUUCUUUUUAGAUUAAGCCCCUGUGUAAACCUUUUCUAUUGCCUCUUGUUGUUUAACCAUCCCAUGGGUUCCAUACCCACAGAGGAUACUGUCAUUAUUGGCAUUUCGCCACAAUAGAUUACCGCACCUACCUGGAAACACACGGUUUAUGAUGAAUGGGCAUUCUUUAGCCCAUCUUCUGUUACAAAGCCCGAAUACCUUCGGGAGUGUUCGGCUUCACGAGUUUGGCCUUAUAUGCAUCAGCUCUGAAUCAUGUCUUUGGUCAAAUGUUGGGUUUGCCCGGCUCCUGGGUUUGCUGCCUUACAUUCCGUUAUUAUCGGCUAAGGCGGCCAAAGGAGAACUACUGCGAUUGUACCCUGGUUAUUCCAGAUAGGCACCUCAGUAGAGAAAGCCGAAAACUGACUGUCAUGAUGCAGCAAGAGACUGUUCAACCACUCGAAGACUCACCGGAAUCUUUAGGAUUCCUCCGCAUUAACGAACGGCCGUUUCCCGGCCAUGUACAUACGCGCCCGUAUUCGGAUGCACGCGAAGGUACCAUGGGAUACAUAGUAGCCCCACCUUUAGACUCCCAUGGCUAAGUAAAAGUGUUAUAGCUAUAUAGUCCGGUUGCCUAGUUCGACGUGCGAUCACCUCCUUAAUGGACCAAGACGUUGGAUCAAGUGUGAUUAAGCAUAUUUUUCGCGAAUACCCUCGCAUUGUAUGCGUGGGGACUGAAGCCAACGACUGCUAACUUUUGGAUUACUUAUAUACAUAUAUAAAAACGGCCGCACAGGGGACACAAUAUUCUUUUCAGGCAAAAAGUAUAAAUAUAGCCUCAUAAUCAAAAUAAACAUGUUUUACAAUGAUUCGAUUUAUCACUCUAACAAGACAUUCUUCGAGCACUGCGCCUCUAUUAGCCGGGCACCUUCUGUGACCUGCGCCAAGUAGUGCUCGAUCGGAUAUUGGCCUCCCGCCGGAUCCUGGGUUGCUACAAUGGUGGCCUCCAUAUCCGACCAAUAAGCUUUAACGUGGGAAAGAGCCAUUCGUGCACCCUCUAUGCACGCCGACCUCCUCAUGGCAUCGAUCCGAGGCACGGCCCCAAGGAAUUGUUGCACCAAACCAAAGUAGCUGUCCGGCUUAGGCCCCUUCGGCCAAAGAUGGUCUAUUACAGACCGCAUUGCAAGCCCAGACAGCCCGUGAAGCUCCGCCAUAGCAGCCAUCUUCUCAUUUAACGGCAGCGGGCGGGUGGGAGCAUUGAAUUACGACCAGAAAAGCUUCUCCACUUCCUUAUCACCUUGAUCCUCGAAGAACUUGGCAGCGUCAGCCGUACUAUUCGCCAAGUCCGCAUAUGCGUCGGCCGGACUCCGGCGUCCAUCUAGGGGAGCAUAGUUCGGAUCCAAAAACUUCAUCCGUAGUAAGUAGGAGCCCCCAGCCACGAUUUGGUCGGCCUGUUGGACCUCCUCCCGCAUACCCCGGAUCUCUGUCCGCAUCUCCUUGGUGGCAUUAAGUGCCUUGUCCAGCUCGGCGGAGCUAGCCUUAUUCUCCUUUUCAAGCAGUACAUACCGGUCAGCGGCAUUUUUUAGCUCCACAGCCAUUUUGGCUAUCUUUUCCUCGCUUCGGCGAUGAGCAUCCUAUUCGGCUCUCAAUUCUUCGGCCCCCUUCAGGGCAGCCGCAUUGCUAGCCCGAGCUUGUUCCUUGGCUUGAGCAAGUUCCGCCCUCAGGGCCUCCACAGCAGCAGCACCAUCUGCAGUACAAACACAUUGCAUUAAUAUUAUGCCCCUCUCACAUUUUCCUAUACAACAUAAUAAGGGAAGCAGAGCACAUACCCGGUGACUCUUCCAGCCAUUUGUUCACCAGCGUGAUAUCGGCAUCGAUCGAUCCGAUCUGCCUCCUUAGUUCGGCAACUUCAACAGACUGGUCGGCUGCCGGAUCCUUAGAUACCUGCGCACAUGUACAACACAGCCAUUACUAUAUGAUCCCCCGUUUGCCGCCUAUGGUGGGCAACCAGAGUCUCAGGGGCUACUAUCCAUAUGGAGCACACCUAGCGCAUGCCUCACAGCCAAAAAAUAGUGCAUUUUUUACUACAUACCUCAAAGCCUCUGAGCAGGCUCGUAAAUGCCUCAUUCAAACCGCUUGUAGCGGAUGAAAUCUUCUUAAGCACCGCACUCAUUAAUGAGCGGUGCUCCGCUGAGAGCGCAACUCGCUCCAGAAGACCUGUCAGUACGUCCGGCCGGGCAUCAAACUGUGCCAGACCCUUCUCAUCACCCCCCAUGGGAGCCAAACGCUCCGGGCUCAGGGCGACUGACGUAUUGGCCUCUGGCUUCGGCAGAUCCGGACUCCUCCAUGACGACACCUCAGUGUUGCCCGCUUCAUGAGGCGGAGAGGUGGGUGGGGUGUCGCUCUCCAUCAUCUCCGGAGGAAGAUCCCCCGAAGAUGAACUCUGUUGAGGAGAGCUGCUAGCCGGACUGCAAAAGAUGAAUCCUGGUUAUUGAUCUCAGAGAAACGCAGUACCCUCGGAAUAGUGAUUAACUUACAGCUCGUUCGAGGGCUGGCCCGUUGGUGGGCCUGACGUGGUGAGAACGCCCGUCGAGACAGAGCCCCCCGGGGACACUUUCUUCCCCUGUUUGGGCAUCUCCGUCUCCAAGUCUUCGGAGGCGGCCCUUUUCUUCCCGCGCAGGGAGGUGGCCUCAGAUUCCCCUCCCCGACUAUCCUCCUUUGGGGAGAAAUCAAUUCCCCCGGUCUGGAUGUGUAGUGUCUGAAGUCCGGCUUCGCUGCCCUUUCCUUCGCCUUUCCCUGAGGGCAUUUUGCUAAGCACCCGGCCAAGCAUCUUGGCAACGGUUGGACCCGGCGAGCCUUCAGGAAGUGGCGCCGGACACCUGAUUCUCUCCGCCUUGUUGAACCAUUCCUGGCCACGGAGGGUUUUUCAGAACAAUGGUUAUGGCAAAUAUAAACAGAGUGUCCGUCUUUAAGGUUACUUACUUGGGUAUCUAGGCGAUUGCAGCUUAGGCCUGCAUCCUCAGUGGUGUCCGGACACUUUACUUGUGGUCCGAAGAAUAAUUUACACAUCCCUUCGAGCUUCAGGCCGAAGAAGUGCUUAAUAGUCCACAGACACUCCGGAUUGAACUCCCACAUCCGGAGAGGCCGACGUUUGCACGGCAACAUCCGUCGGAUUAGCAUUACUUGAAUUAUGCUGACAAGAUUUAUGUCCCUCUCGAUAAGCUCCCAGAUACGGCUCUGCAGUAUUGGAACAUCACUGGCAGGCCCCCAAUUCCGUCCUGCGUCGGUCCAUGACGCCAACUGUAUACAUCGUCCGGACUAUUGAAGCGUGAAGAUACAAGACUCAAGACUUCGGUCUGUGUCCGGAUGGGACUCUCCUUUGCGUGGAAGGCAAGCUUGGCGAUCCGGAUAUUGUGUUUCCUUCCUUGUAACCGACUUCAUGUAAACCUUAGCCCUCUCCGGUGUCUAUAUAAACUGGAGAGGUUGGUCCUUAGAAGGACGAUCACAAUUACAAUCAUACCAUCAUAGGCUAGCUCUUAGGAUUUAGCCUCUACGAUCUCAUGGUAGAUCUACUCUUGUACUACCCAUUUCUUCAAUAUUAAUCAAGCAUGAAGUAGGGUUUUACCUCCAUCGAGAGGGCCCGAACCUGGGUAAACGUUUUGUCCCUCGCUUCCUGUUACCAUCAGCCUAGAUGCACAGAUCGGGACCCCCUACCCGAGAUCCGCCGGUUUUGACACCGACAGGCACUGCGAGCUAAAGCUCGCAAAAUCAUCCAAGGGGAUGAUAACACACCAUUCUUCCACAUGAUUGCGAAUGGAAAGCAUUGAAAGAAGAGAAUAUUUCACCUUGAGCAAGAUGAUGGGACGAUUUUAGGGCAGGAGAACCCAAAGGUAUACAUCACCAAUUACUAUAAGCAGCUGUUUGGGCCUCUCGAGGAUAAUUUCGUAUCCUUGGAUGAGUCAAGGGUUGAGGAUGUUCCUCAGCUCGCAGCAGAUGAGAAUGAUAUUUUGACAGCCCCACUUUCGGAGAAAGAGGUGUUUGAGGCAAUUUCCCAAUUGAAAAAUAAUAAAGCUCCAGUACCAGAUGGUUUUACGGCAAAGUUUUAUAAAAAGUGUUGGCAGAUCAUUAAGGGGGACUUGCUCCCGAUGUUCCAUGAUCUAUUUUUGGGACAGUUACAACUGUUUCACUUGAACUUCGGUACAAUUACUUUGCUUCCUAAGAAAACAUAGGCUGUGAGGAUUGAGCAAUUUAGGCCAAUCUGUCUUCUUAAUGUUAGCUUUAAAAUCUUCACCAAAGUUGGGACUAAUAGGCUUACGCAGAUUGCGCAUUCUGUGGUGCAGCCGUGUCAAACGGCUUUCAUGCCGGACAGAAACAUCCUAUAAGGGGUUGUGGUUCUGCAUUAAAUGCUCCAUGAAAUCCACACAAAAAAACUAGAUGGGGUGGUUUUCAAAGUGGAUUUUGAGAAAGCGUAUGACAAGGUAAAAUGGCCAUUUUUUCAGCAGGCUUUGCGUAUGAAAGGAUUUGAUCAGGCCUGGAGAGACCAGGUAGAUUCUUUCACGCAAAAAGGGAGUGUUGGAAUGGUAAAUGAUGACAUAGGUCAUUAUUUUCAGACACACAAGGGUCUGACACAAGGAGAUCCGAUGUCUCUGAUUCUGUUCAACAAAGUCGUUGACAUGUUGACAGUCCUAAUAGGAAGGGCUCAGGAUGAUGGCCAGGUAGGUGGCCUCGUUCCGCAUUUAGUUGACGUAGGAGUGUCUAUCCUACAGUACGCGGAUGAUACUAUCGUCUAUAUGGAGCAUGAUUUGGCUAAAGCUAGAAACAUGAAGCUGGUAUUGUGCUUGUUAGAAUAAUUAUCGGGGUUAAAGAUUAACUUCCACAAAAGUGAAUUGUUCUGCUUUCGAAGAGCUAAAGAAGAACAACAAGAUUACAAGGAAUUGUUCAGGUGCGAAUUGGGGUCUUUACCCUUCAGUAUUUGGGUAUACCAAUCCACCAUCGCAGGCUUUCAAACAAGGAGUGGAAGAGCAUUGAAGAUCGAUUUGAAAGAAAACUGAGCUGCUGGAAGGGCAAGCUUAUGUCAUACGGAGGAUGAUUGAUUCUGAUUAAUUCGGUUCACACAAGUAUGCCGAUGUUUCUCUUAUCCUUUUUCGAAGUACCAGUUGGUGUACGAAAAAGGCUAGAUUUCUAUCGAUCGCGGUUCUUCUGGCAGAGCGAUGAAUUAAAAAGAAAAUACAGACUCGCUAAGUGGGAUAUCAUUUGUUGGCCGAAAGAUCAAGGGGGUCUAGGCAUUGAAAAUUUAGAGGUGAAGAACAGAUGUCUUCUCAGCAAGUGGUUGUAUAAGUUAUCUGUAGAGACGGAUGCAACAUGGGCCCAGAUUCUUCGUAAUAAGUACCUUCAGUCCAAAACCUUGUCCCAGGUAACGGUAAGACCGACUGAUUCGCCUUUUUGGAAGGGACUGGUGAGAGUGAAAUCAGUCUUCUUUAACAGGACAAAAUUUAUAGUUGCAAAUGGUACUUUCACAAGAUUCUGGGAGGACACCUGGCUAGGGGAGACACCCCUUACAAUCCAAUAUCCUUCUCUCUAUAAUAUUGUUCAGCGGAGAGACACUUACGCGACAACAGUACUACAGUCCAAUCCUCUUAAUAUUCAAUUCAGGAGGACACUAGUGGGAAACCGUUGGGAAGCUUGGCUCCAUCUUGUGAGAAGAUUGAUGGAUGUCCAACUUUCUCAACAGCCAGAUCAGUUGAGCUGGAAACUAGCUAAGAAUGGUGAGUUUUCGGUUAAAUUCAUGUAUUUGGAUAUUAUCAACACUAGCGUUAUUCCUAGUUUGAAACAUGUUUGGAAAGUCAAAGUGCCUUUAAAAAUCAAAGUGUUUAUGUGGUUUUUCCACAAACAAGUCAUCCUAACUAAGGACAAUUUGGCGAAGCACGACUCGAUCUAAAAGAUGUAGUUUUUGUGAUAGUGAUGAAUCAAUCAAACACCUCUUUCUUGACUGCCCUUUGGCAACAAUUUUGUGGAGGUCGGUCUACAUAGCUUUUAAUAUUACUCCUCCCAAUUCCAUCAACACGUUAUUUGGGACAUGGCUAGAUGGGAUUGAUGCAGCAACAGCGAGGCACAUCCGUGUAGGAGUAUCCGCUUUAUUAUCGGCAGUUUGGAACUGUAGAAACGACUUGGUUUUUAACAGAACAACAAAUAUUCAUUUCUUGCAUGUUGUUUUCAGGGCCACUACACUCAUCCGUAUGUGGUCGCUACUCACUUCGACGGAGGCCAGGGAGCAUUUGGUUACUGGAUCUAUCCGAUGGGAGACGGUAGCUCGGGCUAUCUUCAACCAGUUUGGAUGGCGGUCAUGUAAUAGGAUAGGUAUUUAGUUUCCUAUCUUUUGUUUUGCCUGCCGGUUGUGGCUGCCCUGUUUUUGCUUUAGUGCUCUUUAUGAGCAUUUUUUUUCAUUUUGUUUGAGACCUCGAGACUUAUGUUGGACUUUUUGUUUAUCAAUAAUAUGGCCGUAUGCAUCAUUCUGAUGCAGAAGGCCGGGGCAAACCUCCUUUUCAAAAAAAGAAAAAAAUACAAAAAAUCACCCUGCUGGAAACAUAAUAUGUGUAAGGAGGAGCGGAACAUACUUCUCUUGCCGUCCCAAAGUCUGGCAAUUUAUACAAUACCAUUCGUUAUUAGUCGACACCAACAGAUUUUCUGAAAGAAAAUAACUCUAUGUAAAUUUCGUCAUAUUAUAGGCAUUAAUUGGGGCAUGAGAUAAUCCACCAAAUUACCAGGUUUCAUGUCGCGACGAAAAUAUCCAUAAUUAUGUGAGUACAUAUAGAACCCCAUCUGGUACUGAUGACUAUAUAAACUACAGUCGGAGCAUCUUACCUGCAACUUUUUACUUCUGUUAAUUCAUGUUAGACUGUAUUUACAUGUGUAUAUUAUAACGUUGUAUAUCACCUCAUUAUAUAUAUAUGUGAUAGGCCACCCCUAGAUGGUUGUGCCGGUUCCCCCCAAAGCCUAUUGUCUUACAUGGUAUCACGCUAGGUUACGUCCGCUUCCGCCUAAAAACCCUAAGCCGCCGCCGCCGCCACCGCCACCGCCGCCGCCGCCGCGCCCGCCGCCGCCGUCGCCCGACUGCUAUGACGUCCGCCGCUGCGUCCGACUCCACCGCCACCGGUUUUCUGCCGGCCUCCCUCGCGGCACUUCUCUCGAGGCCGCUGGAUGCCGCCUCCCUUCAGGCGCCGAUCGGGACACGGAGCGUCGGCUCCCUCUUCGCGCUCCCGCCGGCUGCUACUUCGCCCGGGCAGGCGCUUGUGGCCCACACCACCGCCGCCCCGUCACCGCGGCUGUCGCACCCUCGGCCACUGCGCCGCUGGUGGCGGAGGACGUCGCGCUGGCAGGCUUCGCGGCGUCAACCGUGGCCAUCGCGUCCUCUGUCACCGCGCCGGCUGCCCCUCCGACUGUCUCCACGGUGUUCUCACCUCAGCCAGUCUCCUCGAUGGGAUCGCAGCCGCCGCCGCCGUUUCACUUCGGCCAUCUCAUCACCAUCAAGUUGUCGUCGGACAAUUACAUCUUCUGGCGCGCGCAGGUUCUUCCGCUUCUUGGGAGUCACUACCUGCUUGGCUAUGUCGACGGCUCUCUCCCUUGCCCUCCUGCGCUGGUUGACAGCGUGCAUGGUCCGGUCUAUAAUCCGGCUCACCGUGUCUGGACAGGGCAGGAUUAGGCGAACCUCUCCUCCAUCCAGAGGUCGCUCUCUCCGGCCGUUGCUGGGCUUGUUGUCUUCGCCAAGACGUCCCACGAGGCAUGGACUAUUCUUGAGCGCUCGUUUGCGGCACAGUCGCAGGCUCGUGUAUCUGGGCUCCGUCGCCAACUUGGGGACUGUCAGAAGCUUGACUCCACCGCCACUGAGUUCUACAACAAAGUCAAGAGUCUCGCCGACACGCUGGCCUCCAUUGGACAGCCCCUCACCGACUCCAAGUUCAACUCGUUUAUUGUCAAUGGUCUUGAUGAGGAGUAUGACGCCCUAGUCGAGAUCAUCAAUGAGAGGGGCAACUCCACGCCCAUGCCAGCACACGAGGUUUUUUCAUGCCUCCUGCUUACUGAGCAACGAGUCGAGACGCGCCUAUCCAGGGGCAACGGCGCCCUCUCGGCAAACGCCGCCACCAAGGGUGGUCGCUCCUCUGCUUCAUCCAGGGCUCCUUCGGGGCAGUCACCACCACCCGCCUCGGCCCCUCCUCCUACUGCGACGCUACCAGGGGCUGGCGGUCCACGUGUGUGCCAGCUUUGUGGUCGCGAUGGGCACUGGGCCUCGAAGUGUCACAAGCGCUUCCAGCGGGGUUUUCUUGGUCUUGGCAAUGACGGGAAGGAUACACGCAACUUUGCUCGUCAGGUCGCCAUGGCUGAUCGUCCGCCGCCGCAGAAGCCACAGGGACACACUCAAUCCUACUCCAUUGAUCCCCACUGGUACAUGGACUCUGGGGCGACAGAGCACCUGACAAGUGAGAUGGGGAAGCUUCACACUCGUGAACCCUACCAUGGCUCCGACAAGAUCCACACCGCCAAUGGAGCAGGUAUGCACAUCUCUCAUAUUGGUCAAGCAUCACUUCUCACUAGACAUGCCAAUAGGAGUCUUCAACUUCGCAAUGUUCUUCGAGUUCCAUCUGUGACAUGUAAUCUUCUUUCAGUUCCUAAACUCACUCGUGAUAAUAAUGUGCUUUGUGAAUUUCAUCCUUUUGAUCUUUUUAUUAAGGAUUGGGGCACGAGGGACAUUCUUCUUAGUGGGCUGCUCUGCCAAGGUCUCUAUCGUCUGGAGCAUCCUGGCGUCACUCGUGUCUUCAGUGGAGUUCGGGUAUCUCCGUCACAGUGGCAUGCUCGUCUUGGUCACCCGGCCACACCUAUUGUCCGGCAUGUUUUGCGUCGUCAUGAGCUUCCUAGUGUGUCUAGUAAUAAAGAUGUAGCAGUGUGUGAUGCUUGUCAGCAGGGGAAGAGUCAUCAACUUCCUUUUUUGGAGUCCAGUCGUGAGGUGAAACAUCCUUUAGAACUUGUGUUUUCAGAUGUAUGGGGUCCUGCUCAGACUUCUGUUAGUGGUCAUAAUUAUUAUAUCAGUUUUGUUGAUGCUUACAGCCGCUUUACCUGGCUUUAUCUUAUCAAACGUAAAUCUGAUGUGUUUGACAUUUUUGUUCAGUUCCAAAAACAUGUUGAACGCCUUCUCAAGCACAAAAUUGUUCAUGUUCAGUCGGACUGGGGUGGCGAGUAUCGCAACCUCAACUCCUUCUUUCAGUCGCUUGGGAUCACUCACCAUUUAGCAUGUCCACAUACACAUCAGCAGAAUGGUUCAGUCGAACGUAAGCAUCGUCACAUUGUUGAAGCUGGUCUGACUCUUUUGACCCAUGCAUCUGUUCCGUUUCGUUUUGGAGUGAUGCUUUCACCACUGCAUGUUUUCUCAUCAAUCGUACUCCCACUCGUGUUUUGAAUAUGAAGACUCCCAUUGAAGUUCUCCUUAAUGAACAACCGGAUUACACCUUUCUCAAGGUGUUUGGGUGUGCUUGCUGGCCCCAUCUCCGUCCAUAUAACAAGCGUAAGCUCGAGUUUCGUUCCAAGAAGUGUGUUUUUCUUGGUUAUAGCUCUCUUCAUAAAGGAUACAAAUGUCUUCAUGUUCCCACUAAUCGUGUCUACAUCUCUCGGGAUGUUGUGUUUGACGAGCAUGUUUUUCCCUUUGCCAAACUCCCUGUGUCCACUACCGAGCCACCUGUCAUGCAUUCAUCCUCUGUUGCUUCUGACCAAUUUGAUGAUGUUGCAUAUUCUCCUCUAUUGUUGCCUAACCAUGGUGCAGGCACUGGUCGUGGGGCUCGUUUGGAGAUUCUGGAAGCGUCGUCUUCCUCUUCGUCGCCAUCGCCUUCAUCCUCGGCACCUUCUGUUGUGCAUGAGGAGCACAUGGCGCCCCUGCAUGGCCUCGGUUUCCGUGCUCAUGCACGGCCGAUCGACGUCCUGGCCCGGUCGCCUCUGGCUUCUGGGCUGCCUUCGCCAUCGUCGUGCCCUGCAACCCUGCCGACUGGGCCGGCCUCCUCGGUCCCCGUCUCGCCCAGGGCGUUGGGGCAGUCAUCACCAGGCCUGGCCUAGCCCGCCCCUACCUCGCCAAGGGUGUCUGGGCCCUUCUCACCAGGGCCGGCCUCGCCUGCUCUCGCCUCGCCAAGGCUGUCUGGGCCGGUGUCACCGGAGCUGGCCUCGCCCACCCUCGGUUCGCCCAUGUCCUCUGAGCCCCUGUCGUCGGGCCAGUCUUCGCCAUGCAGCCCGGAGUCGUCUGUCCCAAGCUCGCCUGAGGUGAUUCCUGCAUCUCCGGCGACCGUCACGUCUCCGUCACCUUCGCCUCCGCCGGCUCCUGCUGCUGCUCUACGUCCACAUACGCGCCGUCGGAGUGGCAUUUUUCAGCCUAAGCAACGUCACGAUGGCACAGUUGCUUGGUUAGCGGCGUGCAUGUCUGCUGCUCUCGCAGAUCCAUCCUCUGAGCCACGCACGUAUCAAGCUGCUAUGCGCAUUCCUCAUUGGAGAGAGGCCAUGGAGCAGGAGUAUCAAGCGCUUCUUCGCAAUCAGACAUGGACUCUUGUUCCUCCACAAUCACGGGUAAAUGUCAUUGAUUCCAAAUGGGUUUUCAAAGUGAAGAGGCAUUCUGAUGGGUCCAUUGAGCGCUAUAAGGCUCGUCUGGUUGCUCGUGGUUUUCGACAGCGUUUUGGACUUGACUAUGAAGACACCUUCAGUACAGUGGUCAAGCCUACUACCAUCAGACUUCUUCUCUCUCUGGCUGUUACUCGAGGUUGGUUUCUUCUUCAGCUUGAUGUUCAAAAUGCUUUUCUUCAUGGUGUCUUGGCGGAGGAGGUUUACAUGCGCCAGCCUCCGGGUUUCUUUGAUCCGGAUCGCCCUGAUCAUCUCUGUCGUCUGUCCAAGGCAAUUUAUGGUCUGAAGCAGGCUCCUCAUGCUUGGCAUGCUCGUCUUGCAAUGGCUCUUCGUGCUCAUGGUUUUGCAUCAUCAACUGCUGACUCCUCAUUGUUUCUUCUUCAAAGGCCUGAGGUUACUAUGUACUUGUUGGUCUAUGUAGAUGAUAUCAUUUUGGUCAGCUCCUCUCAGUCGGCUGCUACUGCGCUUGUUCGCUCACUUGGUGCUGAUUUUGCGGUCAAGGACCUUGGGAAGCUUCAUUACUUCCUUGGUGUGGAGGUUACUUCUCGUGCUGCUGGUCUUGUUAUGACGCAGAAGAAGUACUCUCUGGAUUUGUUGCAGCGAGCUGGGAUGCUUAAGUGCAAACCGACGACUACACCCAUGUCUACCAAUGAUAAGCUCAAUGCUGUUGAUGGUGUGCUUCUUUCUUCUUCUGAUGCGACCGAGUACCGGAGUAUUGUUGGUGGGCUCCAGUACUUGACGAUCACGCGACCAGACAUUUCCUAUGCUGUUAACCGAGUCUGCCAGUAUCUGCAGUCACCCCGUGACACUCAUUGGUCUGCUGUUAAGCGGAUUUUGCGCUAUAUUCGUUUCACGGUGGCUCAUGGUUUGCAUAUUCGGCCGUCUGACUCUGGUUGUCUUUCAGCAUAUUCUGAUGCAGAUUGGGCUGGCAAUCCGGAUGACAGGCGAUCCACGGGGGGUUAUGCUGUCUUCUUUGGCUCUAACCUGAUUGCCUGGAGUGCUCGGAAACAGGCUACUGUCUCGCGUAGCAGUACUGAGGCUGAGUAUAAGGCUGUGGCCAAUGCCACAUUAGAGAUUAUCUGGGUACAGUCCUUGCUUCAGGAGUUAAGUAUACCCCAAUCACAGCCUCUUGUUCUUUGGUGUGAUAACAUCGGUGCUACAUACCUUUCUGCAAAUCCGGUAUUCCAUGCCCGAACGAAACACAUUGAAGUUGACUAUCACUUUGUGCGUGAACGUGUCUCUCAGAAGCAACUACAGAUCAAGUUUAUUUCUUCCAAGGAUCAACUUGCUGACAUCUUCACCAAGCCAUUGCCUUUGCCACAGUUUGAGACUUGCAGGCGCAAUCUUACCCUUCUAGAUUCAUUAGAAAGUGGCUAAGAUUGAGGGAGGGUGUUAGACUGUAUUUACAUGUGUAUAUUGUAACGUUGUAUACCACCUCAUUAUAUAUAUGUGAUAGGCCACCCCUAGAGGGUUGUGCCGGUUCCCCCCAAAGCCUAUUGUCUUACAAUUCAGAUCAAAGCUUCAAUAUGGGCAAUGACAAUGGUUAAUCUACAACAAUAACAAAAUUGAUUCAUACUUGUAUGCUUAAACAAAGUGAUACUGCAUAUGUGAAUUUGGGAUAGCAAUAUAUAAGCUGAGAUGGCGUAUGUGCAGUACAUAAUGUCUAUACCCGAACACGCUGGAGCAUCAAAGGGGUUUGAUCGUCCUAGAACUGCACGACUUUAGCCGCGAACAGUCAGAUUCAUUUGAUCUUGUGGGUCCUGUCCACGGCCGUGGAAUCGACAUGAACAAAAGCACGUAGCCUUACGGGAGGAUAGGUAAGGGAGAUGGGACGGCUUUGGCGGAAUCGACAUGAACCAAAACAGCUGGCCAUACUAUGGUGCGAUCCGGAUCUUGGUGGUGUGGUGACCUGACGUCUUUCAUUGGAGGUCACGGGCAGAAGCGAGACGGAGGGAGGGAGAGCAAGACUGCAGCAGGCGUCACCACUAUAGACACAGGUUGACCUAGUCGGGGCAACCGGAGGCAGCUGGACCAGCGAUCAUGCCGGAGGAGCUCCUUGAUGCAGAGAUCAGUUCCCCGUCGCUGCACCCUGUUGUAGACAGGGGAAACGACAAGUAGUCUCAACAACCAUAUCUAUAUAGAUGCCUCUAGGACUUCAAAUCAGAGAUCUAGCUUGUGCUCCAUAGAUCUCAACAAAAGAGUUAUCUACAUUUUGAGGCUUAAGUGGAAAGAUUUGUAUAAUUACACUAGCUAGCUAGUGUUUCCUUUUUUUCUAUUCCCUCCUUGUACAUAUGUAUCACAAAGAAAAUAAAAAUAAAUUAACAUAUGUAGUACAAGACUAUUGUCGCUCGUAGAAAACUUCCCUUUGUAAUUCAACCACGCUAAGUACCACUAAGAUUUCCCCUCUCUUUAUAUAAUUAUGAUUUCCCCUCUCUUUUUGUAAUAAUGAAAAUCUAGUUCUGGUGGAUUCUUUGUAUUUUGAAAGUGACAACCGCAAAACAAUUAGUGAUUUCUACCAGUCAUUGAGCGCCGCAAAAUCACCCGUUAGUGAUAGCAAACCUGCAUUUGAUGAGUAUUAAGACGGGUUGACGAUGUGUUACCUACCCGUUCGUCAUGGAUGGAGUGUCGGUUACACAGGCCACUCUCUAGUAGUGCAUGAUAUUAUGACAUCCAGUCUAAGCCAGGUUUAUAAUAAGUGUGAUAUGAGUUUAAUAUUUGAAGUGAUUUUAUAUGUUGGCUCCCUGGGUGUAUGUCUUCUUAAGUACGAUGUGCAUCUAGUCUAAACAUUAUCUCUCCAAGCUUGGUGUUAUGUUGAAUAUGAAGGUCAUGUUGCAUCAUAAAAAUUAAUACUUGAUCAUUAAAAUUGUGACAUGUGAAAGUCCGAGAUUAGGUGUUUCUUUUUUAUGUUCUUAGCCAUAUACAUGUUGUUUUAACUAAUGACAAUAUAUCUUGUCACCAUUACUAUUCUUAGAUUAGUUAUUUACCAAAGCUCAUGCAUACCAUCCACCAAAAAGAAUUGUGUUUAUGGUAAGUUAUAUGUGAGUUCUAGAUUUAGGUUGUUCUUCUACAAAAGUGGCUACAUGUGUUGAUUAACUGAUGUCUUCUAUGAGAUGGUCGUUAUGUCCUUGUAAGUUUGUUGUAUUGCGAUGAUUAAUGGCAUACUUUAAAAUUAAGCCAAUUUACAAUAUCUUCAUGGAGAGCUCUAGAUCCACGGUACUUUUCAAUGUUGUUAAUGGGGCAUAUGUGGUAUCAAUGGAUCACAUGUGGCCACCAUCUCUUCACAUGUCUAAUAUGGCUCUAAUUUCUUGAUAAGGCAUAUUCACGUCUAUUAAGAAAACCUUGAUUUCUCAUAUUCAUUAAUUCAUAUAUGAGACAUAGUUGUUGUUCUUGGUAGUGUUAUGCAACCAGAAAAAGUAAUGGAUUCUAGUCUCUUCAGUUGAAGUUUGGACUUGUGCUAUCUUUUAAUUUAAUUGUUUAAUGAGCAUGGCUUCUAUUUUUAGUUGACAAGCUAAUGUUUGCCUCACAAUAUUCUAAGAGGUGCAUUGUGGUAAAUACAUGUUCCACUUCCAUCAUUCCUCAGAUGACAAUGAUCUACAACAACAAAAUUGUAGGUACUGAUGAAAAAACAUCAUGGACCAAGACCUGGAACACUGAGCAUGCAUAUUUUUCCCAAACAUCCUAAUUAAGAUAGUAGUCCAAAGGAUAAUGAAUUUGGAAAUAAAUAUAUUUUAUUUCAAUAUAGCUCUUACAUGGAAGCGCUAACAAGCAUCUACAAAAGCUCUCCAUAGUCUGUAAGAAUAUCAAUAUCUUGUCCAGUGGAAGAGGGCUGCACAUCAACCCAUCCACCAUUUACCAUGGAAGACUGUCCUAGAUCCGUACCGCUAGAGCCUAAGUAAGCAUCCAUCCCUAGGAAACUAUUGUAGUACGACUGAUCUGAUAGAGGAAAACCCCAUUGUUCAGUGUUAAAUGGGUCAUCAAUAGAAAAGGCAUUGCCACUCGAGUACCCCAAUAGUGGAGAGGCCUCCAAAUUCUGCCCGGAUGUUGAGUCAUGGUUUGCGUCAUUUUGUUGUGGUUGAACUACGUUGCAAGUACUUUCAUAGUUCUGAACAUGCAACUCCUCUUGUGGAGUUUGCUCAUGUACCUGAUUUGUUGUGGGUUGGACAUGGGAAGCCAAGGGUGGAGCUAAAGACGAUGGUGCGGAAUGGAACAUUUGUGGUACCUUCAUAGGAAAAAGUGGUGCCGAAGUUUGUUCUGGUUGUGAUGGUAGUGGAUCGGAAGGUAGCUGGAGUUGUGAGAGAUUGUGAGCCCACGAUGACUGCAUAAGUAAAUGAGUAGUACCCAAAUGAUCUGCCGGCAGAACACUUGGUAGUUGCAGAUCUUGUGCCACACAUGUGCCACCGGUGUUGUCUUCACGACCAUGUAUUGGAGGUAGCCGGAAUCUAAUGUCUUUUUGGACCCGAGAGAGCUCACUAAAGAGCUUGUUCAGAUCUUCAAGACUGAGAUCUUGUUCCUUCGUGAAGAUGAGAUUUGCCACCAUACCUGGAUUCUCUUCUUGGAUAUUUUUCAUACGAAGGAUGGAAAGGUUGUUUUUGUCUUCCUCGGUCAUGUUCUCCAUGUCCAACUGAGCCACCUCGUUUUGUAGGCUUCCAAUCCUAGCAGUGGUUGCCUCGUCGGCAGAGGGAACUGCUGGUGGAGUUCCAAAUAGGGAAGCAUCAACAAUGGGAUCGGCCAAUGGCGUCCCAAAUGAGUGCAUCUUUCCAAUGUUUGUUUCUAGGACGACCGCAACCCUAGCCCUAGUGAGGGCAGAAAUGUCAGUCACCCUCUUGAACAAACCGGAACGUCGCUUGUAGACGGUGAGAUCACGUUCUUUGUCAUUAUGGAUGUAUGCCAAACCUGACUGCCGCUCUUUCCUCGGCAUACUAAUGUGGACAAAGAGGAAGAAACUAACUACUACAAAUAGGAAGCACAAGGAUCUGCAGAAAACUAGAGAUUUAGGAGCACUGUUGGCUAACCACAUAUUGGUGUAGGAUAUGAGAAGAUGUACUCCCCUUAUAUAGAAUUAAAAGGGUUGUAUGGCAGUGGUAUUUGACUAUACAAAGACCAUGUAAAUCUUUAGUAAAAAUUAACAUACAUAACUCACAAAAAGUGCUAUUUUAUGGAUACUAUUAACUAUCGUCCAAAUAUACAUAUGUGAGUGCAUCCACAUCCUUCUUUGCAAACACUGAUAUGUAUUUCUUCUGAUGUAAGUAUUCACAUCCAUAUAUAGAACUAUUAACACUUUUAAAAAUAGAAAUAUUAAAUGAUUCCCAUUUGACCACAUUCAUAUCCUUAUCUAGAAGUAUUAAUGGGAGUUAAACCCAACUAAGUUUUACUCUAAUAUACAAAAUAAUUGUGGUCAAAUUUAUUUGGUUGUUAAUUGCAUCCAAAUCCUUUGUUGAUCACAUUGAUUACAUACUAAUGUAUCCUUGAUCAUAUUGAUUACAUCCAUAUCCUCUACUAGGAACUACCUAAUCUAGAAGUGGUCGUCCUUUAAUCCAUAAUAUCCAAGUAUAACAUGGACCUUGCUUUGGUGCUUAACUUAGAAAUUGAGAUACCAACUAGGACAGAUAUACUAAGAGCAACUAUAAAAUACUAGGACAUUUGGUAAGUCAUGGUAUAACACAUAUGUUACUCGGAGCAUCGACCUGCUUCCUUGGUGAGCCCAGUUCCCGCUCAAGAUGUGUUUUUAUUGGUUACACAUGUAUAUCUUGGGCCCUAGUUUUUUAUGGCCCAUAAAAUAAUAUGUGUAAGGCUUUUUCUGGAAGGAUCCAACACAACCUAAUCUAUUAUGUAUUAAAAGAAUUGACGGGCUCACCAGAAAAACAUAAAAAUGCUAGAAAAUAACUCAAAAAUAAAAACAACUAAUUGUCUAUCUAUUAUAUAUUAAAAGCAAUUGACGGGCUCACCAGAAAAAAGAUAUAGAUGCUAGAAGAUCUCUCAAAAAUCAAAAACAUCUGACUGUCUAUUUAAUAGGCUAAUAUUUUAUAACCAUUAGAUUAGGUUUAAGUGAAAUAAUUACCCACCAUUGCCAUUAUAAGAAAAAAGUGUUCCAUCUAACUUAUUAGGAUGUGGGCUGAUGCCAUCUUAUUAGGACGUGGGCUGAUGACAUAAUAUAAUGGAAAAAACGUUAUGUUCCCAUAGUACCAAAAGGACUGCUCACACAUGAACACAGUGGCAGCAAUGUUCAUGUAAAUGAUCUUUGUGAUUAAUUCCCCCUUGGUAGAGUACCUGAAAAAGCCUCCAGGUUGGAUCUCCCCGGAGCAGAGUGGUGGGCGGCGCAAAAAUCAUCUGUUAAUAUUUCUAACGUUUUCGGGAGUAUAUAAAGGCAGCGGAAGAAAGAUGCGAUGGAGGCAACCUCUAUGGCGGCCAUGCUCCCCCUUGGAUGCUCUUGCCGACCUGUGGCAUGUGUCCUAGGAGGGGUGGGGGUGGGUCUAGGUCCCUCCGGCUUCCUUUCUUCAUGAAACUUAGUGUUUUUUUCUAGUUUUUUGGUCCCUAAAAAGUUGAUUUUUUUCUUCUGAAAAUUCAAAAACACAACAACUAGCACUUUGCACUGAAUUAAUAGGUUAAUCAAGAAAAACUAUAAAAGUUGAUGCCAAUACUAUGCCAUUAUGAUAUAAGUAUAGGAUGAAACAAUAAAAAUUUCUUGAUACAUAUAGUACAUAUCAACUGGCAUGAAUAAAUUGAUGUUUUUCUAGGGAUUGUUAAUACUCGACAAUAUUGUUCUCCUAGAUAACCAGACACAAGGUACUCCUUGGUCCCUAUUGGUUCGAUGUCCAGGCUAAGAUUGUGACUAGCAUGAAUAAAUUGAUGGCUUUCUCUAUCGCUCACUAUUACUUGAUGGAACUUCAGCUGGGUAGCUGGACAGAAGCGAGGUUAUUCCUACCAAUUAGAAAUGGGCGACUCCCAUUCCGUAGCCAUCUGCACGUUACUACAAGCUAAAAUGGUGCCAAGCACGAAUAAAUCGUUAUAUUUCUCCAAGGCUCAUUAAUAAUGCAUGGUACUAUUCGGUUGGAUAGCCACACAGAAGUAAUGUACUCCUUUUCAACUUGAGGGGAUGACUCUUGGCCUUUAUCCAUCUGUCUAGUCACUAGCACGAAUAAAUUGGUGUCUUUCUCUACAACAAAUAAUUGAUGGUACUAUUCAGCCAGACAACCAGUAAGAAGCAAGGUACUCCCUGGUCCCCUGCCGACUCAAGGUGGAUGGCUGCUGGUAAUAUAUGCAUUAAUCCAAACUCAAACGGUGACUAGCACGAAUAAAUCGAUGUCCUUCUUUUUGGCUCUUUAAUACUUCCACUUUUCGACUAGGUUGUCUGAAAACAUGAGGUGGGCACCUCCUGAUACGGAGACGCAUGCACAUUAAUCCAUGCUAAAAUGGUGACUUGCACAAAUAUAUCGAUGUCUUUCUCUAGGGCUCAUUAACACUUGAUGGUAUGGUUUGGUUGGACAACAGGACAAAAAGCAAGGUAUUCCAGGAUUUCUUGUCCAUAUAGGGUGGAUGGCUCCAGGCACGGCCAGUUACACAUUAAUCCGGGCUCGUCUAACACGAAUAAAUGGAUGUCUUUCUCUAUGGCUCAUUAAUACUUGAUGGCACUCUUUGGUUAGGCGGUGUACAAAAGCGAGGUACUCCCUUCUGAUUUCGGGUGGUUGUGGGGCCACUAGACGGACACAAGCAAGGUAUUGCCUGUCACUUGGGGGGAUAUUUUAAAUAUUGUUUUUGUUACAUAAAUUUCAAAAAUAUAACACUAAAAUAUAAUAUUGUACCAGUAGUACUCCGACAUGUCGGUGCCAACAAUGACAGGUAUCAUUGGCACUACCAAUGAUACAUCUGUUAUGUUGUUAUUUUGAGUCAAUGGGCCAUCAUCAGUGCAUCCUGCAUCAGCCCUCCUGCAUGACACACUCGUACAGAGCUAGCUAUGUUAGAGCAUGUACAAUGGUGCUAUCUUCCAAUGUCACCUAAGAUCACUGCUGAGUUAGAAGAGAGCGAAUGGAGGGAAAAAAAGGCUUGCCAUCUCUUACCUAAGAGAUGGUUUGUCAGUAAAGAAGAUAAGACAAUUCUAUCCAUUUUACUAGAUGUCAUCUCUUAGCUACAUAUUUUCUAGUUUAAUUUUAACCAUCGCAUUAAUUUAAGAGCAUGUAAACUUUGCUUGUUAGGCUAAGAGCUAAUUCAUUGUAUCAUAUGUUUUUAAGCUUCUCCAAAUGACAUACAUUGCAUCAGCCCUCCCACAUGACACACUCGUACAGAGCUAGCUACCUUAGGUCGUCGUGUACAAUGAUGCUAUCUUCGCAAUGUCACCUAAGAUCAUUGAUGAGUUAAACGAGAGUGAUUGGAGGAAAAAAGGCUUGCCACCUCUUACCUAAGAGAAGGUCUCUCAGGAAAAGAAGAUAAGACAGUUCUACCCAAUGUACUAGAUGUCAUCUCUUAUAUUUUCUAGUUUAAUUUUAACCAUCGCAUUAAUUUAAGAGCAUGUAAUCUUUGCUUGUUAGACUAAGAGAUAAUUCAUUGUGUGAUAUGUUUUUAAGCUUCUCCAAAUGACAUACAUAGCAUACGAGAAUAUUGUAACAAAUAACUAUUUGUGUACAGUGUGCUCGGUCUAUUAUGAAGAUAUAAAGCAUGUGCUAUUUGAAUGUAAUGUUGCAAGGGAGGUUUGGGACAAUCUUGGUCUACUGGAACUCACCGAAGAGGCAUGCAUGCUGGACAAUUGAGGUAGUGUUUUUUUUCACAAAUUCACGAAUGUUUUUUAAAUUUGCUAAUGUUAUUUUUAGAAAGCAUGAUUUUUUAGUUUGAGAACAUUUUAAAACUUUCAGAAAUUAUUUUAAUUGGGGAAUAUUUAUAAUUUGAUGAGCAUUUUAAACAUCCUAAACAUUUUUUUAAUUACAGAAUAUAUUUUUUAUAAAGUUGCAAACGUUCUUAAAAUCCAUGGAUUGUUUUUCAAACUUGGAAGCAUUUAUUAAAAUUCUUGAAAAGAUGUUAAAAAUGAACAAAAAUUGUCAGCAUUUGUUAAAAUUUUCACAGCAGGCUUCCCACAAAAAAAAUUCACAGCAGGCACCUUUUAAUUUGUUUUCUAGUAAACAGCUCAAAAAUAGAUCUGUACAAUGGAGAAACAGCUAUAUCUCGCUGUACAGCAAGAUAUAACCUGAGCUCGCCUCUGAGCCCACCUUAGAGGGUGGGCCCAAUGGUCCAGAUUUGGAAAGGUAGUACUGACUGGUACAGACUUGUUUUAGAACCAGUUUCUAAAAAAAACAUGUUUUAGAACCUUUCAAGUUAUUUUUUUCCUUUUUGUUACAGUGUUUUCUUGGUAUACUUCAUUGUUAUUGCGUUUUAUGUUUUUCAUUCCUUUCCUUUUUUUUGCAUUUUUCAAAUAUACGUUGACUUUAUUUAAAUACACAUUGAAAAAUGCAUAUGCAUGUUGAACCUAUUUGGAUACACGUUAAACAUUUUCCAAAUACAAUUUGAAUACUUUUUAAAUACACCUUGAACAUUUGUCAAAUGUACAUUAAACAUCUUCAAAAUACAAUGUGGAAUUUUCUUAAACACACAAUGACCAUUUUUCAUAAAUGCCAUGAAUAUUAUUUUUAGUUGUGCAAACAGUUUUUAAGUGCUACGGAAAUUUCUUCAAACUCAUGAACCUUUUUUGAAUGGUACGAAACAUUUUCUGAAGAUUGCACAAUCAAAUUUUAACAUUAGCAAGGUAACUAAUGAUAAAAGUGAGCGUAAACGGUAUUGCAAUGAUAGGAAACAAGGCCUAGGGUUCAUACUUUCACUAGUGCAAGUUCUCUCAACAAUAAUAACAUAGAUAGAUCAUAUAACAAUCCCUCAACAUGCAACAAAGAGUCACUCCAAAGACACUAAUAGCGGAGAACGAACGAAGAGAUUAUGGUAGGGUGCGAAACCACCUCAAAGUUAUUUUUUUGGAUCAAUUUAUUCAAGAGUUCGUACUAGAAUAAUACCUUAAGACACAAAUCAACCAAAACCCUAAUGUCACCUAGAUACUCCAUUGUCACCUCAAGUAUCAGUGGGCAUGAUUAUACGAUAUGCAUCACACAAUCUCAGAUUCAUCUAUUCAACCAACACAAAGUACUUCAAAGAGUGCCCCAAAGUUUCUACCGGAGAGUCAAGAACGUGUGCCAACCCCUAUGCAUAGGUUCAUGGGCGGAACCCGCAAGUUGGUCACCAAAACAUACAUCAAGAGGCACAUGAUAUCCCAUUGUCACCACAGAUAAGUGAUAUCUACUACACAACCUUCUUCUUGUAGACGUUGUUGGGCCUGCAAGUGCACCGGUUUGUAGGACAGUAGCAAAUUUCCCUCAAGUGGAUGACCUAAGGUUUAUCAAUCCGCAGGAGGCGUAGGAUGAAGAUGGUCUCUCUCAAACAACCCUGCAACCAAAUAACAAAGAGUUUCUUGUGUCCCCAACACACCCAAUACAAUGGUAAAUUGUAUAGGUGCACUAGUUCGGUGAAGAGAUGAAGAUGCAAGUGCAAAAUAGAUGGUAGAUAAAGGUAUUUGUAAUCUGAAAUAAUAAAAACAGCGAGGUAGCGAGCGAUAAAAGUGAGCGUAAACGGUAUUGCAAUGAUAGAAAACAAGGCCUAGGGUUCAUACUUUCACCAGUGCAAGUUCUCUCAACAAUAAUAACAUAGAUAGAUCGUAUAACAAUCCCUCAACAUGCAACAAAGAGUCACUCCGAAGUCACUAAUAGCGUAGAACAAACAUAGAGAUUAUGGUAGAGUACGAAACCACCUCAAAUUUAUUCUUUCGGAUCGAUCUAUAAAAGAGUUCGUACUAGAAUAACACCUUAAGACACAAAUCAACCAAAACCCUAAUUUCACCUAGAUACUCCAUUGUCACCUCAAGUAUCCGUGGGCAUGAUUAUACGAUAUGCGUCACACAAUCUCAGAUUCAUCCAACCAACAUGAAAGUACUUCAAAGAGUGCCCCAAAGCUACUACCGGAUGAUACGUCUCCAACGUAUCUAUAAUUUUUGAUUGCUCCAUGCUACUUUAUCUAUUGUUUUGGACUAUAAUGGGCUUUAUUUUCCACUCUUAUAUUAUUUUUGGUACUAACCUACUAACCGGAGGCCCAGCCCAGAAUUGCUGCUUUUUUGCCUAUUUCAGUGUUUCGAAGAAACGGAAUAUCAAACGGAGUCCAAAUGGAAUGAAACCUUCGGGAACGUGAUCUUCUCACCGAACGUGAUCCAGGAGACUUGGACCCUACUCCAAGGAGUGCCAGAGGCGGUCACGAGGGUGGAGGGCACGCCCUUACACCCUGGGCGCGCCCCCCUACCUCGUGGGCCCCCUGACGCUCCACCGACGUACUCCUUCCUCCUAUAUAUACCUACUUACCCCCAACAGAUCGGGGACGGACCCAAAAUCCUAAUUCCACCGCCGUAACUUCCUGUAUCCACGAGAUCCCAUCUUGGGGCCUGUUCCGGAGCUCCGCCGAAGGGGGCAUCUACCACAGAGGGCUUCUACAUCAUCACCAUAGCCCCUCCGAUGAAGUGUGAGUAGUUUACUUCAGACCUUCGGGUCCAUAGUUAGUAGCUAGAUGGCUUCUUCUCUCUUUUUGGAUCUCAAUACAAUGUUCUCCCCCUCUCUGGUGGAGAUCUAUUCGAUGUAACCUUCUUUUUGCGGUGUGUUUGUUGAGACCGAUGAAUUAUGGGUUUAUGAUCCAACUUACCUAUGGAAAAUAUUUGAUUCUUCUCUGAAUUCUUUUAUGUAUGAUUGAUUUAUCUUUGCAAGUCUCUUAGAAUUAUCCGUUUGGUUUGGCCAACUAGAUUGGUAGUUCUUGCAAUGGGAGAAGUGCUUAGCUUUGGGUUCAAUCUUGCGGUGACCUUAUCCAGUGACAGAAAGGGUUGCAAGGCACGUAUUGUAUUGUUGCCAUCGAGGAUAACAAGAUGGGGUAUUUAUCAUAUUGCAUCAAUUUAUUCCUCUACAUCAUGUCAUCUUGCUUAAGGCGUUACUCUGUUUUUAACUUAAUACUCUAGAUGCAUGCUGGAUAGCGGUCGAUGAGUGGAGUAAUAGUAGUAGAUGCAGAAUCGUUUCGGUCUACUUGUCACGGACGUGAUGCCUAUAUACAUGAGCAUUGCCUGGAUAACCUCAUAACUAUGCUCAAUUCUGUCAAUUGCUCAACGGUAAUUUGUUCACCCACCGUAGAAUACUUAUGCUCUUGAGAGAAGCCACUAGUGAAACCUAUGGCCCCCGGGUCUAUUCUCAUCAUAUCAAUCUCUAUCACUUUAUUUACUUGCUUUUCUUUUACUUUUUACUUUGCAUCUUUAUACCAAAAAUACCAAAAAUAUUAUCUCUAUCAGAUCUCACCCUCGUAAGUGACUGUGAAGGGAUUGACAACCCCUAAGCGUUGGUUGCGAGUAGCUAUCAUUUUGUGCAGGUACGAGGGACUUGCGCGUGGUCUCCUACUAGAUUGAUACCUUGGUUCAUAAAAACUGAGGGAAAUACUUACGCUACUGUGCUGCAUCAUCCUCUCCUCUUCGGGGAAAUCCAACGCAAGCUCGAGACGUAGCACCGGAGAGUCAAGAACGUGUGCCAACCCCUAUGCAUAGGUUCCCAAUGUCACAAAACCCGCAAGUUGAUCACCAAAACAUACAUCAAGUGGAUCGCAAGACAUACAUCAAGUGUUCUCAUAAAAGACUCAAUCCGAUAAAAUAACUUCAAAGGGGAAACUCAACUCAUCACAAGAGAGUAGAGGGGAAGAAACAUCAUAAGAUCCAACUACAAUAGCAAAGCUCGGGAUACAUCAAGAUCGUGCCAUAGUGGGAACCCGAGAGAGAACACGAGAGAGAUAUCAAACACAUAGCUACUGGUACAUACCCUCAGCCCCGAGGGUGAACUACUCCCUCCUCGUCAUGGAUAGCGCCGGGAUGAUGAAGAUGGCCACUGGUGAAGGAUCCCCCCUCCGGCAGGGUGCCGGGAAGGGCUCCCGAGAGGUUUUUGGUGGCUACAGAGGCUUGCGGCGGCGGACAUCCUGAUCUAUCUUCUGUUCUGGAUGUUUUACGAUACGUAAGUAUAUAUGGGUGCAAGGGAUACGUCAGUGGACCGAAGGGGGGCCACGAGGCAGGGGGUGCGCCUAGGGGGGUGGGCCUGGGGCGCGCCCCCCACCCUCGUGAGCACCUCCCUUCUUUCCUGACGUGCACUCCAAGUCCAUGGGGUGGCUUUCCUUCCAGAAAUAACUUCUCCAGUUGAUUUCGUUCCGUUUUGACUCCGUCUGAUAUUCAUUUUCCUCGAAACACUGAAAUAGGCAUAAAACAGCAAAUCUGGGUUGGGCCUCCGGUUAAUAGGUUAGUCCCAAAAAUAAUAUAAAAGUGGAUAAUAAAGCCCAAUGUUGCCUAAAACAGUAGAUAAAAUAGCAUGGAGCAAUCAAAAAUUAUAGAUACGUUGGAGACGUAUCAAGCAUCCCCAAGCUUAAUUCCUGCUCGUCCUCGAGUAGGUAAAUGAUAAAAGAGAAUUUAUGAUGCGGAGUGAUACUUUGGCAUAAUUUCAAUGUAAAUCUUCUUAAUUGUGGUAUGAAUAUUCAGAUCCGAAAGAUUCAAGACAAAAGUUCAUAUUGACAUAAAAAUAAUAAUACUUCAAGCAUACUAACUAAGCAAUUAUGUCUUCUCAAAAUAACAUGGCCAAAGAAAGUUAUCCCUACAAAAUCAUAUAGUCUGGCUAAGCUCUAUCUUCAUCACACAAAGUAUUUAAUCAUGCACAACCAAGUUGAUGAGCCAAGCAAUUGUUUCAUACUUUAAUAAUGUCAAACUUUUUCAACUUUCACGCAAUACAUGAGCGUGAGCCAUGGACAUAGCACUAUAGGUGGAAUAGAAUGGUGGUUGUGGAGAAGACAAAAAGGAGAAGAUAGUCUCACAUCAACUAGGCGUAUCAACGGGCUAUGGAAAUGCCCAUUAAUAGAUAUCAAUGUGAGUGAGUAGGGAUUGCCAUGCAACGGAUGCACUAGAGCUAUAAGUAUAUGAAAGCUCAACAAAAGAAACUAAGUGGGUGUGCAUCCAACUUGCUUGCUCACGAAGACCUAGGGCACUUUUGAGGAAGCCCAUCAUUGGAAUAUACAAGCCAAGUUCUAUAAUGAAAAAUUCCCACUAGUAUAUGAAAAUGACAACAUAUGAGACUCUCUAUCAUGAAGAUCACGGUGCUACUUUGAAGCACAAGUGUGGUAAAAGGAUAGUAGCAUUGUCCCUUCUCUCUUUUUCUCUCAUUUUUUUAUUGGGCCUUUUCUCUCUCUUUUUUAUGGCCACUCUUUUUUUCGUCCGGAGUCUCAUCCCGACUUAUGGGGGAAUCAUAGUCUCCAUCAUCCUUUCCUCACUGAGACAAUGCUCUAAUAAUGAUGAUCAUCAUACUUUUAUUUUUCUUACAACUCAACAAUUACAACUCGAUACUUAGAACAAAAUAUGACUCUAUAUGAAUGCCUCCGGCGGUGUACCGGGAUAUGCAAUGAAUCAAGAGCGACAUGUAUGAAAAUUAUGAAGGUGGCCUUGCCACAAAUACAAUGUCAACUACAUGUUCAUGCAAAAAGCAAUAUGACAAAAGUAAUGUGUGUCAUAUGAACAAAACGGUGGAAAGUUGCAUGGAAAUAUAUCUCGGAAUGGCUAUGGUAAUGCCAUAAUAGGUAGGUAUGGUGGCUGUUUUGAGGAAGGUAUAUGGUGGGUGUAUGGUACCGGCGAAUGUUGCGCGGCACAAGAGAGGCUAGCAAUAAUGGAAGGGUGAAAGGGUGCGUAUAAUCCAUGGACUCAACAUUAAUCAAAAGAACUCAUGCACUUGUUGCAAAAAUUUAGAAGUCAUCAAAAACCAAAGCACUACGCGCAUGCUCCUAGGGGGAUAGAUUGGUAGGAAAAGACCAUCGCUCGUCCCCGACCGCCACACAUAAGGAAGACAAUCAAUAAAUAAAAUUGUGCUCCAACUUCAUCACAAAGCGGUUCACCAUAUGUGCAUGCUACGGGAAUCACAAACUUCAACAGAAGCAUUCUUUAAAUUCAUAAUCACCCAACUAGCAUCACUUUGAUAUUAUCACCUCCAUAUCUCAAAACAUUUAUCAAGCAUCAAACUUAUCUUAGUAUUCAACGCACUCAAAAGAAAGUUUCACAUAUCUUGAAUGCCAAGUAUCUUAAUGUUAAGUAAGUUACCAUGCUAUUAAAGACUCUGAAAAAAAAUAUAAGUGAAGCAUGAGAGUUCAUCUGUUUCUUCAAAAUAAAACCACCAUUGUGCUCUAAAAGAUAUAAGUGAAAUACUAGAGCAAACGACAAACUACUCUGAAAGAUAUAAGUGAAGAUCAAUGAGUAGCUAAAUAAUUAUGCAACUAUGCAAAGACUCUCUCUCAUUAAAGAAUUUCAUAUCUUGUAUCUUAUUCAAACAGCAAGCAAAGCAAAAUAAAAUGACAAUGCAAGGAUAGCACAACUCAUGUGAAGAAGCAAAAACUUAGGCUCAACCGAUACUAACCGAUAGUGAUUGAAGAAGAAAGGUGGGAUGCCUACCGGGGCAUUCCCAAGCUUAGAUGCUUGAGACUUCUUGAAAUAUUAUCUUGGGGUGCCUUGGGAAUCCCCAAGCUUGAGCUUUUAUGUCUCCUUAAUUCCUCUCAUAUCAUGGUUUCUCUUCCUUUAUCAAAAGCUUCAUUCACAACAAACUCAACAAGAACUCGUGAGAUAGGUUAGUAUAAACCAAUGCAAAACCAUAGCAUCUUCUACUGUAACAAACCACUAACAUUAUUAUUCAACAUUGCAUACUAAAUGCCUCUGUAUAUUUAAUACUCCUAUCCUCAAAUAGAAUCAUUAAACAAGCAAACAUACGCAAACAAUGCAAACAUAACACCAAUCUGCCAAAAUAGUACAGUCUGUAAAGAAUGCAAGAGUAACAAUACUUCCCUGACUCCAAAAAUUAUGAACUAAAAUUCGCACUGUAAUAAAUUUAUCAGAGCUUAAUAUGCAAAAAUAUUCAACAUUAUACCAUUCUCUGACUUUUCUCGGGAAUUUUUGCAACAGCGGUAAACUUUCUGUUUUCAAACAGCAACAUGUAUACUAGCAAAAUAAGCAUGGCAAAGGCUAUCCUUGACUUUUUUAUUGAAACUAAAGAUACAAAACAUUAUUCUAAUUAAGAUCAAGCAAAAACUAGCAAAAUAAUAUGACGCUCCAAGCAAAACACAUAUCAUGUGGCGAAUAAAAAUAUAGCUCCAAGUAAAGUUACCGAUGAACGAAGACGAAAGAGGGGAUGCCAUCCGGGGCAUCCCCAAGCUUAGUUGCUUGAUUGUCCUUGAAUAUUACCUUGGGGUGCCUUGGGAAUCCCCAAUCUUAGGCUCUUUCCACUCCUUAUUACAUAAUCCAUCGAAUCUUUACCCAAAACUUGAAAACCUCAACCACACAAAACUCAAAACAAAACUCGUAAGCUCCGUUAGUAUAAGAAAAUAAAUCACCACUUAGGUACUGUAAUGAACUCAUUCUAAAUUCAUAUUUGUGUAAUAUCUACUGUAUUAUAACUUCUCUAUGGUUCAUACCACUUAAUACUAGCCAUAGAUGCACCAAAAUAAGCAAACAACACAAUGAAAACAGAAUCUGUCAAAAACAGAAUAGUCUGUAGUAAUCUGUAUCAAAUGUAUACCUCUGGAACACCAAAAAUUAUGAAAUAAAUUUCUGGACCUGAAUAAUUUGUCUAUUAAUCAUCUGAAAAAAGAAUCAACCUAAAAGCACUUUUCAGUAAAAAAUUGCAGCCAUUCUCGUGAGCGCAAAAGUUUCUGUUUUCUACAGCAAGAUCAUUUAAACUUCACCCAAGUCUUCCCAAAGGUUCUACUUGGCACUUCAUUGAAAUAAAAGCUAUAAAACAUGAUUACUACAGUAGAAUAAUAAUGUGGACACACAAAAACAGUAAGGGUAAAUAUUGGGUUGUCUCCCAACAAGCGCUUUUCUUUAAUGCCUUUCUAGCUAGGCAUGAUGAUGACAAUGAUGCUCACAUAAAAGAUAAGAAUUGAAACAUAACGGGAGCAUCAUGAAGCAUAUGACUAGCACAUUUAGGCCUAACCCUCUUCCUAUGCAUAGGGACUUUGUGAGCAAACAACUUAGGGGAACAAUAAUCAACAAGGAUAGGAAGGUAAAACAAGCAUAACUUCAAGAUUUUCCACACAUAGAGAGGAAACUUGACAUUAUUUUAAUUCCUACAAGCAUAAGUUCCUCCCUCAUAAUAAUUUUCAGUAGUAUCAUGAAUGAAUUCAACAAUAUAACCAGGACCUAAAGCAUUCUUUUCAUGAUCUACUAGCAUAGAAAAUUUACUACUCUCCACAUAAGCAAAAUUCUUCUCAUGAAUAAUAGUGGGAGCAAACUCAACAAAAUAACUAUCACAUGAUUGAAAAUUAAGAUCAAGAUGACAAGUUUCGUGGUUAUCAUUAUUCUUUAAAGCAUACGCGUCAUCACAAUAAUCAUCAUAGAUAGGAGGCAUGCUUUCAUCAUAGUAAAUUUGCUCAUCAAAGCUUGGAGGACAAAAAAUAUCAUCUCCAUCAAACAUAGCUUACCCAAGCUUGUGGCUUUGCAUAUCAUUAGCAUCAUGGAUAUUCAGGGAAUUCAUACUAACAACAUUGCAAUCAUGCUCAUCAUUCACAUAUUUCAUGCCAAGCAUUCUAUGUAAUUCUUCUUCUAGCACUUGAGCACAAUUUUCCUUUCCAUCAUACUCACGAAAGAUAUUAAAAAGACAAAGUGUAUGAGACAAACUUAACUCAAUUUGUUGUAGUUUUCUUUUAUAAACUAAACAAGUGAUAAAACAAGAAACGAAAAGAUUCGAUUGCAAGAUCUAAAGAUAUACCUUCAAGCACUCACCUCCCCAAAAAAGAGCUUAGUUGACGGAGUGUGAGUACCCUUUACCUAGCUUCCCCGGCAACGGCGCCAGAAAAGAGCUUGAUGUCUACUACACAACCUUCUUCUUGUAGACGUUGUUGGGCCUGCAAGUGCACAGGUUUGUAGGAUAGUAGCAAAUUUCCCUCAAGUGGAUGACCUAAGGUUUAGCAAUCCCUAGGAGGCAUAGGAUGAAGAUGGUCUCUCUCAAACAACCCUGCAACCAAAUAACAAAGAGUCUCUUGUGUCCCCAACACACCCAAUACAAUGGUAAAUUGUAUAGGUGCACUACUCCGGCGAAGAGAUGAAGAUGCAAGUGCAAAAUAGAUGGUAGAUAAAGGUAUUUAUAAUCUGAAAUAAUAAAAACAGCAAGGUAGCGAGCGAUAAAAGUGAGCGUAAACGGUAUUGCAAUGAUAGGAAGCAAGGCCUAGGGUUCAUACUUUCACUAGUGCAAGAUCUCUCAACAAUAAUAACAUAGAUAGAUCGUAUAACAAUCCCUCAACAUGCAACAAAGAGUCACUCCGAAGCCACUAAUAGCGGAGAACAAACGUAGAGAUUAUGGUAGGGUACGAAACCACCUCAAAGUUAUUCUUUCGGAUCGAUCUAUUCAAGAGUUUCUACUAGAAUAACACCUUCAGGCACAAAUCAACCAAAACCCUAAUGUCACCUAGAUACUCCAUUGUCACCUCAAGUAUCCGUGGGCAUGAUUAUAUGAUAUGCGUCACACAAUCUCAGAUUCAUCCAACCAACAUGAAAGUACUUCAAAGAGUGCCCCAAAGCUACUACCGGAGAGUCAAGAACGUGUGCCAACCCCUAUGCAUAGGUUCCCAAUGUCACGAAACCCGCAGGUUGAUCACCAAAACAUACAUCAAGUGGAUCGCAAGACAUACAUCAAGUGUUCUCAUAAAAGACUCAAUCCGAUAAAAUAACUUCAAAGGGCAAAUUCAAUUCAUCACAAGAGAGUAGAGGGGGAGAAACAUCAUAAGAUCCAACUACAAUAGCAAAGCUCGGGAUACAUCAAGAUCGUGCCAUGGUGGGAACACGAGAGAGAACUUGAGAGAGAGAGAUCAAACACAUAGCUACUGGUACAUACCCUCAGCCCCGAGGGUGAACUACUCCCUCCUCGUCAUGGAUAGCGUCGGGAUGAUGAAGAUGGCCACCGGUGAAGGAUCCCCCCUCCGGCAGGGUGCCGGGAAGGGCUCCCAAGAGGUUUUUGGUGGCUACAGAGGCUUGCGGCAGCUGAACUCCCGAUCUAUCUUCUGUUCUGGAAGUUUUACGAUACGUAGGUACAUAUGGGUGCAAGGGGUACGUCGGUGGACCGAAGGAGGGGGGCCACGAGGCAGGGGCGCGCCCCCCACCCUCGUGAGCACCUCCCUUCUUUCCUGACGUGCACUCCAAGUCCAUCGGGUGGAUUUCCUUCCAAAAAUAACUUCUCCAGUUGAUUUCGUUCCGUUUUGACUCCGUCUGAUAUUCCUUUUCCUCGAAACACAGAAAUAGGCAUAAAACAUCAAAUCUGGGCUGGGCCUCCGGUUAAUAGUUUAGUCCCAAAAAUAAUAUGAAAGUGGAUAAUAAAGCCCAAUAUUGCCUAAACAGUAGAUAAAAUAGCAUGGAGCAAUCAAAAAUUAUAGAUACGUUGGAGACGUAUCAAUAAGCACGGCAAGACAUACAUCAAGUGUUCUCAUAAAAAACUCAAUCCGAUAAGAUAACUUCAAAGGGGAAAACUCAAUUCAUCACAAGAGAGUAGAGGGGGAGAAACAUCAUAAGAUCCAACUACAAUAGCAAAGCUCGGGAUACAUCAAGAUCGUGCCAUAGAGGGAACACGAGAGAGAGAGAGAUCAAACACAUAGCUACUGGUACAUACCCUCAACCUCGAGGGUGAAGUACUCCCUCCUCGUAAUGGAGAGCGCCGGGAUGAUGAAGAUGGCCACCGGUGAAGGAUCCCCCCUCCGGCAGGGUGCCGGGAAGGGCUCCCGAGAGGUUUUUGGUGGCUACAGAGGCUUGCGGGGGCGGAACUCCCGAUCUAUCUUCUUCGUGGAUGUUUUUAGGGUACGUGGGACUAUAUAGGCAAAAUAAGUCGGUCGGAAGGUGCUCGAGGGGUCCAUGAGACAGGGGGCGCGCCCUCCUAUCUCGUGGCCUCCUCGAGGCUCUUCUGACGUGAACUCCAAGUCUCCUGGGUGAUAUUCUUCCAAAAAAUCACGUUGCCGAAGGUUUCAUUCCGUUUGGACUCCGUUCGAUAUUCCUUUUCUUCGAAAUACUGAAACAGGCAAUAAAACAGCAAUAUGGGCUGGGCCUCCUAUUAAUAGGUUAGUCCCAAAAGUAAUAUAAAAGUGUAUAAUAAAGCCCAUAAUCAUUCAAAACAGAUAAUAUAAUAGCAUGGAACAAUCAAAAAUUAUAGAUACGUUGGAGACGUAUCACUACCCUACACUCAAGAAGCCCGGUCCACGUGGCGUCAUCACCAUUAGAGGAAUCACAGAGCGCUCUUCACGCGCAGAGGAACACGUGACGGCCCUGGCAGCCGGACUAUAAGCGGCCUCCAAUAUUAGAAAACAUGACUGGUCAUUAAGACCACAGACAGGUUAGACGAGUCCGGUAGCCCGGAUAAAAUUAAACCAGGGCACCGUAUAUGUAAUCCCGUAGCGGACACCAGGGGCUAUAAAUAUUUAAUACAGCCCCACACUUGGCUCAACCUUAUUGCCAGGCCAACAUCUUACACUUUUACUAUCCAUGGCAUACUUACGUUGUACUCUCCUACGAGUUUUCCUUUUUCCACAGACAACGUUCGUGUGAUACCCUUCCAGGAUACGGCACAACGGAGAUAAAGGCGCAGACAUGCAGCAGGGCCCCGUUCAAUAGGUUUCUUUUUAGAUUAAGCCCCUGUGUAAACCUUUUCUAUUGCCUCUUGUUGUUUAACCAUCCCAUGGGUUCCAUACCCACAGAGGAUACUGUCAUUAUUGGCAUUUCGCCACAAUAGAUUACCGCACGUACCUGGAAACACACGGUUUAUGAUGAAUGGGCAUUCUUUAGCCCAUCUUCUGUUACAAAGCCCGAAUACCUUCGGGAGUGUUCGGCUUCACGAGUUUGGCCUUAUAUGCAUCAGCUCUGAAUCAUGUCUUUGGUCAAAUGUUGGGUUUGCCCGGCUCCUGGGUUUGCUGCCUUACAUUCCGUUAUUAUCGGCUAAGGCGGCCAAAGGAGAACUACUGCGAUUGUACCCUGGUUAUUCCGGAUAGGCACCUCAGUAGAGAAAGCCGAAAACUGACUGUCAUGAUGCAGCAAGAGACUGUUCAACCACUCGAAGACUCACCGGAAUCUUUAGGAUUCCUCCGCAUUAACGAAGGGCCGUUUCCCGGCCAUGUACAUACGCGCCCGUAUUCGGAUGCACGCGAAGGUACCAGGGGCUACAUAGUAGCCCCACCUUUAGACUCCCAUGGCUAAGCAGAAGUGUUACAGCUAUAUAGUCCGGUUGCCUAGUUCGACGUGCGAUCACCUCCUUAAUGGACCAAGACGUUGGAUCAAGUGUGAUUAAGCAUAUUUUUCGCGAAUACCCUCGCAUUGUAUGCGUGGGGGCUGAAGCCAAUGACUGCUAACUUUUGGAUUACUUAUAUACAUAUAUAAAAACGGCCGCACAGGGGACACAAUAUUCUUUUCAGGCAAAAAGUAUAAAUAUAGCCUCAUAAUCAAAAUAAACAUGUUUUACAAUGAUUCGAUUUAUCACUCGAACAAGACAUUCUUCGAGCACUGCGCCUCUAUUAGCCGGGCACCUUCUGUGACCUGCGCCAAGUAGUGCUCAGUCGGAUAUUGGCCUCCUGCCGGAUCCUGGGUUGCUACAAUGGUAGCCUCCAAAUCCGACCAAUAAGCUUUAACGUGGGCAAGAGCCAUUCGUGCACCCUCUAUGCACGCCGACCUCCUCAUGGCAUCGAUCCGAGGCACGGCCCCAAGGAAUUGUUGCACCAAACCAAAGUAGCUGUCCGGCUUAGGCCCCUUCGGCCAAAGAUGGUCUAUUACAGACCGCAUUGCAAGCCCAGACAGCCCGUGAAGCUCCGCCAUAGCAGCCAUCUUCUCAUUUAACGGCAGCGGGCGGGUGGGAGCAUUGAAUUGCGACCAGAAAAGCUUCUCCACUUCCUUAUCACCUUGAUCCUCGAAGAACUUGGCAGCGUCAGCCGUACUAUUCGCCAAGUCCGCAUAUGCGUCGGCCGGACUCCGGCGUCCAUCUAGGGGAGCAUACUUCGGAUCCAAAAACUUCAUCCGCAGUAAGUAGGAGCCCCCAGCCACGAUUUGGUCGGCCUGUUGGAGCUCCUCCCGCAUACCCGGGAUCUCGGUCCGCAUCUCCUUGGUGGCAUUAAGUGCCUUGUCCAGCUCGGCCGAGCUAGCCUUAUUCUCCUUUUCAAGCAGUACAUAUCGGUCGGUGGCAUUUUUUAGCUCCACAACCAUUUUGGCUAUCUUUUCCUCACUUCGGCGAUGAGCAUCCUAUUCGGCUCUCAAUUCUUCGGCCCCCUUUAGGGCAGCCGCAUUGCUAGCCCGAGCUUGUUCCUUGGCUUGAGCAAGUUCCGCCCUCAGGGCCUCCACAGCAGCAGCACCAUCUGCAGUACAAACACAUUGCAUUAAUAUUAUGCCCCUCUCACAUUUUCCUAUACAACAUAAUAAGGGAAGCAGAGCACAUACCCGGUGACUCUUCCAGCCAUUUGUUCACCAGCGUGAUAUCGGCAUCGAUCAAUCCGAUCUGCCUCCUUAGUUCGGCAACUUCAACAGACUGGUCGGCUGCCGGAUCCUUAGAUACCUGCGCACAUGUACAACACAGCCAUUACUAUAUGAUCCCCCGUUUGCCGCCUAUGGCGGGCAACCAGAGUCUCAGGGGCUACUAUCCAUAUGGAGCACACCUAGUGCAUGCCUCACAGCCAAAAAAUAGUGCAUUUUUUUACUACAUACCUCAAAGCCUCUGAGCAGGCUCGUAAAUGCCUCAUUCAAACCGCUUGUAGCGGAUGAAAUCUUCUUAAGCACCGCACUCAUUAAUGAGCGGUGCUCCGCUGAGAGCGCAACUCGCUCCAGAAGACCUGUCAGUACGUCCGGCCGGGCAUCGAACUGUGCCAGACCCUUCUCAUCACCCCCCAUGGGAGCCAAACGCUCCGGGCUCAGGGCGACUGACGUAUUGGCCUCUGUCUUCGGCAGAUCUGGACUCCUCCAUGACGACACCUCAGUGUUGCCCGCUUCAUGAGGCGGAGAGGUGGGUGGGGUGUCGCUCUCCAUCAUCUCCGGAGGAAGAUCCCCCAAAGAUGAACUCUGUUGAGGAGAGCUGCUAGCCGGACUGCAAAAGAUGAAUCCUGGUUAUUGAUCUCGGAGAAACGCAGUACCCUCAGAAUAGUGAUUAACUUACAGCUCGUUCGAGGGCUGGCCCAUUGGUGGGCCUGACGUGGUGAGAACGCCCGUCGAGACAGAGCCCCCCGGGGACACUUUCUUCCCCUGUUUGGGCAUCUCCGUCUCCAAGUCUUCGGAGGCGGCCCUUUUCUUCCCGCGCAGGGAGGUGGCCUCAGAUUCCCCUCCCCGACUAUCCUCCUUUGGGGAGAAAUCAAUUCCCCCGGUCUGGAUGUGUAGUGUCUGAAGUCCGGCUUCGCUGCCCUUUCCUUCGCCUUUCCCUGAGGGCAUUUUGCUAAGCACCCGGCCAAGCAUCUUGGCAACGGUUGGACCCGGCGAGCCUUCAGGAAGUGGCGCCGGACACCUGAUUCUCUCCGCCUUGUUGAACCAUUCCUGGCCACGGAGGGUUUUUCAGAACAAUGGUUAUGGCAAAUAUAAACAGAGUGUCCGUCUUUAAGGUUACUUACUUGGGUAUCUAUGCGAUUGCAGCUUAGGCCUGCAUCCUCAGUGGUGUCCGGACACUUUACUUGUGGUCCAAAGAAUAAUUUACACAUCCCUUCGAGCUUCAGGCCGAAGAAGUGCUUAAUAGUCCACAGACCCUCCGGAUUGAACUCCCACAUCCGGAGAGGCCGACGUUUGCACGGCAACAUCCGUCGGACUAGCAUUACUUGAAUUAUGCUGACAAGAUUUAUGUCCCUCUCGAUAAGCUCCCAGAUACGGCUCUGCAGUAUUGGAACAUCACUGGCAGGCCCCCAAUUCCGUCCUGCGUCGGUCCAUGACGCCAACUAUAUACAUCGUCCGGACUAUUGAAGCGUGAAGAUACAAGACUCAAGACUUCGGCCUGUGUCCGGAUGGGACUCUCCUUUGCGUGCAAGGCAAGCUUGGCGAUCCGGAUAUUGUGUUUCCUUCCUUGUAACCGACUUCGUGUAAACCUUAGCCCUCUCCGGUGUCUAUAUAAACUGGAGAGGUUGGUCCUUAGAAGGACGAUCACAAUUACAAUCAUACCAUCAUAGGCUAGCUCUUAGGGUUUAGCCUCUACGAUCUCGUGGUAGAUCUACUCUUGUACUACCCAUUUCUUCAAUAUUAAUCAAGCAUGAAGUAGGGUUUUACCUCCAUCGAAAGGGCCCGAACCUGGGUAAACGUUGUGUCCCUCGCUUCCUGUUACCAUCAGCCUAGACGCACAGAUCGGGACCCCCUACCCGAGAUCCGUCGGUUUUGACACCGACAGGCACUGCGAGCUAAAGCUCGCAAAAUCAUCCAAGGGGAUGAUAACACACCAUUCUUCCACAUGAUUGCGAAUGGCAAGCAUUGAAAGAAGAGAAUAUUUCACCUUGAGCAAGAUGAUGGGACGAUUUUAGGGCAGGAGAACCCAAAGGUAUAUAUCACCAAUUACUAUAAGCAGCUGUUUGGGCCUCUCGAGGAUAAUUUCGUAUCCUUGGAUGAGUCAAGGGUUGAGGAUGUUCCUCAGCUCGCAGCAGAUGAGAAUGAUAUUUUGACAGCCCCACUUUCGGAGAAAGAGGUGUUUGAGGCAAUUUCCCAAAUGAAAAAUAAUAAAGCUCCAGUACCAGAUGGUUUUACGGCAGAGUUUUAUAAAAAGUGUUGGCAGAUCAUUAAGGGGGACUUGCUCCCGAUGUUCCAUGAUCUAUUUUUGGGACAGUUACAACUGUUUCACAUGAACUUCGGUACAAUUACUUUGCUUCCUAAGAAAACAUAGGCUGUGAGGAUUGAGCAAUUUAGGCCAAUCUGUCUUCUUAAUGUUAGCUUUAAAAUCUUCACCAAAGUUGGGACUAAUAGGCUUACGCAGAUUGUGUUGGGGAACGUAGCAGAAAUUCAAAUUUUUUUCCUACGAAUCACCAAGAUCUAUCUAUGGAGAGACCAGCAAUGAGUAGAAAGGAGAGUGCAUCUACACACCCUUGUAGAUCGCUAAGCGGAAGCGUUCAAGUGAACGGGGUUGAUGGAGUCGUACUCGUCAUGAUUCAAAUCACCGAUGAUCAAGUGCCGAACGGACGGCACCUCCGCGUUCAACACACGUACAGCCCGGUGACGUCUCCCACGCCUUGAUCCAGCAAGGAGAGAGGGAGCGGUUGAGGAAGACUCCAUCCAACAGCAGCACAACGGCGUGGUGGUGGUGGAGGAGCGUGGCAAUCCCGCAGGGCUUCGCCAAGCACCAGGGGAGAGGAGAAGAACUUGGGAGAGAGGGAGGGGCUGCACCAAAGGCAUAAGGUCUGUUUGGGAGGCCCUCCUACCCCACUAUAUAUAGGGAUCCCAAGGGGGGGUGCACCAGCCCCUAGGAGAUCCAAUCUCCAAGGGGGCNNNNNNNNNNNNNNNNNNNNNNNNNNNNNNNNNNNNNNNNNNNNNNNNNNNNNNNNNNNNNNNNNNNNNNNNNNNNNNNNNNNNNNNNNNNNNNNNNNNNNNNNNNNNNNNNNNNNNNNNNNNNNNNNNNNNNNNNNNNNNNNNNNNNNNNNNNNNNNNNNNNNNNNNNNNNNNNNNNNNNNNNNNNNNNNNNNNNNNNNNNNNNNNNNNNNNNNNNNNNNNNNNNNNNNNNNNNNNNNNNNNNNNNNNNNNNNNNNNNNNNNNNNNNNNNNNNNNNNNNNNNNNNNNNNNNNNNNNNNNNNNNNNNNNNNNNNNNNNNNNNNNNNNNNNNNNNNNNNNNNNNNNNNNNNNNNNNNNNNNNNNNNNNNNNNNNNNNNNNNNNNNNNNACCCCCUACAGCCCAUGUGGCCCCCCGGGGCAGGUGGCCCCACCCGGUGGGCCCCCGGGACCCUUCCGGUGGUCCCGGUACAAUACCGAUGACCCCGAAACUUGUCCCGAUGGCCGAAACAGGACUUCCUAUAUAUAAAUCUUUACCUCCGGACCAUUCCGGAACUCCUCGUGACGUCCGGGAUCUCAUCCGGGACUCCGAACAACAUUCGGUAACCACAUACAAGCUUCCUUUAUAACCCUAGCGUCAUCGAACCUUAAGUGUGUAGACCCUACGGGUUCGGGAGACAUGUAGACAUGACCGAGACGUUCUCCGGUCAAUAACCAACAGCGGGAUCUGGAUACCCAUGAUGGCUCCCACAUGUUCCACGAUGAUCUCAUCGGAUGAACCACAAUGUCAAGGACUUAAUCAAUCCCGUAUUCAAUUCCCUUUGUCUAUCGGUAUGUUACUUGCCCGAGAUUCGAUCGUUGGUAUCCAAUACCUUGUUCAAUCUCGUUACCGGCAAGUCACUUUACUCGUUCCGUAACACAUCAUCCCGUGAUCAACUCCUUGGUCACAUUGCGCAUAUGAUGAUGUCCUACCGAGUGGGCCCAGAGAUACCUCUCCGUUUACACGGAGUGACAAAUCCCAGUCUCGAUCCGCAUAAAACAAUAGAUACUUUCGGAGAUACCUGUAAUGCACCUUUAUAGUCACCCAGUUACGUUGUGACGUUUGAUACACCCAAAGAACUCCUACGGUAUCCAGGAGUUACACGAUCUCAUGGUCAAAGGAAGAGAUACUUGACAUUGGCAAAGCUCUAGCAAACGAACUACACGAUCUUUGUGCUAUGCUUAGGAUUGGGUCUUGUCCAUCACAUCAUUCUCCUAAUGAUGUGAUCCCGUUAUCAACGACAUCCAAUGUCCAUAGCCAGGAAACCAUGACUACCUGUUGAUCACAACGAGCUAGUCAACUAGAGGCUCACUAGGGACAUAUUGUGGUCUAUGUAUUCACACGUGUAUUACGAUUUCCGGAUAAUACAGUUAUAGCAUGAAUAAAAGACAAUUAUCAUGAACAAGGAAAUAUAAUAAUAAUACUUUUAUUAUUGCCUCUAGGGCAUAUUUCCAACAGUCUCCCACUUGCACUAGAGUCAAUAAUCUAGUUCACAUCGCCAUGUGAUUAACACUCACAGGUCACAUCGCCAUGUGACUAAUACCCAAGAGUUUACUAGAGUCAGUAGUCUAGUUUACAUCACUAUGUGAUUAACACUCGAUGAGUUUUAUGUUUGAUCAUGUUGCUUGUGAGAGAGGUUUUAGUCAACGGGUCUGAACCUUUCAGAUCCGUGUGUGCUUUACAAAUCUCUAUGUCAUCUCCUAGAUGCAGCUACCACGCUCUAUUUGGAGCUAUUCCAAACAACUAUUCUACUUGGAGCUAUUCUAAAUUAUUGCUCCAUUAUAUGUAUCCGGUCUCUCUACUCAGAGCUAUCCGGAUAGGUGUCAAGCUUGCAUCGUCGUAACCUUUACGACGAACUCUUUUACCACCUCCAUAAUCGAGAAAAUUCCUUAGUCCACUAGUUACUAAGGAUAACUUUGACCGCUGUCCUGUGAGCCAUGGCAAGGCACACUUCAGGUGCGGUACACAGCAUAGCAUACUGAAGAGCCUACGUCUUAAGCAUAGGGGACGACCUUCGUCCUUUCUCUCUAUUCUGCCGUGGUCGAGCUUUAAGUCUUAACUUCGUACCUUACAACUCAGGCAAGAACUUCUUCUUUGACUGAUCCAUCUUGAACACCUUCAAGAUCAUGUCAAGGUAUGUGCUCAUUUGAAAGUAUUAUUAAGCAUUUUGAUCUAUCCUUAUAGAUCUUGAUGCUCAAUGUUCAAGUAGAUUAAUCCAGGCUUUCCAUUGAAAGACACUUUCAAAAUAACCUUAUAUGCUUUCCAGAAAUUCUACGUCAUUUCUGAUCAACAAUAUGUCAACAACAUAUACUCAUCAGAAAUUCUAUAGUGCUCCCACUCACUUCUUUGGAAAUACAAGUUUCUCAUAAACUUUGUACAAACCCAAAAUCUUUGAUCAUCAUCAAAGCAUACAUUCCAACUCCGAGAUGCUUACUCCAGUCCUUAGAAGGAUCGCUGGAGCUAGCAUACCUUUUAGCAUCCUCAGGAUUGACAAAACUUUUCUGAUUGUAUUGCAUACAACCUUUCCUUACGAAAACUAGUAAGGAAACUUGUCUUGACAUCCAUCUGCCAGAUUUCAUAAAUGAAGCUAAUGCUAACAUGAUUCCGACGGACUUAAGCAUCGCUACGGAUGAGAAAAUCUCAUCGUAGUCAACUCCUUGAACUUGUCGGAAAACACUUCGCCACAAGUCGAGUUUCAUAGAUGGUGACAUUACCAUCCACGUCCGUCUUCUUCUUAAAAUAUCCAUUUAUCUCAAUGGAUUGCCGAUCAUCGGGCAAGUCCAUCAAAGUCCAUGCUUUGUUCUGAUAUAUGGAUACUAUCUCGGAUCUCAUGGCUUCUAACCAUUUGUCGGAAUUCGGGCCCACCAUCGCUUCUCCAUAGCUCGUAGGUUCAUUGUUGUCAGGCAACAUGACCUUCAAGACAGGAUCACCGUACCACUCCGAAGUAGUACGUGUCCUUGUCAUCCUACGAGGUUCGUUAGUGACUUGAUCCGAAGCUUCAUGAUCAAUAUCAUAAGCUUCCACUUCAAUUGGUGUAGGUGCCACAGGAACAACUUCCUGUGCCCUGCCACACACUAGUUGAAGAGACGGUUCAAUAACCUCAUCAAGUCUCCACCAUCCUCCCACUCAAUUCUUUCGAGAGAAACGUUUCCUCGAGAAAGGACCCGAUUCUAGAAACAAUCCUUUAUUGCUUUCGGAUCUGAGACAGGAGGCAUACCCAACUGUUUUUGGGUUGUCCUAUGAAGAUGUAUUUAUCCGCUUUGGGUUCGAGCUUAUCAGCCUGAAACUUUUUCACAUAAGCGUCGCAGCCCCAAUCUUUUAAGAAACGACAACUUAGGUUUCUCUAAACCAUAAUUCAUACGGUGUCAUCUCAACGGAAUUACGUGGUGCCCUAUUUAAAGUGAAUGUGGUUGUCUCUAAUGCCUAACCCAUGAACGAUAGUGGUAAUUCGAUAAGAGACAUCAUGGUAUGCAUCAUAUCCAAUAGGGUGCAACUAUGAUGUUCGGACACACCAUCACAUUAUGGUGUUCCAGGCGGUAUUAAUUGCGAAACAAUUUCCACAAUGUCUUAAUUGUGUGCCAAAACUCAUAACUCAGAUAUUCAUCUCUAUGAUCAUAUCAUAGACAUUUUAUCCUCUUGUCACAAUGAUCUUCUACUUCACUCUGAAAUUACUUGAACCAUUCAAUAAUUCAGACUUGUGUUUCAUCAAGUGAAUAUUCUCAACAUCUACUCGAAUCAUCUGUGAAGUAAGAACAUAACGAUAUUCACUGCAUGCCUCAGCACUCAUUGGAUUGGACACAUCAAAAUGUGUUACUUCCAACAAGUUGCUAUCUUGUUCCAUUUUACUGAAAAUGAGGCUUUUCAGUCAUCUUGCCCAUGUGGUAUGAUUUGCAUAUCUCAAGUGAUUCAAAAUCAAGUGAGUCCAAACGAUCCAUUUGCAUGGAGCUUCUUCAUGCAUAUAUACCAAUAGACAUGGUUCGCAUGUCUCAAACUUUUCAAAAAUGAGUGAGUCCAAAGAUCCAUCAACAUGGAGCUUCUUCAUGCGUUUUAUACCAUUAUGACUUACAUAGCAGUGCCAUAAGUAAGUGGUACUAUCAUUACUAUCUUAUAUCUUUUGGCAUGAAAAUGUGUAUCCCUACGAUCAAGAUUCAAUAAACCAUUCCUUUAGGUGCAAGAGCACUUAUUCAGGUUUAAUACUAAUCUUGAUGGUAGAGGGAGCGUGCGAUGUUAGAUCACAUCAAACUUGGAAACACUUCCAACACAUAUCGCCAGCUCACCUUUAGCUAGUCUCCGUUUUAUUCCGUAGCUUUUAUUUCGAGUUACUAACACUUAGCAACCGAACCGGUAUCUAAUACCCUGGUGCUACUAGGAGUACUAGUAAAGUACACAUUAACAUAAUGUAUAUCCAAUAUACUUCUAUCGACCUUGCCAGCCUUCUCAUCUACCAAGUAUCUAGGGUAAUCUUGCUCCAGUGGUUGUUCCCCUUAUUACAGAAGCACUUAGUCUCGGGUUUGGGUUCAACCCCGGGUUUCUUCAUUGGUGCAGCAGCUGAUUUGCCGUUUCAUGAAGUAUCCCUUCUUGCCCUUGCCCUUCUUGAAACUAGUGGUUUUACUAACCAUCAACGAUUGAUGCUCCCUUUUGAUUUCUACUUUCGCGGAGUCAAACAUCGCGAAUAUCUCAAGGAUCAUCAUAUAUGUCCUUGAUAUAUUAUAGUUCAUCACGAAGCUCUAGCAGCUUGGUGGUAAUGACUUCGGAGGAACUAUCACUAUUUCAUCUGGAAGAUCAACUCCCACUUGAUUUAAGUGAUUGUUGCACUCAGACAAUCUGAGCACAAGCUCAACAAUUGAGCUUCUCUCCUUAGUUUGCAGGCUAAGAAAAUCGUCGGAGGUCUUAUACCUCUUGACGUGGGCACGAGCCUGAAAUCCCAAUUUCAGCCCUCGAAACAUCUCAUAUGUUCCAUGACGUUUCGAAAACGUCUUUGGUGCCUCUACUUAAACCAUUUAACUGAACUAUCACGUAGUUAUCAAAACGUGUAUGUUCGAUGUUCGAAACAUCCACAAACGAUGUUUGGGGUUCACCACACUAAGUGGUGCAUUAAGGACAUAAGCUUUCUACUGAUCGCAUAAUCGCUACUGUCAACUUUCAACUAUAUUUUCUCUAGGAACAUAUCUAAAACAGUAGAACUAAAGCGCGAGCUACGACAUAAUUUGCAAAAGGUCUUUUGACUAUGUUCAGGAUAAUUAAGUUCAUCUUAUGAACUCCCACUCAGAUAGACAUCCCUCUGGUCAUCUAAGUGAUCACAUGAUCCGAGUCAACUAGGCCGUGUCCGAUCAUCACGUGAGACGGACUAGUUAACAUCGGUGAACAUCUUCAUGUUGGUUGUAUCUACUAUACGACUCAUGCUCGACCUUUCGGUCUCCGUGUUCCGAGGCCAUGUCUGCACAUGCUAGGCUCGUCAAGUUAACCCUAAGUGUUUUCGCUGUGUAAAACUGUCUUACACCCGUUGUAUGUGAACGUAAGAAUCCAUCACACCCGACCAUCACGUGGUGCUUAGAAGCAACGAACUGUAGCAACGGUGCACAGUUAGGGGAGAACACUUCUUGAAAUUUUGUAAGGGAUCAUCUUAUUUACUACCGUCGUCCUAAGUAAACAAGAUGCAUAAACAUAAUAAACAUCACAUGCAAUUAUAUAGUUGUGACAUGAUAUGGCCAAUAUCAUAUAGCUCCAUUGAUCUCCAUCUUCGGGGCUCCAUGAUCAUCUUGUCACCGGCAUGACACCAUGAUCUCCAUCAUCGUGUCUUCAUGAAGUUGUCACGCCAACGACUACUUCUACUUCUAUGGCUAACGCGUUUAGCAAUAAAGUAAAGUAAGUUACAUGGCGUUCUUCAAUGACACGCAGGUCAUACAAAAAAUAAAGACAACUCCUAUGGCUCCUGCCGGUUGUCAUACUCAUCGACAUGCAAGUCGUGAUUCCUAUUACAAGAACAUGAUCAAUCUCAUACAUCACAUAUCAUUCAUCACAUUCUUCUGGCCAUAUCACAUCACAUAGCAUACCCUGCAAAAACAAGUUAGACGUCCUCUAAUUGUUGUUUGCAUGUUUUACGUGGCUGCUAUGGGUUCUAGCAAGAACGUUUCUUACCUACGCAAAACCACAACGUGAUAUGCCAAUUGCUAUUUACCCUUCAUAAGGACCCUUUUCAUCGAAUCCGUUCCGACUAAAGUGGGAGAGACUGGCACCCGCUAGCCACCUUAUGCACCAAGUGCAUGUCAAUCGGUGGAACCUGUCUCACGUAAGAGUACGUGUAAGGUCGGUCCGGGCCGCUUCAUCCCACAAUACCGUCGAAACAAGAUUGGACUAGUAACGGUAAGCAUAUUGAACAACAUCAACGCCCACAACUACUUUGUGUUCUACUCGUGCAAAGAAUCUACGCAAUAGACCUAGCUCAUGAUGCCACUGUUGGGGAACGUAGCAGAAAUUCAAAAAAAUUUCCUACGAAUCACCAAGAUCUAUCUAUGGAGAGACCAGCAACGAGUAGAAAGAAGAGUGCAUCUACAUACCCUUGUAGAUCGCUAAGCGGAAGCGUUCAAGUGAACGGAGUUGAUGGAGUCGUACUCGUCGUGAUUCAAAUCACCGAUGAUCAAGUGCCGAACGGACGGCACCUCCGCGUUCAACACACGUACAGCCCGGUGACGUCUCCCACGCCUUGAUCCAGCAAGGAGAGAGGGAGAGGUUGAGGAAGACUCCAUCCAACAGCAGCACAAUGGCGUGGUGGUGGUGGAGGAGCGUGGCAAUCCCGCAGGGCUUCGCCAAGCACCACGGGAGAGGAGAAGAACUUGGGAGAGAGGGAGGGGCUGCACCAAAGGCAUAAGGUCUGUUUGGGAGGCCCUCCUACCCCACUAUAUAUAGGGAUCCCAAGGGGGGGUGNNNNNNNNNNNNNNNNNNNNNNNNNNNNNNNNNNNNNNNNNNNNNNNNNNNNNNNNNNNNNNNNNNNNNNNNNNNNNNNNNNNNNNNNNNNNNNNNNNNNNNNNNNNNNNNNNNNNNNNNNNNNNNNNNNNNNNNNNNNNNNNNNNNNNNNNNNNNNNNNNNNNNNNNNNNNNNNNNNNNNNNNNNNNNNNNNNNNNNNNNNNNNNNNNNNNNNNNNNNNNNNNNNNNNNNNNNNNNNNNNNNNNNNNNNNNNNNNNNNNNNNNNNNNNNNNNNNNNNNNNNNNNNNNNNNNNNNNNNNNNNNNNNNNNNNNNNNNNNNNNNNNNNNNNNNNNNNNNNNNNNNNNNNNNNNNNNNNNNNNNNNNNNNNNNNNNNNNNNNNNNNNNNNNNNNNNNNNNNNNNNNNNNNNNNNNNNNNNNNNNNNNNNNNNNNNNNNNNNNNNNNNNNNNNNNNNNNNNNNNNNNNNNNNNNNNNNNNNNNNNNNNNNNNNNNNNNNNNNNNNNNNNNNNNNNNNNNNNNNNNNNNNNNNNNNNNNNNNGGGGCUGGUGCCCUUGGCCCAUGUAGGCCAAGGCGCACCCCCUACAGCCCAUGUGGCCCCCCGGGGCAGGUGGCCCCACCCGGUGGGCCCCCGGGACCCUUCCGGUGGUCCCGGUACAAUACCGAUGACCCCGAAACUUGUCCCGAUGGCCGAAACAGGACUUCCUAUAUAUAAAUCUUUACCUCCUGACCAUUCCGGAACUCCUCGUGACGUCCGGGAUCUCAUCCGGGACUCCGAACAACAUUCGGUAACCACAUACAAGCUUCCUUUAUAACCCUAGCGUCAUCGAACCUUAAGUGUGUAGACCCUACGGGUUCGGGAGACAUGCAGACAUGACCGAGAUGUUCUCCGGUCAAUAACCAACAGCGGGAUCUGGAUACCCAUGUUGGCUCCCACAUGUUCCACGAUGAUCUCAUCGGAUGAACCACGAUGUCAAGGACUCAAUCAAUCCCGUAUACAAUUCCCUUUGUCUAGCGGUAUGGUACUUGCCCGAGAUUCGAUCGUCGGUAUCCAAUACCUUGUUCAAUCUCGUUACCGGCAAGUCACUUUACUCGUUCCGUAACACAUCAUCCCGUGAUCAACUCCUUGGUCACAUUGCGCAUAUGAUGAUGUCCUACCGAGUGGGCCCAGAGAUACCUCUCCGUUUACACGGAGUGACAAAUCCCAGUCUCGAUCCGCAUAAAACAAUAGAUACUUUCGGAGAUACCUGUAGUGCACCUUUAUAGUCACCCAGUUACGUUGUGACGUUUGAUACCCCCAAAGCACUCCUACGGUAUCCAGGAGUUACACGCUCUCAUGGUCGAAGGAAGAGAUACUUGACAUUGGCAAAGCUCUAGCAAAUGAACUACACGAUCUUUUGUGCUAGUCUUAGGAUUGGGUCUUGUCCAUCACAUCAUUCUCCUAAUGAUGUGAUCCCGUUAUCAACGACAUCCAAUGUCCAUAGCCAGGAAACCAUGACUAUCUGUUGAUCACAAUGAGCUAGUCAACUAGAGGCUCACUAGGGACAUAUUGUGGUCUAUGUAUUCACACGUGUAUUACGAUUUCCGGAUAAUACAGUUAUAGCAUGAAUAAAAGACAAUUAUCAUGAACAAGGAAAUAUAAUAAUAAUACUUUUAUUAUUGCCUCUAGGGCAUAUUUCCAACAAACACUUCUUGAAAUUUUGUAAGGGAUCAUCUUAUUUACUACCGUCGUCCUAAGUAAACAAGAUGCAUAAUCAUAAUAAACAUCACAUGCAAUCAAAUAGUGACAUGAUAUGGCCAAUAUCAUUUUGCUCCUUUUGAUCUUCAUCUUCGGGGCUCCAUGAUCAUCAUCGUCACCGGCAUGACACCAUGAUCUCCAUCAUCAUGAUCUCCAUCAUCGUGUCUUCAUGAAGUUGUCACGCCAACGACUACUUCUACUUCUAUGGCUAACGCGUUUAGCAAUAAAGUAAAGUAAGUUACAUGGCGUUCUUCAAUGACACGCAGGUCAUACAAUAAAUUAAGACAACUCCUAUGGCUCCUGCCGGUUGUCAUACUCAUCGACAUGCAAGUCGUGAAUCCUAUUACAAGAACAUGAUCAAUCUCAUACAUCACAUAUAUCAUUCAUCACAUCCUUUUGGCCAUAUCACAUCACAUAGCAUACCCUGCAAAAACAAGUUAGACGUCCUCUAAUUGUUGUUUGCAUGUUUUAUGUGGCUGCUAUGGGUUUCUAGCAAGAACGUUUCUUACCUACGCAAAACCACAACGUGAUAUGCCAAUUGCUAUUUACCCUUCAUAAGGACCCUUUUCAUCGAAUCCGUUCCGACUAAAGUGGGAGAGACUGGCACCCGCUAGCCACCUUAUGCACCAAGUGCAUGUCAAUCGGUGGAACCUGUCUCACGUAAGAGUACGUGUAAGGUCGGUCCAGGCCGCUUCAUCCCACAAUACCGUCGAAACAAGAUUGGACUAGUAACGGUAAGCAUAUUGAACAACAUCAACGCCCACAACUACUUUGUGUUCUACUCGUGCAAAGAAUCUACGCAAUAGACCUAGCUCAUGAUGCCACUGUUGGGGAACGUAGCAGAAAUUCAAAAUUUUCCUACGUGUCACCAAGAUCUAUCUAUGGAGAAACCAGCAACGAGUAGAAGGAGAGUGCAUCUACAUACCCUUGUAGAUCGCUAAGCGGAAGCGUUCAAGUGAACGGGGUUGAUGGAGUCGUACUCGUCGUGAUUCAAAUCACCGAUGAUCAAGUGCCGAACGCACGGCACCUCCGCGUUCAACACACGUACAGCCCGGUGACGUCUCCCACGCCUUGAUCCAGCAAGGAGAGAGGGAGAGGUUGAGGAAGACUCCAUCCAACAGCAGCACAACGGCGUGGUGGUGGUGGAGGAGCGUGGCAAUCCAGCAGGGCUUCGCCAAGCACCAUGGGAGAGGAGGAGUAGGAAGAGAGGUAGGGUUGUGCCAGAACUUCGUCUAUAGCUCCCAUGCGCCUCCCCACUAUAUAUAGGGGUGGAGGGGCUGGUUUCUUGCCCUCCAAGUCCAUUGGGGCGUUGGCCAAGGUGGGAGGAAAGAAAUCUCAUUAUUUCCUUCCCCACCGAUUGUUAUCCCCCCUUUUUAGGGAUCUUGAUCUUAUCCCUUCGGGAUAUGAUCUUAUUCCUUCUAAGGGGGGAUCUUGGUGCGCCUUGACCAGGGGUGUGGGGCCUUGCCCCCACUACCCACGUCCAUGUGGGUCCCCCCAUGCAUGUGGGCCCCACUCCGGAACCUUCUAGAACCUUCCCGGUACAAUACCGAAAAAUCCCGAACAUUUUCCGGUGGCCAAAAUAGGACUUCCCAUAUAUAAAUCUUUACCUCCGGACCAUUCCGGAACUCCUCGUGACGUCCGGGAUCUCAUCCGGGACUCCGAACAACAUUCGGUAACCACAUACAAACUUCCUUUAUAACCCUAGCGUCAUCGAACCUUAAGUGUGUAGACCCUACGGGUUCGGGAGACAUGUAGACAUGACCGAGACGUUCUCCGGUCAAUAACCAACAGCGGGAUCUGGAUACCCAUGAUGGCUCCCACAUGUUCCACGAUGAUCUCAUCGGAUGAACCACGAUGUCAAGGACUUAAUCAAUCCCGUAUUCAAUUCCCUUUGUCUAUCGGUAUGUUACUUGCCCGAGAUUCGAUCGUCGGUAUCCAAUACCUUGUUCAAUCUCGUUACCGGCAAGUCACUUUACUCGUUCCGUAACACAUCAUCCCGUGAUCAACUCCUUGGUCACAUUGCGCAUAUGAUGAUGUCCUACCGAGUGGGCCCAGAGAUACCUCUCCGUUUACACAGAGUGACAAAUCCCAGUCUCGAUCCGCAUAAAACAAUAGAUACUUUCGGAGAUACCUGUAAUGCACCUUUAUAGUCACCCAGUUACGUUGUGACGUUUGAUACACCCAAAGCACUCCUACGGUAUCCAGGAGUUACACGAUCUCAUGGUCAAAGGAAGAGAUACUUGACAUUGGCAAAGCUCUAGCAAACGAACUACAAGAUCUUUGUGCUAUGCUUAGGAUUGGGUCUUGUCCAUCACAUCAUUCUCCUAAUGAUGUGAUCCCGUUAUCAACGACAUCCAAUGUCCAUAGCCAGGAAACCAUGACUAUCUGUUGAUCACAACGAGCUAGUCAACUAGAGGCUCACUAGGGACAUAUUGUGGUCUAUGUAUUCACACGUGUAUUACGAUUUCCGGAUAAUACAGUUAUAGCAUGAAUAAAAGACAAUUAUCAUGAACAAGGAAAUAUAAUAAUAAUACUUUUAUUAUUGCCUCUAGGGCAUAUUUCCAACAUUCUGUGGUGCAGCCGUGUCAAACGGCUUUCAUGCCGGACAAAAACAUCCUAUAAGGGGUUGUGGUUCUGCAUUAAAUGCUCCAUGAAAUCCACACGAAAAAACUAGAUGGGGUGGUUUUCAAAGUGGAUUUUGAGAAAGCGUAUGACAAGGUAAAAUGGCCAUUUUUCAGCAGGCUUUGCGUAUGAAAGGAUUCGAUCAGUCCUGGAGAGACCAGGUAGAUUCUUUCACGCAAAAAGGGAGUGUUGGAAUGGUAAAUGAUGACAUAGGUCAUUAUUUUCAGACACACAAGGGUCUGACACAAGGAGAUCCGAUGUCUCUGAUUCUGUUCAACAAAGUCGUUGACAUGUUGACAGUCCUAAUAGGAAGGGCUCAGGAUGAUGGCCAGGUAGGUGGCCUCGUUCCGCAUUUAGUUGACGUAGGAGUGUCUAUCCUACAGUACGCGGAUGAUACUAUCGUCUUUAUGGAGCAUGAUUUGGCUAAAGCUAGAAACAUGAAGCUGGUAUUGUGCUUGUUCGAAUAAUUAUCGGGGUUAAAGAUUAACUUCCACAAAAGUGAAUUGUUCUGCUUUCGAAGAGCUAAAGAAGAACAACAAGAUUACAAGGAAUUGUUCAGGUGCGAAUUGGGGUCUUUACCCUUCAGUAUUUGGGUAUACCAAUCCACCAUCGCAAGCUUUCAAACAAGGAGUGAAAGAGCAUUGAAGAUCGAUUUGAAAGAAAACUGAGCUGCUGGAAGGGCAAGCUUAUGUCAUACGGAGGAUGAUUGAUUCUGAUUAAUUCGGUUCACACAAGUAUGUCGAUGUUUCUCUUAUCCUUUUUCGAAGUACCAGUUGGUGUACGAAAAAGGCUAGAUUUCUAUCGAUCGCGGUUCUUCUGGCAGAGCGAUGAAUUAAAAAGAAAAUACAGACUCGCUAAGUGGGAUAUCAUUUGUAGGCCGAAAGAUCAAGGGGGUCUAGGCAUUGAAAAUUUAGAGGUGAAGAACAGAUGUCUUCUCAGCAAGUGGUUGUAUAAGUUAUCUGUAGAGACGGAUGCAACAUGGGCCCAGAUUCUUCGUAAUAAGUACCUUCAGUCCAAAACCUUGUCCCAGGUAACGGUAAGACCGACUGAUUCACCUUUUUGGAAGGGACUGGUGAGAGUGAAAUCAGUCUUCUUUAACAGGACAAAAUUUAUAGUUGCAAAUGGUACUUUCACAAGAUUCUGGGAGGAUACCUGGCUAGGGGAGACACCCCUUACAAUCCAAUAUCCUUCUCUCUAUAAUAUUGUUCAGCGGAGAGACACUUACGCUGCAACAGUACUACAGUCCAAUCCUCUUAAUAUUCAAUUCAGGAGGACGCUAGUGGGAAACCGUUGGGAAGCUUGGCUCCAUCUUGUGAGAAGAUUGAUGGAUGUCCAACUUUCUCAACAGCCAGAUCAGUUGCGCUGGAAACUAGCUAAGAAUGGUGAGUUUUCGGUUAAAUUCAUGUAUUUGGAUAUUAUCAACACUAGCGUUAUUCCUAGUUUGAAACAUGUUUGGAAAGUCAAAGUGCCUUUAAAAAUCAAAGUGUUUAUGUGGUUUGUCCACAAACAAGUCAUCCUAACUAAGGACAAUUUGGCGAAGCACGACUCGAUCUAAAAGAUGUAGUUUUUGUGAUAGUGAUGAAUCAAUCAAACACCUCUUUCUUGACCGCCCUUUGGCAACAAUUUUGUGGAGGUCGGUCUACAUAGCUUUUAAUAUUACUCCUCCCAAUUCCAUCAACACGUUAUUUGGGACAUGGCUAGAUGGGAUUGAUGCAGCAACAGCGAGGCACAUCCGUGUAGGAGUAUCCGCUUUAUUAUCGGCAGUUUGGAACUGUAGAAACGACUUGGUUUUUAACAGAACAACAAAUAUUCAUUUCUUGCAUGUUGUUUUCAGGGCCACUACACUCAUCCGUAUGUGGUCGCUACUCACUUCGACGGAGGCCAGGGAGCAUUUGGUUACUGGAUCUAUCCGAUGGGAGACGGUAGCUCGGGCUAUCUUCAACCAGUUUGGAUGGCGGUCAUGUAAUAGGAUAGGUAUUUAGUUUCCUAUCUUUUGUUUUGCCUGCCGGUUGUGGCUGCCCUGUUUUUGCUUUAGUGCUCUUUAUGAGCAUUUUUUUUCAUUUUGUUUGAGACCUCGAGACUUAUGUUGGACCUUUUGUUUAUCAAUAAUAUGGCCGUAUGCAUCAUUCUGAUGCAGAAGGCCGGGGCAAACCUCCUUUUCAAAAAAAGAAAAAAAUACAGAAAAUCACCCUGCUGGAAACAUAAUAUGUGUAAGGAGGAGCGGAACAUACUUCUCUUGCCGUCCCAAAGUCUGACAAUUUAUACAAAACCAUUCGUUAGUCGACACCAACAGAUUUUCUAAAAGAAAAUAACUCUAUGUAAAUUUCGUCAUAUUAUAGGCAUUAAUUGGGGCAUGAGAUAAUCCACCAAAUUACCAGGUUCCAUGUCGCGACGAAAAUAUCCAUAAUUAUGUGAGUACAUAUAGAACCCCAUCUGGUACUGAUGACUAUAUAAACUACAGUCGGAGCAUCUUACCUGCAACUUUUUACUUCUGUUAAUUCAGAUCAAAGCUUCAAUAUGGGCAAUGACAAUGGUUAAUCUACAACAAUAACAAAAUUGAUUCAUACUUGUAUGCUUAAACAAAGUGAUACUGCAUAUGUGAAUUUGGGAUAGCAAUAUAUAAGCUGAGAUGGCGUAUGUGCAGUACAUAAUGUCUAUACCCGAACACGCUGGAGCAUCAAAGGGGUUUGAUCGUCCUAGAACUGCACGACUUUAGCCGCGAACAGUCAGAUUCAUUUGAUCUUGUGGGUCCUGUCCACGGCCGUGGAAUCGACAUGAACAAAAGCACGUAGCCUUACGGGAGGAUAGGUAAGGGAGAUGGGACGGCUUUGGCGGAAUCGACAUGAACCAAAACAGCUGGCCAUACUAUGGUGCGAUCCGGAUCUUGGUGGUGUGGUGACCUGACGUCUUUCAUUGGAGGUCACGGGCAGCAGCGAGACGGAGGGAGGGAGAGCAAGACUGCAGCAGGCGUCACCACUAUAGACACAGGUUGACCUAGUCGGGGCAACCGGAGGCAGCUGGACCAGCGAUCAUGCCGGAGGAGCUCCUUGAUGCAGAGAUCAGUUCCCCGUCGCUGCACCCUGUUGUAGACAGGGGAAACGACAUGUAGUCUCAACAACCAUAUCUAUAUAGAUGCCUCUAGGACUUCAAAUCAGAGAUCUAGCUUGUGCUCCAUAGAUCUCAACAAAAGAGUUAUCUACAUUUUGAGGCUUAAGUGGAAAGAUUUGUAUAAUUACACUAGCUAGCUAGUGUUUCCUUUUUUUUCUAUUCCCUCCUUGUACAUAUGUAUCACAAAGAAAAUAAAAAUAAAUUAACAUAUGUAGUACAAGACUAUUGUCGCUCGUAGAAAACUUCCCUUUGUAAUUCAACCACGCUAAGUACCACUAAGAUUUCCCCUCUCUUUAUAUAAUUAUGAUUUCCCCUCUCUUUUUGUAAUAAUGAAAAUCUAGUUCUGGUGGAUUCUUUGUAUUUUGAAAGUGACAACCGCAAAACAAUUAGUGAUUUCUACCAGUCAUUGAGCGCCGCAAAAUCACCCGUUAGUGAUAGCAAACCUGCAUUUGAUGAGUAUUAAGACGGGUUGACGAUGUGUUACCUACCCGUUCGUCAUGGAUGGAGUGUCGGUUACACAGGCCACUCUCUAGUAGUGCAUGAUAUUAUGACAUCCAGUCUAAGCCAGGUUUAUAAUAAGUGUGAUAUGAGUUUAAUAUUUGAAGUGAUUUUAUAUGUUGGCACCCUGGGUGUAUGUCUUCUUAAGUACGAUGUGCAUCUAGUCUAAACAUUAUCUCUCCAAGCUUGGUGUUAUGUUGAAUAUGAAGGUCAUGUUGCAUCAUAAAAAAUUAAUACUUGAUCAUUAAAAUUGUGACAUGUGAAAGUCCGAGAUUAGGUGUUUCUUUUUUAUGUUCUUAGCCAUAUACAUGUUGUUUUAACUAAUGACAAUAUAUCUUGUCACCAUUACUAUUCUUAGAUUAGUUAUUUACCAAAGCUCAUGCAUACCAUCCACCAAAAAGAAUUGUGUUUAUGGUAAGUUAUAUGUGAGUUCUAGAUUUAGGUUGUUCUUCUACAAAAGUGGCUACAUGUGUUGAUUAACUGAUGUCUUCUAUGAGAUGGUCGUUAUGUCCUUGUAAGUUUGUUGUAUUGCGAUGAUUAAUGGCAUACUUUAAAAUUAAGCCAAUUUACAAUAUCUUCAUGGAGAGCUCUAGAUCCACGGUACUUUUCAAUGUUGUUAAUGGGGCAUAUGUGGUAUCAAUGGAUCACAUGUGGCCACCAUCUCUUCACAUGUCUAAUAUGGCUCUAAUUUCUUGAUAAGGCAUAUUCACGUCUAUUAAGAAAACCUUGAUUUCUCAUAUUCAUUAAUUCAUAUAUGAGACAUAGUUGUUGUUCUUGGUAGUGUUAUGCAACCAGAAAAAGUAAUGGAUUCUAGUCUCUUCAGUUGAAGUUUGGACUUGUGCUAUCUUUUAAUUUAAUUGUUUAAUGAGCAUGGCUUCUAUUUUUAGUUGACAAGCUAAUGUUUGCCUCACAAUAUUCUAAGAGGUGCAUUGUGGUAAAUACAUGUUCCACUUCCAUCAUUCCUCAGAUGACAAUGAUCUACAACAACAAAAUUGUAGGUACUGAUGAAAAAACAUCAUGGACCAAGACCUGGAACACUGAGCAUGCAUAUUUUUCCCAAACAUCCUAAUUAAGAUAGUAGUCCAAAGGAUAAUGAAUUUGGAAAUAAAUAUAUUUUAUUUCAAUAUAGCUCUUACAUGGAAGCGCUAACUAGCAUCUACAAAAGCUCUCCAUAGUCUGUAAGAAUAUCAAUAUCUUGUCCAGUGGAAGAGGGCGGCACAUCAACCCAUCCACCAUUUACCAUGGAAGACUGUCCUAGAUCCGUACCGCUAGAGCCUAAGUAAGCAUCCAUCCCUGGGAAACUAUUGUAGUACGACUGAUCUGAUAGAGGAAAACCCCAUUGUUCAGUGUUAAAUGGGUCAUCAAUAGAAAAGGCAUUGCCACUCGAGUACCCCAAUAGUGGAGAGGCCUCCAAAUUCUGCCCGGAUGUUGAGUCAUGGUUUGCGUCAUUUUGUUGUGGUUGAACUACGUUGCAAGUACUUUUAUAGUUCUGAACAUGCAACUCCUCUGGUGGAGUUUGCUCAUGUACCUGAUUUGUUAUGGGUUGGACAUGGGAAGCCAAGGGUGGAGCUAAAGAUGGUGGUGCAGAAUGGAACAUUGGUACCUGCAUAGAAAAAGUGGUCCCAAAGUUUGUUCUGGUUGUGAUGGUGGUGGAUCUAAAGGUAGCUGGAGUUGUGAGAGAUUGUGAGGCCAUGGUGACUGCAUAAGUGAAUGAGUAGUACUCAAAUGAUCCGCCGGCAGAACACUUGGUAGUUGUAGAUCUUGUGCCACACAUGUGCCACCGGUCUUGUCUUCACGACCAUGCAAUGGAGGUAGCCGGAAUCUAAUAUCUUUUUGGACCCGAGAGAGCUCACUGAAGAGCUUGUUCAGAUCUUCAAGACUGAGAUCUUUUUCCUUCGUGAAGAUAAGAUUUGCCACCAUACCUGGAUUCUCUUUUUGUAUAUUUUUCAUACGAAGGAUGGAAAGUUGGUUUUUGUCUUCCUCGGUCAUGUUCUCCAUGUCCAACCGAGCCACCUCGUUCUGUAGGCUUCCAAUCCUAGCAGUGGUUGCCUCGUCGGCAGAGGGAACUACUGGUGGAGCUCCAAAUAGGAAAUCAUCAACAAUGGGAUCGGCCAAUGGCGUCCCAAAUGAGUGCAUCUUUCCAUUGUUUGUUUCUAGGAUGACCGCAACCCUAGCCCUAGUGAGGGCAGAGAUGUCAGUCGCCCUCUUGAACAAACCGGAACGUCGCUUGUAGAAGGUGAGAUCACGGUCUUUGUCAUUGUGGAUGUAUGCCACACCUGACCGCCGCUCUUUCCUCGGCAUACUAAUGUGGACAAAGAGGAAGAAACUAACUACUACAAAUAGGAAGCACAAGGAUCUACAGAAAACUAGAGAUUUAGGGGUAUUGUUGGCUAACCACAUAUUGGUGUAGGAUAUGAGAAGAUGUAC